UGGAGUGUAGUAUCCCCUGUACUGCACAAUAGCUGUGGUGGUUGUGUUAUCAUAAAAAUUUUGAGCUACCGGGGCAAUGGAAUAAGUUUUAGCCGCCAUGUAAUAGUGAUCCGGGUGUUGGUUAGCUUCUAGUAAGACAUCGAAGGUUUGGCCAGGAUAUAUUGUGAUAUAAUCUUGUGUCAAUGGUUUCGUGUAGCUACCAUCUGUUCCAACCACUGUCAUUUUAUGCUUGGCAAUUGAGAAGAAGAGAGCCUCAUGCAAGGCAGCAUUGAUUAUGCGAAGUAGAUAAGUCUUUCCAUGAUCCACCGUUAGCUUGAAUGUGCCUGCAAUUAGAAAGGGAAAGUUAUAUACUUACGACUAGAGAAAAGAAAAGGAAAAAAUUUCCAUGAGGAUCCACCAAUUAUGAAGUGAUUGAUUGAUUAGGGAUGUAAGUUUGGCUCCAUAGUUCAAAAUUAUAUUUGAACUAGCCUUUUCUCAUGUGUUAAAUCAUGGCUCUACCAUCCUCAUAGCUAUAUUCCUCUUUCUUAGCAUUAAGUUUUAAAUAUGUUGAUGUUAAUAAGAAAAAGUAAUAUGGUUAACAUACAAGAAAAUGAGAUCAAUGUACAAUUUUAAAAUGGGAAGUUAAACUUUAUACCUGAUUUUGAGCAUGGAUAUAGAUCACCGGGUUGUCCAUUUAUCAAUAAAGAAUCAGAGGCAUUAGGGUCAGCUCCGGUUGCAAGCCCUUCAUCUCGAACCGCAUUCACAUCACUCUUCCACCAUUGUCCUGCAUUUCAACACAACUCCAAUAAUUUAGAUUUCUCUUUGUUAGUUAAUUCAUGAUAUGUAAAUUAACCUGUAAAAGGAACUACACUUAUACCUAAUAUGAUGGGAAUUUCUGCGUUAGGCUUGGGAAAAGGAUACUUGGUUCCAUUCUUUGGAUAAACGAUUAUUGCUCCAUGAACAGUGGCUCGGGUCCAGUCACUGUGAGCAUGCCACCAUAAAGUGCCUUCCUCAGAGGAAAGGAUGAUCUUCUGGCUAAACUUUGACCCUGGUUGAAUUGGGCAUUGUGUGAUAUACUCGGGACCAUCUGUCCAUGGAUAUCUAGGCAUGUUCACCCCAUGCCUGCAAAACAAUAACUAUACGUUAAAACUAGUACUAAUUUUUGGACUAACAAAAUAUGGCAUGUAGCAACAUAUUAUCAUAGUAACAAGAGGCAUCAACUGUAUUUCAAUGGAACUGAUGCAAAUAACCCUUAAAUAUUAUUUUAAAUUUAACUUUAUUUGCAAAGCAAUACAUUGGAGCCCCCUCUUAGAAAUAAAAGAAUGUAUGUCAUGCAGGCAUGCUGCCCAUUGCUAUCUUUCUCCGAGACACGCAUAGGACUUACCAGUGAAUGGUGAUAUUUUAUUUUCCCCUGUUAUAAACAUCAACAAUGAUCGUCUCUCCUUUCUUAGCAUAUAUAGUUGGUCCUGGAAAUUGUCCAUUUACUGUUAAGAUGUUCUUGGUGCUACAAAGCCUUGUAUAUGAAGCUUNNNNNNNNNNNNNNNNNNNNNNNNNNNNNNNNNNNNNNNNNNNNNNNNNNNNNNNNNNNNNNNNNNNNNNNNNNNNNNNNNNNNNNNNNNNNNNNNNNNNCAAAGCCUUGUAUAUGAAGCUUCCUUCACCUGCAACCAAUUAAAAGUUAACAUUGUAACCUCAUCCCAAAAGAAAUAUUACAUGUAUGAAUAGUUGCAUCGAUCCAUUCAUGCAAGAGUAUAACCAAUUAGAAAUUGAUAGCAUGCAUGAGCGACUCAACAAGACCAAGGUACCCGAAGACUCCAUGAGGAUCAUACGGUGGAAAAUGAGAGCCAUACUGCUCCCUAAAUAUUAUGAUCAGAAGUUGGCAUUAAGGCUAGAAUCAUAUAUAGUAUUUACCACAAAAGUAAGCCGACGAGUUGAAGCUUGGCAAUGGAUGCCACCACCAAAAAGUAGAAACGCUAAAAUUUGCAAGAGGAAAACCUUCAUGAUCAGCCACAUCUUCUUUGGAACAAAAGCCUCUUCUCUUGUCCUAAACACAACUCCUUCAAUUUUCUUACUAUUUCUAAUAAGCACGACUCAUUCAACAUUAUUCUUGAUCUGUUGAAUGAUGCUCAAAUUCAAGAAAUCUAAUUUUCUCAAGUAAAUUAGAUUUUUCAGCAUUAAGCACAUCAAUCUUAUUUUUAUUUGCAUCAAGAACUCUUAAUUAAUCUUUCAUGCUCAAUAAAAAGAUUGUCAAAGAAUUCAACCAUUUGUUUAUCAGUAAACUCAUCAUCAUUAAUAUCACUAUCACUAUGACAAUAAGAAUUAUUCUUAUAUUCUAUAGAUGCAACAAAACUUAACAUGUCAUUGGGAUCGUACCUUGCAUAUUCAGAAAUUGUAACAACACCGUCUUUAGAAUACAAGUAACUCCAUGUUGCUUAUAUAAACGUUUUAAUAUUUUUGGGGCUAGGACACUCUUAAGAGUAGUGUCCCAUGCCUCCAUACACUACAAGAAAAAGAGUCAUUAUUGACAUAUAUCCUCUUGACUUAAGAUAAUAUAUGUGAAGAUAGUCUAUUUAAAUGAACAAUUAUGACAUAUACAACUUUAUUUAAACCAAUAAUGACAUAUAUAAUAGUUAUUGUAUUUUUCCAUGACUUAUGAUGAUGCAACCAUGAUAAAUAAUUUAUAAGUCAAUCUAUAAUUAAUAUGUUCAUAUGUCAAGGUAUCCAAAUGAUAUCAAUAUAUAUAUAUAUAUUCAUGUCAAGGUAUUUAUAGAGGCUGGAGGUGAAAGCUGAACAGCUGGUUUCUCUCCAACUUUUGCUGUAUUUCUUUAAUAUAUAAUUCAUAAUCUAUUCAAGAUGAUUUUCCUGGGGUACAACCAUUCCUCGCCGCGUAUCAAUAUAAGAGAAGUAAUUUGAAUGUGUACUGGUUUUGAACGUUCUUCCAGGACCACUUCAAAGAGCAGGUUGUGUAUGAUAUCUGAUCACUUACCAAAAUUUAAAUAAACCAAAUGCCUGAAGACGAGUUUCUUAGAAUCUCUUGAAUUUUCUAAUUCAAAAUACAAGUUUGACUUUGAGAAUUGACCAAGAAAUUAAUCAAACACACUAUUUUAGAAUAAAUUUAAAAUAUAUGUAGAAUACUUUUAAAACUUUGACCUCGCAUAUAUACGAUACCUUUAUCAAGAUUAGUCAAGAUUUUCUCUUUGUAUUUGGUAGGAAGGGAAAAGUCAGCGCUGCUUUCAGAAGGAAUGUAGGAUUCCAUUAUAGGAAAGAAACAAUCAUUCAAUUAUAGGAACCGGAUCGGAAAUUCCUUGUCCGGUUGGAGGGUCAAUCCAGACAUUCAAAUCAUUAGGUCAGCGAUGAAAUCAUUCAACAUGCUCACCAUCAAAUAAUUAUUGGUUUCCUUUGCAUAUUUCCUCCAUACCGGCUUUAAUCUUGAUAAGACAUAUUGCACAGAUAAAUUGCAAGCACCAACAUAUAAAUUAGUUUAAACAUUCAGACAUUUUCAAACAUCAAAUCUCCACUUUUUAAAAAAUAAUAAUAAAUAAUAAAUAAUAAAUAAUUAUAGAUUUAAAAAUAACUUUUUCCAGAACAAAUAAAAAAUAAUUCAAACUUCCUUCGUUUAUUGUACCAUAUACAAAGAAAAAUCAUUAUAUAAAUAAAAUAUGCAAAGAUGUAUAUAUUUUUAAAUUAUUUAUAAACAGAAAAAAUGAUGAAUAAAAUUUAAGAUGUGAAAAUUUGAUCAAGUUAAUUUAAACUUCUUUUAUUUUUUUUCACUUUUUUUCUCCUAUUUUUUCACACCAUUUUUUUUUUCUCACAUUUCCUUUUAAACUUUUGGAAUAAAUUCCCUACUAUUUGUGGAGCUUUAAUAUAAUUUUUUUCUCCAUAUUAUACAUAUUUAUGCAAUAGUUGGUUAAACUAUUUUGAAUGUCUAUUUUUACCUUAACAAGAAACAUUUCUUGAAAAUGAAGAUUAUUUUCUCCUUAUUUUCAAAUUUGUGUUUCUCCACUUUUUAAAAAAAAAUAAUAAAAAAAAAUUGUAGAUUUAAAAUAACUUUUUUCAGAACAAAUACAAUAUAUAGCCGGCUUAUACAAACUAUUAUCUAAAAAAAGGAAAAGUAAAAUAAGAAAUAAUUCAAACUUCUUUGUUUGGUUUAUUGUACCAUAUACAAAGAGUUUUAAAUAAUAAAUUUGAAGCUCAUCCCAAACACUUUAAAGAGUUUUAGAAAUCGAUACUAAAUUCAAUCUUAUAUUAAAACUCCUAAAUAAUCAAUUGUAAAGUUGUUUUCAAAUGAAACCCAUCUUAUCUUGAUUUCCCCUCACUAAGAUACUUAAAAAGUGGAAUAAUAGAUAAGAGUGAACUUAAAACUCAAUUAAGAAAAUAGGUCAAUAAGGAAGAUCAAUUAUAGUACAAAGUUAAAUCUUAGGAGAUAUUACAUCUUUAUAAAAAAAAAAUUGAAUUAGUACGAGUUCAUUUAAUUCAAUAAUUAAAUUCAUUUUGUUCAAAAAAUUAUGCACUUUCAAUUUAAAGAUAGAAUUAAAUAAUAUACUUUACAUACUUAAAUUAUAAACAAACAUUUUACUCUGACUCAUUGAUAAUAACAUUGUGCCCAAAUAGUAGAACUUACAUUAGGUGGUUAGUCUCACUUUGUGCCUUUUACCAAUGGACAAAAUGAUUUAUAAUCAAUGAUAUACCAAAGGCUAAUAACACCCUUAUUAGCUAGACUUACAUUAUAUCACUAUCCUCACCAAAGGUAACGCAGGUCAACAACUUUUCUCUUAAACCAAUAUAAUAAAUUAAAUGAUAAAAUUCAUUUGCAUAACAAUAAACAAAUCAUAUGAUAUUCCCAAUUUAUUUUAUAAACUAAGGAACAAAUCAUAACAUUUUUAGUAAAAUAUUAUUUGAUCCACUUUAAGGAACUUAAACAUUUUGAUAGUUUAAAAAUAGAUGAAAAAAAAUAAGAAAUUAUAAAAUGGUUUACUAUACUAUUAACCAUUACCUUGAAGAAAUCAUUCAAAAUUCUGAAAGACUUAAUCUACACCUAAUAUAAAUAUAAAUAAAAAAUAAUUAUUAAAGAUUAAUUAUCUAAAUUAAUGUCUUCCUAAUUCUUUUGUAAAAAUUACUUUAAUUCCAAACCCUUUUCUAAAGUUCUAUUUUUUUUAAUUGAAUUUUUUAUUAACCAUAUUAUUAUUAUUAUCAUUUUCACUUCCCAUAAUUACAUUAAUGGGUAUUCUUGAAUUAUUAAUGUUAAUAUUCCUUCUUCUUUUUUUCAUGGUAGGAAGUAGGUAAUUAUUUAUUAAUUUACUACUAUUUUUACUUAUCUCCUACCCACAACCCAAAUCUUAUUAUUACUUUAUUAUUUCUUUGCCACAACCACUUUCCUCAUUUCCUCAAUUCUUCUUCCUAUUAAUCUAAUGAAGCAAAUAAAAAAGUUUCUUCUUUCUAACCCUUCGAACCAAACUUCUCUACAGACCUUUCUCUUGUUUCUUUUUCCUCAAUAUUUUAUAAUUUCAAAUUUUAAUAAUGUGGAGAAAUCAAUGGAAUUUAGGGGUGAAUUAUACUUUUAUCGCUAAAAAUAACUUUUAUUGAUGGAAUUUUAGAUGUUGUCAAUGUUGCCAAUUUUUUUAAAAAAAAUUUCUGACGAGUUUGAAAAUUUCAUCACUAAAAGACAUAAUGGGAAAAUUUUGGCGUCGUCAUUUUUUUGGCACAAACACUUUUGUGAUAGAAAAAACCUAUUUUCUCACAAAAGUAUUUGUCACUAAUUACAAUUUUUGGUGACUAAAAGUUAUAACUUUAUAUAUAUAUAUAUAUAUAUAUGCUUGCAAAAUGGUUUCAUUAAGUGGUUGUAUUAUUUCUUGAAAAAUUUGGUAAUUUUAUCGUUAUUGAAUUGUGAUAUUAAUAAGUAAUAUUGAUAAAUAACUAGAUGAUUUAUAUUGUGAAAUAACAUAUGUAUUUUUUUAGACUUAAGAUUUAUACUAUAAUAUUUUAUUUCUAUUAAUAAUAAAAAAAUAAUUACAGAUCCAUAAAAUGAAAUACUACAAUACAGAUUUAUUUAAAUUUAAAUGUUUUGUAAUGUAAUAAUAGUAUUGUUAUGAAAUAAUAAAAAGGUAAAUUAUUUGAGCAGUUAAUAUUUAUAUUGUAAUAUGUUACUUAUAUUUUUUUAUAUAAAUAAUAACAACAAAUAAUUCAAGACAUGUAAGAUUAUUUCAUAUAAUAUAAAUUUAUUUAAAUUUCAAUAUUAUUAUAUGAUGUUACCCAAAUAUAAAUAAUACUAAAUGAUUUUUAUUAUACUCGGUAAAACUUAUCUAUAAAACUCUAAAAUAGUAUUGAAUUUAAGUUAGUUAUGAAGAAGUUAUAGUCCACUAAUUUGUUCUCAUUCAAAAUCAUACCUUGUCAACUUAAGAAGUAAACUUAUACUAACUUUAAUUACAUAUUUUAAAAUAAUAGAGUUUUUUUUUUAAUUAUUACUUGGUUUUUAAAUAAUUGUUCAAAAUGGAGUUUAUCAAAUGUAAAUAUUAUUUAAAAAAUUUGGUACAUCCUUUACAAAAUUUGGUACAUCCUUCACAAAAUUUGGUGCAUCCAAUCCUUGAGCUAUCGAGACCCCUAUUUAAUUACCCAUGGUCCGUUUAUUCCUUUAGGGAUCUUUGUGAAGUGAUUAGAGGUCAAUCCUUAGCUACUUCGAAACAAACUUUGGAAUCCUAGGUACAUCCUUACGAAAAUUUGUUACAUUCAAUCCUUGAGCUAAUGGGACACCUAUCUCUUUUCUCAUGGUCCAUUUAUUCAUUUGGAGACCCUCGGAAAGUGAUUGAAGGUCAUUCCCCACCUUAAAACUAACUUCAACUCCCAUAGUACAUCCUUUACAAAAUUUGGUACAUCCUUUAUAAAAUUUGGUACAUCAUUCACAAAAUUUGGUACAUCCUUAAAACAAUUUGGUACAUCUAAUCCUUGAGCUAUCAGGAUCCCUAUCUUAUUACUCAUGGUUCGUUUAUUCCUUUAGAGAUCUUUGGGAAAUGAUUGGAGGUUGUUCCCUAGUCCGAAACAAACUUUGGAACCCUAGGUACACCCUUAAGAAAAUUUGAUAUAUCUAAUCCUUGGGAUAACGAGACACUUAUCUCCCUUCUCAUGGUCCAUUUAUUCCUUUGGAGACCCCCAAGAAGUGAUUUAAGGUCGUUCCCACCUCAGAAUAGACUUUGGCACCCUUGGUACAUCAUUUACAAAAUUUGGUACAUUCUUCACAAAAUUUGGCACACUCUUCAUAAAAUUUGGUACAUCCUUAAAAAAUUUUGGUACAUCUAAUUCUUGAGAAACUAAGACCUCUAUCUUAUUACCCAUGGUCUGCUUAUUCCUUUAAGAAUCUUUGGGAAGUGAUUAGAGGUCAUUCUCUACUCUGGAAUGAACUUUGGAACCCUAGGUACAUCCUUAAGAAAAUUUGGUACAUUCAAUCCUCGAGCUAUUGGGACACCUACCUCCAUUCUCAUGGUCCAUUUGUUCAUUUAGGAACACUUAGGAAGUAAUUGGAGGUCGUUCCCUACUCUGGAAUGAAUUGUGGAACCUUAGGUACACCUUUAACAAAUUUUUGUAUUUUUAUGGUUAUGUAAUGGUUUGAUGUUGUUGAUCAAAAUGAGGUGGUUGAGUCACAAUUUAUAAUCAUCAAGGGAAAAGAAAUUGUGUUUAUUCAUGACCAGAUGAAAAUGAAUAACAAAUGGAAUUAUUGUCACUUUUAAUGGUAUUAUAUUAUGAAUCAUUUGAAUAGUUUUCUUAAACAAUUUGUCAAUUCCAAAUGGAUUAUAGCUGAAUUGAAAAAUGAAGGAAUAUAGUUGUAGAAAAGAAGGGUUGAAUUUUUGUGGGCAUUAUGGAAGAAAGAAGUCAAACCUUAUAUGAAAAACAGAUUGUUAACACUAGGCAUAAUAGUGGACGACCUUUUCAUGUAGGGGCUAACCCUUUUUAGCUUAUAACCCUUAGUCAUAAUAUUAGUUUUGCUUGAAGUGGUUAGUAACAAAAAUAAGGGUCGACCCUUUAGUUCAUAGGCAAUCCCAUCGUGUUUUUAAUAUUGGUUUUGUUUUAUGUUGGCGGUAGGCAAAACAAAGUUUGGCCCAUUGUUUAAUAGGUAAGCCUUUGAAUAUGGACAUUAUAACCUUAGAACAUGGACAGUGAGGAAAAUAGUGGUCAGCCCAUGUAUUCAGAGGUAGAGCCUGAACUUAUAUUACAUAUCAAAUAAGUACCUAACAAAUAAAUAAAUAAAAGUAAAUGCAUUGUGUGAUGUUUGGUAUAGACAAUACAUUUCAAUAUUUAACACAUUAAUGUCACACCAUAAAGUGUUAAUGAAACGAACUUGGAUUGUUCAUAAUCUGAAUGAGACAUUAAUAUAUGAUGACUAUAUAUGUGAUCGUGACAAUUGUUAUAAGUAAUUAGUUUUGACAGGGUUAUUUACAAAUAUAUAUUUAAACAACUAAAUACCUAAUGAGGUCUAAGUGUGAGAAUAAAAUAAUUUAUGCUUGUUUUGUAAAUGUUGAAAGUAUUUUUGUGAUGAAUAUGUAUUAUUGGAAAUAUUUACGAACAUGCCUAGCUUAUUGAUAUGUGUGUAUGUGUGUGUGUGUGUGUGUGUGUGUGUGUGUAUUAAAAAAGUAAAAUCAAUGAUGUUCAUCCUUUCCUCGUAAGAAUAUACGUUGGGUUCCGAAGUCCAUUUUAGGGUAGGGAAUAACCUCCAAUCAAUUCUCAAGGGUCUUUAAAGGAAUAAACCAACCAUGGCUAAUAAGAUAGGGGUCCCGAUAGCUCAAGGAUUGGAUGUACCAAAUUUUGUGAAAAAUGUUACAAAUUUUGUAAAUGAAAUACCAAAUUUUAUAAAGAAUGAACCAAGGGUGCCAAAGUCCGUUUUGAGGUGAGGAACGACCUCCAAUCACUUCUGAAGGGUCUCCAAAGGAAUAAAUGGACCAUGUGAAGGGAGAUAGGUGUCUCAUUAGCCCAAGGAUGGGAUGUAUCAAAUUUUCUUAAGGAUGUACCUAGGAUUCCAAAGUCCGUUUUGGAGUAGGGAAUGACCUCCUAUCACUUCCCAAAGAUCCCUAAAGGAAGAAAUAGACCAUGGGUAAUAAAAUAGGGGUCCCAAUAGCUUAAGGAUUGGAUGUACCAAAUUUUUUAAAGCAUGUUCCAAGGGUGCCAAAAUCCAUUCCAAGGUUGAGAACGACCUCCAAUCACUUUCUAAGAGUCUCCAAAUGAAUAAAUGGACCAUAGGAAAGGAGAUAGGUGUCCCGUUAGCUCAAGGAUUAGAUGUAACAAAUUUUCUUAAGGAUGUACCUAGGGUUCUAAAGUUUGUUUUGAAGUAAGGAGCAACCUCCAAUCACUUCCCAAAGAUCCUUAAAGGAAUAAACAAACCAUGGAUAAUAAGAUAGGGGUCUCGAUAGUUCAAGAAUUGGAUGUACCAAUUUUUUUUUAAGGAUGAACCAAAUUCUGUGAACGAUGUACCAAAUUUUGUAAAUGAUGAACCAAAGUUGCCAAAGUCUAUUAUGAUUAGGGGGUCAUUCAGUCACUUUUCGAGGGUCGGCCUCUAAAGGAAUAAAUAGACCAUGGGAAGUGAUAUAGGUGUCCCUUUAGCUUAAAGAUUGGAUGUACCAAAUUUUCUUAAGGAUGUACCUGUGGUUCAAAAGUCCAUUUCAGAGUAAGGAUCAACCUCUAAUCACUUCCCAGAGAUCCCUAAAGGAAAAAAUAGAUCAUGGGUAAUAAGAUAGCGGUCCUUAUAGUUCAAGGCUUGGAUGUACCAAAUUUUUUUAAGGAUGUACCAAAUUUUGUGAAGGAUGUACAAAAUUUUGUAAAGGAUGUACAAAAUUUUGUAAAGGAUGUAUCAAGGGUGCCAAAGUCCAUUUUGAGGUUGGGAACGACCUCUAAUCACUUCCUGAGGGUCUCCAAAGGUAUAAACAACCUCCAUCUAUACUAAGGUAGGAAACGACAUAUAAUGACUUCCCAGGAGUUCCUAAAUGAACAAAUGAACCAUGGGAAGGGAGAUAAGGGUUCCAAUAGCCCAAGGAUUGGAUGUACCAAAUUUUCUUAGGGAUGUACCUAGGGUUCCAAAGUCUAUUUAGAGGUGAGGAAUGGCCUCCAAUUACUUCUCAAUGGUCCCCAAAUGAUGAAAUGACAUAAGGGUCCCAAUAGCCUGAUGAUUGGAUGUACUAAUUUUUAUUAUGGAUGUAAUUAGGGUUCCAAUGUUAGUUUCAAGGUGGGGAAUGGCCUUUAAUUACUUCCUGAUGAUCAGAUAUACCAAAAUUUCUUAAAGAUGUAUCUAGGGUUCAAAAGUCAGUUUUGGGGUGAGAAAUAACCUCCAAUUACUUCCUAAUGGUCCCUAAAUGAGCAAAUAAACCUUGGGAAGAGAGAUAGAGGUCUCAAUAGCCCAAGGAUUGGAUGUACCAAAUUUAUAUAAGGAUAUAUCUAGGGUUCCAAAGUCUAUUUUAAGGUAGGAAACGACAAGGGUCCUCAAAAGAUCAAAUGGACCAUGGGAAUGGAUAUAUGGGUCCUGGUAGCCCAAGGAUCGGAUAUACCAAAUUUUCUAAAGGUUAUACCUAGGAUUCCAAACUCCAUUCCGAGAUGGGAAACAACCUCCAAUCCUUUCCUAAAGGUCUCCAAAAGAAUAUAUGGACCAUGAGAAGAGAUAUAGGGAUUUUGAUUUCCCUAGGAUUGGAUGUAUCUAUUUUUGUUAAGGAUGUACCUAGGGUUUCAACAUUCGUUUUAGGAUGCAGAAGGACCUCCAAUCACUUAUCAAAGGUCCCCAAAGGAAUAUAUAGACCAUGAUAAGGGAGAUAGGGAUCCUUAUUCCCUUAGGAAUGGAUGCACCUAUUUUUCUUAUGGUUGUACCUAUUUUUUAUGAAAUUAAUAUAAAAGGUUAACUACAAUUUUUUUAGUGAAAAAUAUACUUUCUUUUAUAUUUUAUUUUAAUUAAAAAUUAAAUAUUUUAAUGAAAAAAAAAAAAGAUCCAUGAUCAAGGUAAAACCAUAAAAAUAAAAAAUAAGGAUAAAAGAAUCAUCACUUACUAUGAUUUUGAUAUGAUAAAUUUAAAAUAAAAUAAAAAUAAAAAUAAUAUAAAUAAUAAAAUAGUAUUACAAAUAUAUUUUUACUUUUAUGUGUGAUAUGAUUUAUAAAAUAAAUAAAUCUUUUAUUUAGCAUUAAUAUAACAAAUCUUAUAUCAUAAACCUAUAAAUAAUAAAAUAUAAUUUUUAAGUUUAAUCCUUGAUUUAUUAAAUGUAUUACUAUAAUUAAUAUUUAAAAUCAUCAAGUAUAUUAUUUGUGGAAUAAUAUUUUCAUUUUUGUCCAUUAUAUAUUUAUGUUUUUAUUUAACUUGUUAUAUUAACUAUUUAUUAUAUAUUAUUAUUUUAAAGUUAAUAUGUCCAAAAAAUAAUUAAAAUCAAUAAAUUUGGACAUAUUAGAGAGUUAAAAAAAAAUUGAAGAAGUUUUAUGAGAUAAUACAGAGAAAAAAAUAGUUAUUGGUGUACUUGACAACAACAUUUAAUGUGGUAAGUGUACUUGCCCUCAACUUUUGAGGGUGAUUUUGCAACAAAUUCAUAAGCACUAUUGGAGUGCAUGAAUUGGUAAAAAAAAAUUUCAUUUUACAUUAAAAUUGAAAAAGUAAAAGCACAAUUCUAAAAACCAUAUUUUUUUUAAUUUGUGAUGUACAAAGCAUGAUUAUCCCAAUUUUAAAUAAUACAAAAAUCAUAAAUUUUUAAUUUUAAUUUGUAAAUUUUAAUGUUUAAUUUUUUUAAUUUCUAAAUUUUAAAUAAUAUAAAACUAAUGGCAUGAUGAAGUGCAUUAAAUGUGUUGUAGUAGCAUGUUGUAUUUUUGUAGCAGAUAUGACAUAGAUGGAGUUGUGUGGAGUGUUGUUUGGGAAAAAAAGAUGAAAAAAAAAAUUCUCAGACCCUCACCUAGUCAAGCACCAUUGCAAGUUUGAAAAAAAAAAACCCAUUUUUAAAAAGGGAGAAAACCACCAUCGCAAACAAUGGCUCACCAUAUUUGUACCUGAUGCCAUAUCAUCUUCAACCUUUCAUCAUUUUCACCACCAACCCAGCUACCUUCUUGAAAAGUCAUUUUACAAGUGCCAAUCAUACCCACCAUUCUCCAUGACACAUCUGUAUCUGAUAAUAAUUGUGAAAAUGGGCCAUUUGAUUAAGCAAAUCACUAAAGGGGGGGAAGAGAUGAAUUAAGUGUUAUAUUUUUUAUUUUAUUUUUUCAAAAACAACCAAUUAAUAACAAAAAGAAUAAGAGAUGUUAACUAAGGCAAUAAUUAAGUAAAAGAUAAAGAGAAGAUAUAUGCAAACUCUUUUAUAGUGGUUCAAAAAUCCACAUAUAUCCAUUGUUUUUAACCUCCUAAGUAAGUGAGGGUUCCACUAUCAAAGGCCUUCAACCUAAGCCUUCAAGCUUUAUAUUUGGAUUCAUGGGCUUCAAUGGACACUCACAAUCCUUUCAAAUACUUCACCCACUUGAAGUCUCUUCACUCAAAAUGAGUAAAUAAGGAAAGUUCUAAUGCUUUCUAUUAAGACAUUGAGUCUUAUUUAUAUGUUGGAAAUUUUCUUUUUAUUUUAUGUUUCAUCAUAGAAGUCUUUUUAGAUAGUGGCUUGCUCCCCAUUGAAGAUCAAGGGUGGUUGUUCGUCCAACCAAGAAGUCAUAGGUAUAUUUAAAAAGGUUUGACUUGUUGCAUAUAAGGCUUCUUUGAGGUAUAAAAGGUUCAGUAUCAUUUUUGGACAUAGAAUGUUUUAAAAUGAUUUUUCAAAAGAAGUAGGGGCUGCUCAAGUGGAAAGGACCACUCAACCAGUUAGCCUGCUCAAGUGGUAAGGAUCGCUCAAGUAGUCUAAGUCUACUCAAGCGGUCAUAACAGUCCUGCCAAGUUUAGACACAAAUUUUGGAUGAAUUUCACUCAAACUCUAGUUUGAAAACUUAAGAUAUUGAAACCAUUUGGGCUAUAACUACUUUCUUAAUAACCCCUUAAGGGUUAGGGAUCAAAGAUUGAAGAGAUCUUAGAUAUUAAAAUACUUUCAUUCUUAAAAAAAGGGACUCCUUGAGAGAAAGUCUAAAUUGCUAUAUCAUUCAUGAUUUCUCAUUCAAGGAUUUGAAUCUUUAAAUCGUGGGUUGAAGACCAUAAUUCCUUAGAAGUGGCAAAAAGAUCUACUAGGGAGAAAUAGGAAGUUGCUAUGUCACAAACGUGGAUUAAGUUGUAGGUGUUGAAGAGUAAGUCUUUAGGGUAAAGCAACCAAGUAAAUUUGUGUAACUUGAUUUCGAAUAGUGGAUUUAGAUUGGUAGGUCUUAGAUCUUGUGGUUUUUUUUCUCCAUAGUUUGUGAAUCUUAUGCCUCAUUGUCUAUAUUUUUUAUAUUUGAUAUUAUGUUUGUAGGGUUUUCAUAAAAGGUGCAUAUCUAUAUAUUCUUGCUUAGAUUUUAUUUGAUUAAGUUUGACUGAUUUCUUGGGAUUGUUAUUGAGGUUAUUAGGGUUGUUAUCUUGGUGGUUAUGAUUGUUAUCCUUAUAAUUAAUUAUUAUUAUCCCUAACAUCUCUCAGGAUAUCCUUUGGAUAUUAAUAAUUAAUUUAUAUUAUCCCAAAUAAUCUUUGGAUAUCAAUUAACCAUAAAAAUCAAGUUUUACCAUUCUAAAUUUGAGGUGAACUCAUUUUUUAAUAUCCAAGAUAACCUUGAAAAUUUCUUAGAUGUAUAAAAAUUUGAUAUAACAUAUAAAUCUUUAUUUAAAAUUUUAAAUCACCCAUUCAUCCCACCUUUGGAUGUUCGUUAUUGGACAUUCAGUUGUUAUUCAAGUGAUAUUAAAGCAAUACCCACUUUUCAAUUGGUAUUAGAGUGGAAUAAAUAAUCGAUUCUUUAUCCUAUUGAUUAAAAAUCCAAUUUUUAUUGAUCAGAUGGUUUAAAAAUCAAUUUUUUAUUAUUCAAAUAGGAUAAAAAUCAAAAUUUUAUUGAUUCUAUAUGUCUAAUGUGGAACAAUAAAAAAAUGGUGCUCCUUUGAAUAGUCCACCUUAUUUUGAUGGGAAUAAUUACUCCUAUUGGAAAGCACGAAUGAUGUUUUUCCUCAAAAUGCAAGGUGAAAGGGUGUGAAACUUAAUUGAAUAUGGUUGGGGACUACCAUUAAUCCUUGAUACUCAAGGAAGAUCAAUAGGUGAACUUAAACCUAAAAAAGAAUGAGACAAAGCCGAUAAUGAAUGUAGUGAAGCCAAUACUAGGGCUUUAUUUAAUAUUUGUAAUGGAGUUUGUCCAUAUAGGUUUUGCAGGAUAGCUAAUUGCAAACAUGAAAAUGAAGCAUGGGAUAUUCUUCAAGUCACUUGUGAAAGCACGUCCUCUGUAAAGAUUUCUAAAUUACAAAUGCUUGUUACUAGGUUUGAAAAUAUUAGGACGCAUGAAAAUCAAACUUUUUCUUCCUUUUAUUUUGAAUUAAGUGAUAUUGUAAAUUCUUCGUUUAAACUUAGAGAACUUAUUCCUAAUUCUAAGGUAGUUAGGAAAAUAUUAAGAUCUUUUCUAGAGAAAUUUAGACCUAAGGUAACUACCAUAGGGGAGAGUAAGGACAUUGAUUUCGUGAGUUGAUGAACUUGUAGGCUCCAUUCAAAUUAAUUUGCUUUUAGAUUUCAGAUUGAUUGUUUUUUUUUCUAAAAAAAACAUUUAAAAAAUUUUUUGACUAAACAAAAAAAGUCAAAAUAUUUAAUUUUUUUUAAUGAUAAAAGUAACAUAUUGAUUUUUCGUCUGAGUGGUACAACCUAGAUGGAUGGAAUUGGAGAUAUGCUUGAAGUGAGUUUGAAAUGUUGGGUUAUGUCUGUCCAGCCCAUGAGCCCAUAUAUUUGACUAUUUUAUAUUUGGAUAUUCCCUAAGCCCAAAUAUGGAUAUAUGAAUAGCAUUAUGGCUUUGGUAUUAUGAGAAAAGGGCAUUUGAUUGAGAAAAUGAAAGAAGAUCGGGGUUUAUUUUCUAGGCACUAUUCUAGGGCUCAAGGGUGAAGUUAUAGGUUCCUUUCAUCAACCUUUUAGGGAAAUCCUAUGGUAUGUUUUCUCCUUAUUUCUUUUUGUUCAUGUUUCCUAGGAUGAUGGAUUCUCACCUCAAGUAUUUAGUUAUUUAUAUAAGUUCUCAAGGAGAAGAAACCUGAGGACUUAAUUAUUGUAUCCCCAUUUAUUAAAGUGGAAGAAAUUUUCUCUGUGGUUUUUUUACCUCAAUUUGAAGGGUUUUUCCAUGUUAUAUUUGGUGUCCUCUUUUUGGUUUAAUGUUCUUGAUUACCAUUCUUGAUUCUUGUUAGGUUGUUAUUAUUCUUGAGAAUGUUAUUAUUAUUCUUGAGAAGGUGGUUAUUAUUGUUCAGUGAUUGUUAUUAUUGUGGAGGAAUCUUUUAAUCUUGACAAGUUAAUACUCUAGAUAUCUCUCUUUAUCUUCCCAACAAGUGGUAAUAGAGCUUGGUUGUGGGAACUUUUAUUCUUUAAAGGGAUGAAGAUAGAAGGGAAUUCAACCUCCAUGAUAAAACUUAACAAUUCAAAUUGGGUUAUAUGGAAGUCCAUGAUGGAAGAUUUUCUAACCAUCAAAGAUUUGUUAGAUACUCUUGAGGGUGAAGAAUCUAAGCCCAAAGAUAUUUCUUAUUUGGAAUGGAAUAAGAUGAAGAAAAAGAUAAUUGCCUCUAUUAGGCAAUGGAUUGACACAUCCUCACGUCAUCAUGUGGCAAAUGAAAUAAAUGCCUAUAAUCUCUGGAAGAAAUUGGAAUCAGUGUUUGAAUAAAAAACUAUUGGGAAUAAAAUUUUCUUGGUAAAGAGUUAGUGAAUAUGAAGCUAAAGGAAGGAACACUAAUGAUAGAUCACUUGAAUGCUUUUCAGAGCAUUGUUAAUCAAUUGGAUGCUAUGAAAAUGGUAAUAGAUGAUGAGAUGCAAGCAUUUUUAUUAUUGUGUUCAUUACCAGACAAUUAGGAAACUUUUGUUGUGACUAUUAGCAACUCUGUUUCGAAUGGUGCAUUAUGUAUGGAGCUUGUGAAGGGAAAUUUGUUCAAUGAAGAGACAAUAAGAAAGGCUUAUGAGAUAGAAAAUGCAUAGACCCUCAUCAUAGAAAGUAAAGGAGGAAAUAGGAAUAGAUGACAGAAAGGUUAUAUCAAAUUUGAGGGAAGGUCCCAAUCUAGAAAUAAAAUCAAAUUUUUUCUUUGUGGAAAAGAUGGGCAUAUGAAAAGGAAUUGUCGAAUUUGGAAAAGAGAACAAAAUAAGCAGAAUUAGGGAAAAGAAGAUGACAAGAAUACCACAGCCUUUGUAUCCAACAGUGAUGAAGUUUUAGUGCUCUCAGAUGAGUGUUUGCAUGUAGAUGAGUAACGAGUUGAGUGGAUUAUAGAUAUCGCAACCUCCUACCAUGCUACUCCUCACUUGGAGUUGCUUUCUUAUUAAAGAGUUGGAGACUUUGGCAUAGUCAAGAUGGGAAACUCUUGUCACUCCAAGAUUGUAGGGAUGGGUGAUGUUUUCUUUGAAACUAACAUAAGGUGCAAGUUGACAUUGAAAUAUAUAAGGCAUGUUCUAGAUUUACGCCUUAAUGUGGUACUUUGUCACUUUUAUUGAUGAUGCUACCAAGAAGGUAUGGAUUUAUUUUCUUAGAUAAAAAAAAUCAAGUCAUUCAGUAUUUUCUAUAGUUUCAUGUCAUGGUUGAGAGAAAGACUAGAAGGAAACUGAAGUGUCUCAGAUCGAUAAUGGAGGUGAGUACACCUCAAGGGAGUUUGAAACUUACGGCACUAGGAAUGGUAUAAAGCAUGAGAAAAUUGUUCCUAGCACUCCAUAACAUAAUGGUUUGGCUGAAAUGAUGAAUUGCACCAUCAUUGAGAGGGUUAGGUGUAUGCUGAAGACUACAAGCUUGUCUAAGGCAUUUUGGGGUGAAGCUACUCAGACUGCCUGCUAUUUGAUAAAUAGAUCUCCAUCAGGUCCAUUGAACUUUAAGGUUCCAAAUAAGGAAUGGACAAGAAAAGAUGGUUCCUGUUCCCACUUGAGGGUCUUUGGAUGUAAAUGUUUUGUGCAUGUUCCCAAAAAACAGAGAUCCAAACUUGAUGAUAAGGCAAUUCCACAUGUCUUUAUUGGGUAUGGUGAUGAAGAGUUUGGAUUUAGAUUGUGGGAUCUAACCAAGAAGAAAUUGGUGAGAAGUAAAGAUGUGGUGUUCCAAGAUGAUCAAACCUUGGGAGAUUUUAACAAAGCUAAUCAAUCUAAAGGUACAAGUGAUGACUUCAUUGAGUUGAUACCUAUUCUUCUAUCAUUAGAGUUAGAAUUUAUAGGAUCAAUUCAUGCAAAAAUAAAAUUGGGCCUUUGUGGGAGCCCAACAUCCAUGAUAUUUUCCUUCACAAUAACCCAAGUGAAAUGCAGGUUAGGUAUUUAUUGACUUUGAUCCGAUUCAUGAAGUGUGUGAGAUUAUUUUCUAUGGUACACUAAUCUUUUUCCUUUGAGGCACUUUUCUUGUUGCAUAGGUAUGCUCUUAUCUCUACCUUGUCUAUUUAUUUAGUCCUCAUUAUCAUGCAUGAUUUGUUUUAGUCCAUGACUCUUGCUCCUUGGUAUCCAACAAUUAACUAGUCAAUUGGCAUACUUGCUUUAACUUGAUUAGUAGAUACCUGAUUUUAGGGCUUAGAGGUGUGCAAUGACUUAUCAUCAUACCUUCCUGAUAGGUAACUUGACCCCCGAAUCCUAACUCGGUUUUCACAAACUUCUUUUUCCCUUAUAAGAGUCACAAUUAGGGUUUUCUUUCUUAUUUUGUUUUCAUUUCUUAAAAAUAAUAAACAAUAACAAGUGACUCCAAGUUUUUUCCUAAAAAUCAAAAUUUUCACAAAUAAAAAGCAAGUCUUGGUAUCGAGUGGAAAUGCAUGUGAAAAAUACGAGUUCAUAAGAUCCUAUACUGGGGCAUAUUUCCUGACUUUGAGCUUAUAUUCAUAUCAUAUUCAAUUGGGACUUCAUUAGGGACAUGCUUCUAUUCUUGAGACUAUCAAACCUCUUGUCAUUUUGGUCAUACUUUUGAGAUUUAAUUUGGAGUAUUUCCUUUCAGACAUUGACAAAUUUAAAUUUUGAUUUCUUAGUGCAUUAUCAUUAAGUUAGAGACAUCAUGAUUACCAUAGUUUCUUCAGGAGUAUCUUUACCCAAUCAAAUAAAUGAGGAUGUUUAUGCUUUUAGUGUAGUUGAUGAGUUUAGUUUCUUCUCAUAAACAAAUUUUCUUAAGAAAUAUGUUGAUAUCUCAUUAGUGAGUUUAGGUUGAUGUCAUCUUAUUGAAAGCAUUUGAUCAGCAUCUUAUUUUUUCUCAGUUGAGCAUCUCAUAUGUCAUUUUGGCAAUUGUAGUUUAAGUGUUAGACAAAGUUUUGAUAUGACUCUUGUUGUUAUGAUAGAGUUUCAAGUGAUAUAAUGACUUUUCAAUAUAGGAUCAUAUUUUUUUAUUCACUUUCAGGACACUUUUGAGACAAGCAAAGUUUGACCUUGUUGAUGGUUGAUUGUUAUUUGAUAUUAGGACAUACCUUUUUGCAAUUUUACCUUGGUGGAUGAUUUGUCAAUUUUAUCCUUGCACAUUGGGGCAUACCCCUUUCAUUGAGAUUAUACAAUCUUUCGUUGACUUUGUGGCCUCUUGAUUCAUUUGCUAAUUCCUAUGAGUUAUCAUAUUAGGCUUGUCCUCAUUUCUUUUGUUCUCACUUAUGUUAGGUAUUCUCAGUUGCAAUCCUUGUACUCACCCUUCUUUCAAUUUGUUUAGGCACACCCCUUUGAUGAGCAUAUUUAUGGCAUCCUUUCAAUUUGGUUUCCUUUGAGCAUCAUCUAGGGCAUACCCCUUUCAUAGCCUAAAGUUGUUCAUCAUAUCUCAAUUUAGAGUUUAUUAUCAUUUUAGUUUCAUUUGUGGCAUUCCUUUUAUUUCGAUUUCAUUUGUUGCAUUCUUAUCUUUGAGUAUCAUUUAUGGCAUACCCUCUUCUUUUCAAUGAGUUGAUCAUUUAUAUUUUUAGUCAUCCUUUAGUGGUUCAACUUGGAGUCACAAAUCAUGAUUUCCCUUAGGCAUUUAGAAUCCACAACUCCUCUCUUUGAGUAUCAUCUAAGGCAUACCCUCUUCUAUUUAGUGAGUUGAUCAUCCUUAUCUUAGUCACUCUUAGUGGUUUAACUUGGAGUUGCAAAUCAUGAUCUCUCUUAGGCGUUUAAAGCCCAUAGCCUAGAGUUGUUCAUUUUAUCUUAGUCAAGAGUUUAUUAUCUUACAUUUUUCAUUUACAACAUUCCUUCAUUCCAGUUUUGUUUAUGGCAUUCCUCUUUGAGUAUUAUUUAGGGCAUACCCUCUUUUAUUUAGUGAGUUGAUCAUCCUUAUCUUAGUUAACCUUAGUGGUUCAACUUGGAGUCAUGGAUCAUGAUCUCCCUUAAGCGUUCAAAGCCCACAGCUUGGAGCUAUUCAUUAUAUCUUAGUUCAAAGUUUAUUAUUAUUUUUGUUUCGGUUAUGGCAUUCUUUCAUUUUGAUUUUGUUUAUAGCAUCCUUAUCUUUGAGUAUCAUAUGGGGUAUACCCCAUUUUUUUCAGUGAGUUGUUCAUCCUUAUCUUUAGUCACCCUUCAGUGGUUCGACUUGGAGUUGCAGAUUGCAAUCUCCCUUAGGUGUCACUAUAAGAAAUUUUACUUUUCCUGACUAAUAUACAUAGUUGAAAUAAACAUUUACUAACGGAUAAUCUCGACGCAUGGUAGUUAGAGAAAGGUGUGUUGGCAAAAGUUUAUUGAUGGGAAUUUUUCGUUGCCAGUAAAAAAAAAUUAGCAAUAAACUAUCCAAUGGAUUUGGACCAUUGCUAUUACCAACAAAUUAAGUUGGUGGGGAAAUGUAAAUAAUUAAAUAUUUUAGAAUGUCAUUUAAUCUCGAUUUCAUUAUAUUCAACAUAGAGCACCUUGUUACACUCCUUGCUAGUUUUCGAUAUUUACUUGGUUGUUGGCUAACCACAACACUCUUUGCUAGUUUUGGAUAUUGACUUGGAUGCUUUUUUUUUUUUUCCUGGAAUUGAACUCAUGACGCCAAGUUUGAAAGGAAGAAACUAUGCCAUCAAGCCAACUUUGUUAUUUGCAAGAUAAAGAAUAGAUAUAAGAUUCAUAAGUGUAAAUAUCCUAUACUUACACGUUUAUAUUAUAAAUAUUAUCUAUAUAUAAAUACAUAUUAUAAAUUAUAUAUGCAUGAAUUAAUAUUAAUGCAUAUAUGUGUAUAUAUAUAUAUAUAUAUAGAUAGAUAGAUAAUAAAUUAAUUAAAAUAAAAUUAUCAACAUUUUAAAUAAAAAAUACUUACACAUGCAUUAUCGUUUUUUAUUUUAUAUUAUUGAGUACAUUCAAAUUAGAUAAAUCUCUAUAAAAUGUAUUUUAAAAUUCUAAAUAUUAUUAUUGGACGUCACAAAUUAUAUUAUACAUAUACUAAUUUCUUUAAUAAAACAACCUCAAAAUUUCUAUUAUUACUUUUUAUACCAUUUAUUUACAUUUUUUCUCAACAUUUUCAUAAGUUUUGAUCAAUUUUCAUCUCAUCGAUGUUUUGUGUCAGAAUAUCCAUCAAUAUUUCCAGAUAUACACUUCAAAACCAAUAUAUAUAUAUAUAUAUAUAUAUAUGGAUAAUAAUAAUAAUAAUAAUAAUAAUAAUAAUAAUAAUAAAGUAGUUAAAAAUUAUUAAAAUGUUAAAACUAUUAUGAUUAUAAAAUAUAUAUAUAUAUGUUCUCUAUAAAUAUUUUAUGAAACUAAAAAAAAAAAAAAUCAUAAAAUUGUUUUGUCAUUGGCUAGAUCAUAUUUAUCAUAUAACUAUGGUAAAAAGAUUUCAUAUUCAUAAGACAACAAUUAUGUGAGGUAUUAUUAUUGACUAUAAUAACACUAUUUUAGUGACUAGUAAUUUUUAUAGAAAAAUUGUUUAUGAAAUUUCAUUUUUUUUUUACAAGUAAAUUGCUUUUGUGACAAAGUAUAUUAGUUGAGCAUUUACAACGGUUUAAAUCCAUCGCAAUAAUACUUUUCUGGACAAGUAUUUGUUGUUGCAAUUAUUGUUGGUAAAUAGUUGCAUAUAAGUGAUAGACAAUUCAAUUAGCAAUGGAAUAGGUGUGUUAGAAUUUUGUGAUAGCUUAAAUUUGUCGCAAAAGUAAAUAUAAAUGGAUCGACAAUACUUAAUUUUUUGGUAAUGUGUUUAGAGCCUACAACUCGAAGCUAUUCAUUAUAUCUUACUUUAAAGUUUAUUGUCAUUUUUGUUUCAUUUAUGGCAUUCCUUUAUUUCGAUUUUGUUUAUGGCAUCCUUAUCUUUGAGUAUCAUCUAAGGUAUACCACUUUCUUUUCAAUGAGUUGAUCAUCCUUAUCGUAGUCACCCUUAGUGGUUUGACUUGGAGUCAUGGAUCGUGAUCGUUUUUAGGCAUUCAAAGCCCAUAGCUUGGAGUUGUUCAUUAUAUCUUAGUUCAAAGUUUAUUAUCGUUUUCAUUUUGUUUGUGGCAUUCCUUCAUUUCAAAUUUUUUUGUUGCAUCCUUAUCUUUGUAUAUCAUUUGAUGUAUACCUCCUUCAUUGAGAUAAUUAGAUCUUCAUUUUCAUUCAGUUGAUCAUUCUUAUUUUAGUCACCUUUUAGAGGUUUGACUCAAAAUUGUGGAUUGCAAUCUUGAUCCCUUAGGCUAACACUACAGACGGUACUAUUCAUUACAUCCACAACCUUAAGUUGUUCAUUACAUCACAACCUUGAGCUGUUCAUUACAUCAACAACCCUAAGUUGUUUAUUGCAUCACAACUCUAAGUUGUUUAUUCUUGCACAAACUUGAGCCUUACAUUAUUUAGUCACCUUAGAGUGGUUUGUCUUGGAGUUUGCUUAUCGCAUUCUUCUUUUUGACCGAUUUUAGGGUGUUCAAAGCCCCCAUCUUUUAAGUGUUUAGAGCCUACAACCUUGAGUUGUUCAUUGCAUCACAACCUUAAGUUAUUCAUUGCAUCAUAACCUGAAGUUGUUCAUCAUUUUCAAUUAUCUUUGAGUUAUUUAACCUAGAUUUUGUGCACCACACUCCCCCUUUCAGCUAAAUUUUAGGCAUUCAAAGCCCACAUUUUUUAGUUAUUCAUUGCAUCACAACCCUAAGCUAUUCAUUAUAUCCACAACCCUUAGUUGUUCAUUGCAUAUACAUUCUCAAUACCUUGUCAUCUUUUGUAUGCAAAGUUAUUCUUUUACCUAGUUUAGUGAUCUUGAGUUCUGAGCUUACUGAAUCAUGUGAUAGGACAAAAUUUCUAGUCCCUUUUAGUUCUUCAGCAUAGUUCACUUCAUUCCACUCGUUACUCUUACUUCUAAUCCUAUUCCUUUCACUAGUGAUCUAUAUUAAAGAGGGGCAUAUUUGUAGAUCCCUCAUUUUGUCCUCCUAACACAUGUGAUACUUUAUGUUUUCCUAAGCUUCUCUCUUACCCUAUGGUUAUCCCUUAAUGACCCAUUAACACCCAUAUAGAUUUUUUUUUUCCUAAGCUACCUUUGGGGACACUUUGGUGAGGGGCUCAUUUGGACCCGCAAUGUGACUUUGACAGCUUCUCAAGUUAGUUUUUAGGUUAGACUUCACUUAGGCUUUGUUUCCAAGAUAACGUCACUUAGAUCUUUUUUAUACUAGGAUCACUUAGACACUUCACUAAGCUUAGUUCACUUAGGUUGGUUUGCUUGAGUUUGAUUGCUAGGUUUUAGGUUUAGGUGAGUUCUUGACUUGGGUUAAGUAUCAAUCUUUAGUUAUGUGAGUUCGACACAUUGAUUUUCUUAUUAUCUAUUACAUUAAGAUUAAUAUUUAGAUUUUGAUUGCAUGCGUUAAAUUUCUUUUCUUUUUGUUUUAUUUAUUUAUUUAUUUUAGAAAAUUUAUAUGAGACUAAUGUUAUGACUUUUAAUUGCUUGAAUUGAUGUUUGAUCUUAAAUAUGAAUACGAUUGACCUUUAAUUUUUAAUUGCAUAAUUUUGAUUUGCUUUAAUUUUCAAUUUCAUGACUUUUACUAAUUUUAAACUUUAUUUUAAUUUUACAUGAGAUUUGAAUGUAUACAUUGGAGAAGAUCCCUUAGCGUACACAAUUGCCCUUAUAAUAGGAUGAAGAUCAAGACACUUUGGAGAUCCUUUUUUAGUUGAAGUGAUACAACCUACAACCUACAUGUGAACAACAUGCACCCAUUAACCUUCUACAAGGUGCAUAGUCUACACAAAAGAAGACAUUUAUGCAACAUAGAUACAGGUUUCUUUCCUCAAAAAAGUGUAGGUUGUAUGACCCAAUCUAUAAGGAUAUAUGACCACUUUAGGGUCUCACCCAAAUGUUGAACCCUCCUAUUUAUUUUGGCAUAGACUCAAUAUCCUCUUAAGGUUAAGAGUCAAUGUAGUAUGGUAACUUGGUGAAUCAUGAUAAUCGAUAGCCUUGUGUCAUGAUUCACCAUAGACCUUGUCUAAUAUGCAUCAAAUACACUAGUGCACUCACCAUGGGAAACCCAUCCCGAUGGCCAAGACAAGCCACCCCUCCAAUUAGGAGGUGAUGCACUAGAGUCUUUACUGGAUUGCCCAAAUCCAUGAACCAACGGUGGACAACUUAUCUACUUACAAGGAACCCAUGACUUGUAUCUUUUGUGCAACUCAUAAUGCACCCAAGUCAUGUACAAUGUAAGAGACAUGGACUAAAUGCUCAAAUCAAUGUCAAUACACUAAAAGGAUAGCAAGGGGAUGGUUAAGUCUAACUUUGUUACAUCAUGUCUUGCUUUUAAAGGCUCAAUCCUAAAAAACUCCCACUAGCCCUAAAAUCAAACUGGGCAUCAUAGAAAAAAUUGUUUCAUGUCUCAUAACCUCUCUAUACUAUCUCACAAUAAGGUAACACUUCUUAUUUAUGUGUUUCCUCUUCUGGUGGUACUUCAAUUCUUUAGACCAUGUCAUUGUCCUACUGUUAUCACAUAACAGGAUCUUAGAUGAUAUAGCCAAGGGAACUACCAAUAAGUCAAAAGGCUUUCUUUGUUGCUAUAAAAACAACAAAAACCCACUUAGAGUGUACACAUACCCAGAGAUAGACUUAUAAGAGUCCUUAUCAAACUAAAGUCCAAUUUCCUAGUAUGAAAGGAGUACCACCUCAUCACAAAGGCUCACAAACAUAUAAUUCCUUGUUUUCCAAAGAUACUAGAGUAUAUGUUUGAAAUCUGGCCAAAGCUCUAAUAAGGAAAUGGACUAAUAUCCACUCAUUAUUCCUACAAAAAAGCAAAUAUAUAGUCUAGCACAUAGUAUCGCAUAUUUAAGGCAAUCCAUUAUAGAGACAUUGGAUAUCGCCUUAAUGCAAUCUCUCUCCAUAGAUGUCUAAGGACAUUGAUCCUAAGAAAGAAAAGUCUAAAACCAAAAAGUAACAAACCUUCUUGGCGUUUUGCAUCAUGUACUUGACCAAGUGCUCAUCUAUGUAGGUGACAUGGUGAAAUUUUCCUAUUCUUGCAAUCCUGAAGGAUCAUAACCCGAAGAAUAUAUUGCAUCUUCCUCUAGAUUUUCAUCCAGAAUUGAGUAGACUAUCAGAUCUUGACUUAUGACAAUAUCCCCACAUCAUAUCCAAUGAGUAGAUUGCAUAUACCUACAAGAUCUUAGAGCAUCACGACGCUUUCUUAUGUCUUUUUGUACACACAAGGCUAUUUGCUAUGAAAAUGUUUGGUUGUCAUAUCUUACAAAUAUGACACACUGCAAUAGAUAGUAGUAAUAUGAUGGAUUUGAGUAUGAUCACUAUUGAGAAGGUUUUCCAUAGUUGAAACAAAUUUCAAAAGGAUCACAAUUCGGAGUUGAAACAAGGGAGUUAUAGUCGACUAAAGCUAGGUUGAGCAAAGAGCAUGGUAACACAAUGAUGCUGACUUUAACUCAAAAUCGGGGCUACCUCCCGUGAGCUUUUUAAGGCAAACCACAUAUGGUUUUGAAGCUUAAGAAGUAAAAAAUCCAGUACUUCAAAAGGAUUUCAAUUUGGCAUUGAAGAAACGAGGGAGAUAUGGUUGAUUGAAGCUAAAUUGCACAAAGGGCAUGCAAUUACAAGAUGGAGUUCAAGCCAAAUUAUUUUUGGUUGUUUGGGCUCAUUUUUUGGGCAUCUUUUCGGGCUUUUUUAGUGGCAAUUAGGCUCGUUGGGUUUUUCUUUUUUCACUAACCCUAUCUUUGGUUGCAGAGCUAUUUUGGUAAUUUGGAUUCUAUCCAAGUUUUAGUUACCAAAUUUGCAACAAGAUCCCUAAGGAUUAAUUUCCUUUCGUGUCUUUUAUACUUUUUUAUUUUUGGCAUAGAAUACAUUUUAUUAUUCUUAAGUUAAUGAAUUUUCAUUUUUUUUUUCCUUUUUUUUAGAUAAUUUAUUAAAUUAGAAUGUGUUAGGACUUUAGGAAAUUUUUAUUUUCGGUAAAGACAAGUUGGAAAGAAAUAAGGAACCUACUUCCUUUUCAAAAUUAAACUCUUAGAUUUUUUUUUUUAAAUAAAUCUUUUUAGAUUUUAGAUCUCUAUGAAUCUUUUUAUUUUAAGGAAGAAGUUUUAUUUUUUCAGGUCUUUGUGAAAUAAAAUAUUUUCUAUUUAGCACAAGAUUCUAAAAUAAAGAAAUAAUUAUUUUUUGAAAAAUAUCUUAUAGAUAAUUCAUGAUUAAGAUAGCUUACCAAUAUAUUGUUUCAAAUAAAAUAAAUUAAAAUGGUAAUUUUGGAUUUUCUUAAAAGAAUAAAUUUUCAUGAGUUUUAUUUCCAUUAUUAUUUAUUUAAAAAAUUGGUUGUUGUCAUUUGGAAUUUCAAAUUCCUUUUGGGAAUUUCUUUUUUCUUUUCUUUUUUGGGCUAGGUAGUUCUCUAAGCUCUCUCUCUCCCCCAUCCCCCACCCCCAGAAAAAAAGAGAAUUAAACCUACAUUGGUCCUCUAGGAUUUCCCUCCCUAAGAGAGAGAAAACCGUUUAGUUUGAAAAGGAAAGUUCAAGGAUAAGGAAUAUGAAAGAUAUCCUUAUUUGGCAUAGGAGUCCCAAUUCAAGUAAUAAAUAAAAGUUUUUGAAAUUUUCAUGACAAAUAAUUUAUUUUAAGAUAGUUACCAAAAUUAUCUUAAAGGCUCUCUUCCAAAAUAUUAAGUGGAAGCGGGCCAUAGGCAAGCCCAUAGCCUCUAAGAUCGAGCCUAUUUUCAUUUCCAUCCUAAAGAUGGGGUGGCCUAAUAAAUCAAGGGAUAUGGACUAUCCUUUAUGAACAAGACUAUAUAUGUUUAUAGUGGGAGUGGCCAAUCCUAAAGAUAGAACUCUUCACUUGGUAACAUGGAUAUCAAGGAUCUUGAUUACACACUUAACUUAGACAUGAAAUGGUAGAAUCACCUAAAGUGGUCCCACUUGCAUGGGCUAAGGGCUCAACAUAAAGGUAUGUUGAUCCAUGCCUUAGGAAAACCUUCGGAAGUUUAAGGCAGGUUGAUUAAUUAGAGAGGGUCUCUACCUAGUAAUAAGAGUCAUAACCUGUCUAAAGUAAGCUUGAUUCUUAUGAUACUAGGUUACCUUGUAUGGAUACAUGUAGUUUGAGAGCACUACAGUUUUGCUAAAUUAAUUACCAACUUGCCUUGAAUGCUCAAUUCCUUUUGUUAAUGCAUCGAAUUAUUAUUUUUAUUAUGGAUAUCAUGUCUUUAACCUAUCACCUUUUAUUUUUUGUUUAAAUUGGACCUAAUUUUAGAUUAGAAAUAAUCUAGAUAUAGUAUUAAUUGCAUAGAAGCUGUUUUUGGUAGAGUUUGUUAUUUCCUUUGAACAAACCUAACAUCAAGUAAGAGAAGCAUAUCAAAGGUGGCAUAAGACGGAUCAAAAGACUAAGUCUCUCAUACUUGGGUCUUUAGAUAAUGUGUUGCAAAAGCAACACAUGUCUAUUGUCGUAGUCUAUGAUAUUCUCUUCAAAGUUGCAAGGGUUAUUUGGUGAUAAGGGCAAGUCAACUAAACAAGUUGCCCUUAAGACCAUUAUGAACACCAGGAUUCAUGUUAUCUUACAAAUCUUACCAGAUUCUUUUGGGAUGGGUAAGAAGAUUCUCAAAGAGUGGAAAGGUGUUCAUAUGGAAGUCAAGGUUCUUCAAGCUCUUCUAACACUAUCUCAAGCUACCUACAUAGAUAAGAUUUUGGUUAAGUAUGUGAUGCAGGAUUCCAAGAAAGGUUUUUUACCUUUUAAGCAUAGAAUUCCCCUUUCUCUAAAUCAGUGUGCUAAAACACUUGAGGAGAAAGAGUGCAUGGAGUUAAUACCUUAUGCCUCUGCAGUGGGUAGUCUUACAUAUUUGAUGCUAUGUACUAAGCCAUAUAUUUUCUUUGUAGUGGGUAUGGUGAGUAGAUAUCAGUCUAAUCCAGGUCCAAAACAUUGGACAACAAUCAAGCAUAUACUCAAGUACCUAAGGAGAAUGAGAGAUUAUGUGUUUGUGCUCCAAAGUGUUGAGAUAGUUUAAAGGGUGACAUGAUGGUUGACAAGAUACCUUCUGUGAAGAACCUAGGGGAUCUUUUCACCAAGACAUUGUCAGGGAGAGUCUUUAAUGGUCACAAGGAUAACAUAAGUUUCAAAUGAAUAUCUGACAUGCUUUAUAGGCAUGAUGCUUUUAGGGCUAGUGGGAAAAUGUUAGGAUAGAGCCCUUAAAAGUAUGACAUGAUGUAAUAAAUUUGGAAUUCAUUAUUUAUUUAACGAUGUUCCAGUUUCACUUUUAUCGAUCCUUAUUCCAUGUAUUAUACUUUACAAGCAUUCUUGCCUACAUCAUUUGCAUUGUACGUGACUUAGGUUCAUUAGGAGUUGCACAAAAGAUUUAAGUCAUGGGUUCCUUACAAAUAAAUGGCUUGUUCACAACUAGUUCAUGUGUCUAGGCAACCCAUUAGAGGUAAUAGAGCACCACCUCCUAAUUGAAGGGAUGACUAGUCUUGGCUAUCGGGAUGGUUUUCCCAUGGUGAGUGCAUUAGUGUGUAUGGUUACAUAUUGGAUAAGACCUAUGGUGAGUCAUGACUUAAGGCUAUCAAGUAGUCAUGACCUCACCAAGAUGCUUCAUUAUGUUGUCUCUCAACCUUGAGAGAAUAUUGAGCUCGUAGUAAAGUUAGCAAUGACUUUGAUCUAUGGGUGAGAUAGUAAGCUGAUCAUAUAUUCCCUAUGUAUUAGGUCAUUGUUGAUGGAAGCCGGUAGCAAUAGGUAUUCUCAAUAGAGGCACCAUGAUAUCUUUUAGGAUUGAGACAGUGUGUCCCCUUGGGUGAUCAUAAGGAGGUGUGUUCAUGGAAACUAUGGCCAUAGUAGUUCCUUAAGUAAAACUUGACAUAAACUCUUUGAGAGUUAAGAUAUGUAAAUUGAACACACAAUAGGAGGAUCCGUAACUCAAGGAUGGUAGAGGUAAUCUUGAAAGGCCGAUAGCUUUCCCCUAGUUAGACUAUGGACACCAGCUCAUGGGAAGAGUGAACACAAUGGAUAGCAAGUCAUAGACCCGAGCACUUGGUGUCUCGUUGUUAUAUACAUAGGAUACUGGAGUUCAAUUGAUUCUCUGUAGUGGGAUGUUGAAUCCACUUUAGAAUUGGAUUAUGAGGGAGCUAGUAUUCCUAUGGGUCCUAGUGGUCCCCGCUCUAAGCUUAUUUACCUUGUUAGCAUGGGUUAUGAGGGUUAGAUUGGCUCUAGGUUCACUUUUGUGCAUAAGAACGUUUUGGUAGUUAAGUAAGGUUGCACAGGGGUAAGUGAACAAGGUCUUUGGAUUAGGCUAAUUGUUUAAUUAGUAGGCCUUAUUGGGUUAAUUAAUCAAAUAAGACCCAUUUUGGGCUCGAUUUAGUUACCCAAUCACAUGUGGGCUCAAGUCACUUAAGCCCACUUAGGAACCCUAUAAAUACACUCUAGGGGUUAAGGUUUCCAUAACUUUUUAUCUUCCACCAUCCAGAGAGAUAGAGAGCCAUAACCUUCACCCUCUUUUCCUCCCCACUGGAAGUGUGUGAAGAUCAAGGUUCAAGUCAUCGGGAGAAAGAUCGUAGGUUUAUGAGACUUAUGUGAUUUCAUUCUUCAUCUUCACCAUGUAGAUUUGAUUCAGUAACUAUUUUUAAAACAUCUUGCCAAACAUUCUUAUUUUUAAAAAAGGUAAAAACUGUUUUUUGUUCUCUAUUUUGAACAAAAAAAAAAUUAAAAAAACAAAUUUUUAACAACACUACAAAAUAGGCCCUAAGUUAUCCAAAGAUCGUUUUUUUUUUAAUGAAAUAGGUUCAAUAUAACAUUUCCAUUAAAUAAGAAAAAGGGACCCAAAAAUUUCUUUUAAUAAAAAUAGGUUUUAGACAUUUUUUUUAGAUAUAAUAGUCCAAAAAUUUUGUUUUGAUAAAAGAAAUAGUUUAGAAUUUUAAAAUAAAUAAAUAAAUAAAAGGUUAAGAAAUAUUUUUUAAAUAAAAUAAAAUACUCCAACAAUCUUAUUUUAAUGAAAUAACAAUUCAAAAAAUAUUAUUUUUAAUAAAAGAAAGUUUUCUUAAUAGAAAGUUCAAACAAAUGUUUUUAGAAGAAUCUAGAAAAAAUAAUAAUAAUAAUUCAAAAUUUUGUUUUUAAUAAAAAGUAGUCUAGAAAUUCAUUUGUUUAACAAAAUUUUCUAGAAAAAUUGAUUUUUAAAUAAAAUUGUCCAAAAAGUUAAUUUUAAUACAGUCGUCUAAAAUUGAUUUUUAAAUAUAACUCUCUUUCCUUGAUAAGAAAGGGAUUAAAAGUAAUUUUUAUAAAUAGAUGUCUUAAAGAAUUUUUUUAAAUAAGAAUAGCAUGAGUAAACUUUGAAAUAGAACUGAAAAACCUUCUUUUUUUAAUAAAUUGGUAAACAAAUCUCCUACUAAAUGAAAUCCAGAAUUCUUUCUUAAUAAAAUUGGAAUCCUUGGGAACAAAUUUGUGAAAUUCUUUCUCUAAAUAAAUUAGUAAUAAAGAAUCUUUUUCUAGGUAAAAUAAAAAGUAUAUAUAUUUUUAAUAAAAUUGGGUUGAAAUUCCUUCUUAUAAACUUGUAAAUAUAUUUCUUUAAGUUUGUAGAUUUUUUUUUUAAAAAAAAAUAAAGAUUGAAUCAAAACACUUUUUAAAAUAAAUUAGUAAAAUUCACCCCUCUUAUUAAUAAGGUAAACAAAAAUCAUUUCUUGUAAAUCAAAUCAAAUCUUUUUUAAUAAAUUGAAGCCUUGUGAAUAAAUAAAUUCAAAUCACUAAUUUGAAAUUGUUGUUAAACUAAAAGAAUUCUUUGAAAAUUUAUGGAAUUUGUAUUAUGAUAUUUGAAAUAAUAAAAUCUUUCUAAUAAAUUAUUCUGUGCAUUUCUCAUGUAUCAUUUCUACAUAUCCUUAUAAUUUGCUUUUGCAUUAUUCCAUGUACUUGUAUUAUUCUUUUUUUUUCAGUAUUCAUGAUUAACUAAUUAAUUAUCAUAAUUCUCUUUUACGUGCUUACUAGAAACCUUUUUAAGGCUUAAAAGGGUGCUACCCUAUGGUACCUUCACAAUAGGUAACCUGACUUCGAGAUUCGAAUUCGAUUUUUACCGACAUGUUUUUUCUUUAAAAACGAGUAACGAUAGGGCUUUACUUAUUUAUUUUUUUCUAAAAAAUAAAAAGAGUGACAACUCCAACUUUAAAAAAAAAAAAAUCAGUUUUUUUAUAACAAAAACAAAUUUCACCAUCAAGUGGGGACGCACAUGAAAAAUGAGAGUUCACAAUUGUAUUUCUUAGACUUAAAAUAUAAUACAAUUACUAAAUCAACGAAUGUUGUGAGUUUUUACAUCUUUGAUCAUAAAAGAUUCAAAGUACAAUGGAACAAAUAGUUUUCAAAAGGAAAAUAAAAAUGUUUAAAAUGGAAAAUCUAACAAUAAAGACAAUGAAACAAGGUGAUAUGGUAGGAGUUAAAUAGAGAAAUCUUUUAUCCAUGAAUUUAUAGUUUAUUUAGUAGAAAAAAGUUCAAAAGAAAUAUUGCAUACAUUAAUGAAUUAAGUAGAUAAAAGGGAUUUAGGUAAUUUGAUAUUUAUGCUUUAGUUUGAUAACAUCAAAUAGAAAUUUGAUAUUAUUAGUUUCCAUAUUGAGUUUGGAAAUCUAUCAAAUGGAUGUUAAGAUUAUCUUUCUUUGAAUGGUUACAUAAAUUAAGAGUAUAUGGGGUAACCUAAAGGAUUUAUGACAAGAACACAAAGUUAGGGAUAGAUACAUUUAGCUAGGUUGGAUUAUAACCAAUCCAAGAAUCAAAUAGAAGUUGAUUGGUUUUAACUAAAGUAUAACAAAUUUAUUUAUUGACUCAAACUAAUCCAACUUAAUAUUAGUUUGAUUCAGUUUAGUUAACUCAAUUUAGACCAAAAUAUUGAGUCUAUAUGUUUUUUUCUCCACAUUGACCACAUAACCAAAAUGAUCAAAUUGUUUUAGAUAAAUAUAUAUAUAUAUAUAUAUAUACACACAAAUAAUACAACUAAAAAUUUUAAAAAUAAUGUGUAGGAGCAAACCAAUGGAUUAUUUUCUUAUUGGGAGUAAGUCAAUGAGUAGUAUUAUUGACAUAUUGGGUGCUUGUGACUUGAAAUUAUAUUAUCAUCAUUAUUAAGUCCCACAGUACUAGGAUUUUAAAUUUUAGAUCAUGCUUAUGCCAUAAGCAACUUUUAAUUUGUAAUAAAGCCAUGGGAGUUAGGUUCUAGGCCUCCAACAUCAAACUGUAGCCUAACUAAGUUAGCUUUGGAUGAGCAUGGUUUGACUCACAAAGUCUCAAGAUUCUCCAUAACACUCCAAAAUCCAAGCAAUUAUAUUUGUCCCACUCCUCUACUACUUGGGUUUGUUUGCCAAUCCACUAUGAUCUAGGUUGAACCUUUCAUAAGCCAAAUACUUAAACUAGUUUGAUCUCUAGUUUCACUGCACUACCAAAAUAAAGUAGAAACGCUAAAAUUUGCAAGAGGAAAACCUUCAUGAUCAGCCACAUCUUCUUUGGAAUAAAAGCCUCUUCUCUUGUCCUAAACACAACUGCUUCAAUUUUCUUACUAUUUCUAAUAAGCACGACUUAUCUUCUCUCUGACAUGAAUAGAUGAAUUCUUAAACGUAUUUAUAGAGGCUGGAGGUGAAAGCUGAACAGCUGGUUUCCUGGGGUACAACCAUUCCUCGCCGCGUAUCAAUAUAAGAGAAGUAAUUUGAAUGUGUAUUGGUUUUGAAAGUUCUUCCAGGACCACUUCAAAGAGCAGGUUGUGUAUGAUAUCUGACCACUUACCAAAAUUUAAAUAAACCAAAUUCCUGAAGACGAGUUUCUUAGAAUCUCUUGAAUUUUCUAAUUCAAAAUACAUGAAAGAUGAUUUUCCUGGGGUACAACAAUUCCUCGCCGCGUAUCAAUAUAAGAGAAGUAAUUUGAAUGUUCUUCAGAAAGCAGGUUGUGUAUGAUCAGCUUCAAUCAGGUUGUGUAUCGUACAAGUUUGACUUUGAGAAUUGACCAAGAAAUUAAUCAAACAUAUUAUUUUAGAAUAAAUUUCAAAUACAUGUAGAAUACUUUUAAAACUUUGACCUCGCAUAUAUACAGUACCUUUAUCAAGAUUAGUCAAGAUUUUCUCUUUGUAUUUGGUAGGAAGGGAAAAGUCAGCGCUGCUUUCAGAAGGAAUAUAGGAUUCCAUUAUAGGAAAGAAACAAUCAUUCAAUUAUAGGAACCGGAUCGAAAAUUCCUUGUCCGGUUGGAGGGUCAAUCCAGACAUUCAAAUCAUUAGGUCAGCGAUGAAAUCAUUCAACAUGCUCACCAUCAAAUAAAUAUUGGUUUCCUUUGCAUAUUUCCUCCAAACCGGCUUUAAUCUUGAUAAGAUAUAUUGCACAGAUAAAUUGCAUGCACCAACAUAUAAAUUAGUUUAAACGGAUAAGAGAACAUUCAGACAUUUUCAAACAUCAAAUCUCCACUUUUUUUAAAUUGUUUAUAAACAGAAAAAAUGAUGAAUAAAAUUUAAGACGUGAAAAUAUGACCAAGUUAAUUUAAACUUUUUUUUAUUUUUUUUCACUUUUUUUCUUCUAUUUUUUUUUUCUCACAUUUCCUUUUGAACUUUUGGAAUAAAUUCCCUACUAUUUGUGGCGCUUUAAUAUAAUUUUUUUUCUCCAUAUUAUACAUAUUUAUGCAAUAUUUGGUUAAACUAUUUUGAAUUUCUAUUUUUACCUUAACAAGAAACAUUUCUUGAAAAUGAAGAUUAUUUUCUCCUUAUUUUCAAAUUUGUGUUUCUCCACUUUUUUAAAAAUAAUAAUAAUAAUAAUUAUAAGUAAUUAUAGAUUUAAAAAUAACUUUUUUCAUAACAAAUACAAUAUAUAGCGGGCUUAUAAAAACUAUUAUCUAAAAAAAGGAAAAGUAAAAUAAGAAAUAAUUCAAACUUCCUUAUUUGGUUUAUUGUACCAUAUUCAAAGAGUUUUAAAUAAUAAAUUCGAAGAUCAUCCCAAACACUUUAAAGAGUUUUAGAAAUCAAUACUAAAUUCAAUCUUAAUUUAAAACUCCUAAAUAAUUAAUUGUAAAGUUGUUUUCAAAGGAAACCCUUCCUAUCUCGAUUUCCUCUCACUAAGAUACUUAAAAAGUGGAAUAAUAUAUAAGAGUGAACUUAAAACUCAAUUAAGAAAAUAGGUCAAUAAGGAAGAUCAAGUAUAGUACAAAGUUAAAUCUUAGGAGUUAUCACAUCUUAAAAAAAAAAAAAAAAAUCAAUUAGUAGGAGUUCAUUUAAUUCAAUAAUUAAAUUCAUUUUGUUCAAAAAAUUAUGCACUUUCAAUUUAAAGAUAGAAUUAAAUAAUAUACUUUACAUACUUAAAUUAUAUUAAAAAAAUAUAAACAAACAUUUUACUUUGACUCAUUGAUAAUAACAUUGUGCCCAAAUAGUAAAACUUGCAUUAGGUGGCUAGUCUCACUUUGUGCCUUUUAGCAAUGGACAAAAUGAUUUAUAAUCAAUGAUAUACCAAAGGCUAAUAACACCCUUAUUAGCUAGAGUUACAUUAUAUCACUAUCCUCACAAAAGGUAACACAGGUCAACAACUUCUCUCUUAAACCAAUGUAAUAAAUUAAAUGAUAAAAUUCAUUUGCAUAACAAUAAACAAAUCAUAUGAUAUUCCCAAUUUAUUUUAUAAACUAAGGAACAAAUCAUAACAUUUUUAGUAAAAUAUUAUUUGAUCCACUUUAAGGAACUUAAACAUUUUGAUAGUUUAAAAAUAGAUGAAAAAAAAUAAGAAAUUAUAAAAUGUUUUACUAUACUAUUGACCCUUACCUUGAAGAAAUCAUUCAAAAUCCUGAAAGACUUAAUCUACACCUAAUAUAAAUAUAAAUAAAAAAUAAUUAUUAAAGAUUAAUUAUCUAAAUUAACAACUUCCUAAUUUUUAUGUAAAACUUACCUUAAUUAUCUAAAUAAUGAGUAGUAUUAUUGACAUAUUGGGUGCUUGUGACUUGAAAUUAUAUUAUCAUCAUUAUUAAGUCCCACAGUACAAGGAUUUUAAAUUUUAGAUCAUGCUUAUGCCAUAAGCAACUUUUAAUUUGUAAUAAAGCCAUGGGAGUUAGGCUCUAGGCCUCCAACAUCAAACUGUAGCCUAGCUAAGUUAGCUUUGGAUGAGCAUGGUUUGACUCACAAAGUCUCAAGAUUCUCCAUAACACUCCAAAAUCCAAGCAAUUAUAUUUGUCCCACUCCUCUACUACUUGGGUUUGUUUGCCAAUCCACUUUUAGUAAGUGAUCUAGGUCGAACCUUUCAUAAGCCAAAUACUUAAACUAGUUUGAUCUCCAGUUUCACUGCACUACCAAAAUAAAGUAAUUCAAGUAGAAUUAACCAAAGGCACAUGCAUGACAAGUUUUGCUAUUGGGGACGUUUACAAAUAAUAUAUGGAGACAUUUUUCCAGUAUAAUUUGAGACAAAUGCUAAUGGGGUUGCCUAUGAACUAUUCUCCAAGGCUUUUUAGGCUUAUCUAUUAAACAAUGGAAAUUGAAGAUUUGGGGGUCAAAUGAAAGUAAUCAAGUUUGAAGUUGAUGGAAUUGUUUAUUAGCUCAAUAUAGAGGCUUAUCUCAAGCACUUUCUUAGUACAAUGCUUCAAGUCGAUUAACUGCAUGCAUGCACUAAAGACUUCCACAACAAAGGAAAUUUUGCAAGAAUAAUCUAAAGAGCUACUACAAGAGAGAAUGAUCUUUUGAACAUAUGUAAUUGAUUGUGUAUUAAUUAAGAAGGCUUCUAAAGUUGGAUAAGUUGUUUAGAACUUUUAAGAGGGAAUUUGUAAACUUCACAAAAUUGAUCUAAGAGACAUUUACCAAGUUCUAUCAUGAUAAUAAAGUAUUGAGGAGAAAAUGUACCACCAAACCAAGUUGUAUUUGCUAAGAAUACUCACUACAUUUCUAUUAAGAAAGAAACUAUCUAGUGGUAAAGGACAAGAUAGUUUUAGUUCGUGAAGUUUUCACUGCCCAAGCUAACAUCAAAAGCUAUAACAAGACAAAUCCUAAUAAGGUAAGAUAAAAGGUUGCACAAAAGGGACAUCUUGCUCCUUGUUGAAAAUCUCAUUCAAUUGCAAAUCUACCACAUCAAGAAUGCUCUCUCUUCUAUAAUUUUCUCAUACCCAAUCCACAAUACUAUUAUUAUACUUGUUUUGCAUGUUUUUUUCUUUUCUUUUCUUUUUGGCUUUCUAAGUUAUGUUUUCUUUGGUUAUAGCAAUAGCAUCAUUAGUGUGUUAAAUUCCCUUAUAGAUAAUUCCUCAAGCAUUUAAUGUCCUCAUUGUUGCUAUUAAGUCUUAUAGUAUGAAACGAAAAAUAAAAAUUCUUGUAUUCAAAAUCAAAUGGAAGCACAUGAAUUAAAAAAUGCAAACACAAGAGAAACAUUGAAAUCCAAUUACAAAGAGUAGUAUCAAAAUUUCCAUAUCUACAAAAUUCAAGUGUUAAGAUUUCUAAAAAUGAAAUAUAUAUAUAUAUAGGGUUCAUUGGGAGAAGACCUACAUCUAUAAAACAUCAAGGUCUGACAUUAAGAGAGGAAUUCAAUCCAUACCUAAUAUGAAGGCAUGGAUUCGAACACAUUGACUAGAUUUGAAGAAUGCAAUUCAUCCAUGGGAAUUUGUGUACCUAAAGAGGGUUGGUUUUUGGAGGUACUGGAAGAUGGUUGGAGUAUGGUAGUGGCUAUUGAAAGGGUCGAUGGCGGUGGGAAGCCAUAACUACUAGUGAAGAGGAAGUUAGGUGAAUUGGAGACUUGAUGAAGAAGAUAAUGUGAGCUCGAUAAAAUUUCCUCCAACUUUUCCUUUCUUUUUCUCUCUUAUUUUCCUCACUAAUUUUUAAGGAAAGUAGAAGAGAAAAUAUUACAAUAUUUUCUUUAGUAUUUUCUUUUAUAUUUUUUCCAUCAUAUUUUUCAUGUCACCAAUAUUUUCUUUAGUAUUUUCUUUUAUAUUUUUUCCAUCAUAUUUUUCAUGUCACCCAAACUAAGGAAAAUAACUUUCCAUAGUAUUUUUUUUCCUUUCCCUUGCAUUUUCUAAAAACCAAACACAAUCUUAAUAAAUAAAAAUUAAGAACUACAACAAGAUUGUAUAUUUCCUCUUUAUUCUUGCAUUUCUACAUCUACUACUCUAUUUGACAUCAUAUUUUUACUCCCUUCUUCAAUCAACAUUCCUCCCUUAUUAUAGAGUUAUCUUCACACCAAUUCAUAAGAUAAGAAAGGUGAAUGAACCUUGGGGCAAAUUUGGACAACUAGUGGCAACUAGUCAAGAUUUGAAGUCAACUUUUGCUUGAUUUUUUUUGGCAUGGGCAGCAACUUGUGGACCCUCUUUAGCAUGAAAAUGACUAGAAUAUGUUAAGCUCUCUUAUUAGAUGGUUAAUGAUGUAUGAACCUGUAGACCCCUUAAAAGACUAAGGGUUUUUCCAGUUGGUUUGAGGGACCACUCGGGUGAUUUUUUUUGAAGUGAGGGGGACCCCUUUUCUGCCAUGAAGGAGCUGCAUUGGACGCGUGGACACGGCAAGAGGCAGGGGCGACCAUGCUGGUUGUUGAGGAGCCCAUGCUUGCUGAUGGGUGAACAGCAGAGCCGGUAAUGGCUUGCCAAAGAGAUUUUUUUUUUUAGAGAGGGAGAGGUAUAGAAAAGGCGAGGAGGGCUCUUUUCAUGGUGGCCGUGAUAGAGACUCGGAGCUGGGGGGGAAAAAGUUUUUUUACUGAUCUGGGAGGAAGAGAAAAUACAGGAAGCUGAGUAAGCACUGCCUGAGAAGCUCAGGUAUGGCCAACAUGGAUUUCUUUGUUUUGGAUCUUCUUCAUCUUCCUUCUCUAUUAUUGCUGUGAUUUUGAUAUAGUUGAUUCUGGUCACAUUCCCUGGAGUUUUGUUUGAGCAUGAACUGUCUCUGUUGCAGCUUUCUUAUAAAAUGUCUAAAUCAUGCCUGGGUCCUAGUCUAAAAUAUAUUGAUCUCACUCGCCUGCGUUUAAGUACAUUGAUUGUAAUAUGAAACGUGGCUUUUCGCUGGUUCAUUUUAUUUCAUUCUUUUAUGCUCUGUUUUUUUGUUAUCUUCCCCUGUUCCGGGCACCCAUCCAUGGCAUACACCAAAUUUCCUAUCCUUAGAUGGAAAGGUAAGGCACCGUGUGAAACGCGCUCUCAGUUUGUGGGGUAUGUAGAUCUGCGUUCAUGAGUCGGUCAUGCCGUGGUAUCGAGUUCUCCUUUAUUGAGGGUAAACAGAGUUGGUGUCGCCAAGUGGGGAUGGGAAGGAUAUGUUGCUAACAGAGCAGCCCAAGAAAUGUUUCUUCAUCUAAGAACGAAAUCAUUCGCUGGAAAGUGUAUCAAUGAUCUCCACUGCUGUCUGUUUAGACACAAUAUGGAACGACUGGUGGUGUAGAUAUUGACAAGGUGACCGAGCACCUAUGUGCAAACUACGGACGUACCAGAUUUGAAAAAUCCAGCAUGGAUUUCUCUAGAGAAUGCAUGAUGCGCCUGUAGACAUUUCUGGGAAUUUCUGGCAGGUCCAGAGUCGAUAUUAGCAACCCUCUGGCACUCUUAAUUGGAGAACACUAAGGUCCAAUUCGACUCUCCAUGCAAUGAGUAGCCUCUCUGAUGCUUAUGAAGAUCAUCUUCUGGGUACCGAACUCGCUGAAACCUGUUUUGGAGCUGGACGAUGGUCCUUGCACAGGAGAAUCUAAGUUCAGAGAGCCAUUCUUCAAGGUCAGCAGCAGUGAUAACGGCGCUGCAUGGGUACCAUGAUCAUCAACAGAAAUUAUUCCAUUGUUUGAAUGUGGGAAUAUUUUUAGCGAGAUGACCAUUUGCAAUUUACACGACCACCUCCCUCUCAUACCUAUUUUCCUCAUACUCCCAUCACCCAACAAGCCAAACCAUUCCAUCAUUCCCCUCAGUACCUCCUGCAUGCAAAUCCAUUGUUCCCAAACCCAUUGCCCAUAGCCGAUACCUAUCUCACCAUAUUCUUCUCAUUUUUUUUUCUUCAAACCCACUGCUUAUACUUCAUGCAACCAUACCCACUGCUAUCCACCCGCGUACACAUCCACCUUUCAUAAUACCCAUCUUCUCACCACCUUUUCUCUCUCAUACCCAUAUUUCUAACAUACCCGUCACCACCCGUUUCUCUCUCUAAACUUAUUCACACCCAUCUCCUGCACCCAGCAGCCGCAAACCACCCAUUUUCCAUCUCAACCCGUUCGGCUGUUCUGUGAUUGAUGGACCUCAUGGUGACAUGGGUCUCACGACUCUUAAAAAAUAGGUUUUCGUUGAAGAAGCUUCAUGUCGUUCUAUAUUUGCUGAAGCCUUUUUGUUUCCCACUGAUGGCAUUGUUUAAACAAAUUGGUGGAUAAAAGUCAAAGACAUGAGUUUUUUAUAUUAUUUUUUAUUCUUCAUUGGUGGCAUGGUUCCCGUAGGCUUCAAGGUGGUUUAUUAUUAUUUUUUCUCUUUUCUCCCACGUGCCAUCUUCUUAAUUCCACUUUACAUAUUAAAAUUUUCAUUUUUUUGAAAGUCCUAAUUCUUUUAAAAAUCCCAACGUUUCAAAUUCAUUCAUUUAUUCAUUUAUUUUAUCUAUUUUAUUCAUUUAUUUUUUAUUUUUCUAUUUAUUUAUUUAUUAUUUUAUUUAAGAAUAUAUAUAUACGCGUAUCCUUUCCAAAAUAAUCUCGUAAAAUAUGAUUUUUAAAUUUAUUUUACGAAACUUCAAAUCUAACAUUCAAUUUUCCAAAACUCCAAUAUUUUAAGUUUAAUUUUUCAAAAUUCAAUUCUCGAACUAAUUUUCUAGAACUCUAACUUUAAAUUUAAUUUUCCCAAAAUUCAAAUUUUCAGUUCCAAUAUUUCAAAAAUUCCAUUAUUCACGUUCAUUCGUUUAAACAUUAUUUUUGUUAGUAUUAUUAUUAUUCCAUAUUUAUUUAUUUAUUUCUUUUAAAAAUUUCGAUCAUUCAAGUUUAAUUAUUCAAAAAAAUCUGACUUUCGAAUUUCAUUUUCAAUCUAAAAAAUUUCACUAUUCACAUUCAUUCGUUUAAACAUUAUUUUUGUUAUUAUUAUCAUUCCAUAUUUAUUUAUUUAUUUCUUUUAAAAAUUUAAAUUAUUAAAGUUCAAUUCUUGAAAAAUCUGACUGUCGAAUUUCAUUUUCAAUCUCAAAUAUUCCACUAUUCACAUUCAUUCAUUUAAAUAUUAUUCUCAUUAUUAUUAUUAUUAUUAUUAUUCCAUUCAUUUAUUUUACAAAUUCCAAUAAUUAAAGUUCAAUUUUUCAAAAUUCCGUUUUCCGAAUUUAAUUUUCAAUCUAAAAAAUUCCACUAUUCACAUUCAGUUGUUUAAUGAUUAUUUUCGUUAUUAUUAUUAUCCCGUUCAUUUAUUUAUUCACUUAUUCAUAUAUUUAAAAAUCUCAUCUCCAAAUAAUUUCUCAAAAUCUCAAUCUUUAAAUUCAAUCUCCCAUCUCUAAAAUUCUAUUUUUCGCAAUUAUUUACCAAAUCUUUAUUAUUUCAUCAUUAUUAUUAUUUACUCAUUUAUUUAUUCACUUAUUUGUUUAUUAAAAUUCCGUAUUUAAAUAAUUCUUCAAAAUUCCGAUUCCCAAAUUUAGUUCUCUGAAACUCCAAUUCCUUUCAAAUUCAAUUACUAAAAUUCUCAUUCUUAUAUUUAAUUUCUAAAAAUCCAAUUUUCAAAUAAUCUUUAAAACUCCAAUUUUCAAAUAAAUUUCAAAAAUCCAGUUUUCCCUCAAACAGUUUUAAUUUCUAUUUGAUGACGCAUGUGAUAUGUUUUGUGCUCUUUAUUAUACAUUGACCCCAUUUUUAUGAUAGCGCAUUACUCGUUCGUGGCCCAGGUAUGCAUCCCUUCCCAUUUUGGUCAUUCUCUAUGCAUGUUUUGAUUCUCAUGUGUGCAUGGUCGAUUUGAGUAUCCGUUGGUUUUCUUAUUGAUCGUCACGUCGGCUUCAUUUUAUUAGUAGAUAUCCGACUUUAGGGACUUAGAGUGGUGCUACGGUCUUUACCGUACCUUCCUGAUAAGUAACCUGACCCCCGAACCCGAUUCGGUUUUUCAUAGACCACCUUUUCCAAAAUAAGGAGUCACACUUAGGGUUUUCUUUCUUAUUUUGUUUACCCUUUUAAAAAUAAAACAAAAAUAAGUGGCGACUCCAAGUCAUAUUUUUUUAAUAAAUAAAAAUCAUUUUCGAAUAAAGAUCGAGCUUACCAUCGAGUGGAAAAUGCAUGAACUGAAAUGCGAGGUCCAUAGAACCAUACGACAAUCAUAGGGUGGGGAAUAUAUGGUAAUUGUGCAAUAAAUAAAUAAAUAAAAAAUGGUAUCCAAUUAUAUAAAAAGGCAUCUUCCAACAUUUGAUAUACAUAUGUAAAAAUUAAGAGGAAAAUACUAAAAAAAAACAUAUUAAACCUAAAAAUAGGGACUUAAUAUAAAAUAAAGCAAAAAGGUAAAAUUAAAACCAAAUAUUAAUAAUGAAUAUAGUUUAAGUAUUAAAAAUAUUAUUAUUUAGGUUUUAAUCAUUAGGCUUGCUAGAGGAGUUUAUAUAUAUAUAUAUAUAUAUAUAUAUAUAUAUAUAUAUAUAUAUAUAUAUAUAUAUAUAUAUAUAUAUAUAUAUAUAUAUAUCCUAUCUCUGCAUAAAAUUUGUAAAUUAAAUAUUUAUUUCUGUUAUUUAAAGGAAUCAUUGAAAUGUUUGCAUGAAAGAUUUAUUCCAUAGCCUAAAAUGAUGAUAUUGGCAUUAUAUAUAUGUGUAUGUAUGUAUGUAUGUAUAUAUAUAUAUAUAUGUAUACAUGUGUUUGCUCAAAUGAUAGGCUGAUUUUAAGCUAUAAUAAUAAUAACUGUAUUAUUGUAUUAUUGAAAUGAAAAGGUUGUUGUUCUUUAAUUUUGAUUUGAAAUACAGGGGAUAUUUCUAACACUAAGAUGAUGUUUAUUUUUUUAAUUGAAUAGAAAAAAUUAAAAUAUUUGAUUUUUUUUUAUUCAACUAAAAGUAACAUGUUGAUAUCAACCAACAUAACUAAAGUGAACUUAUUCUUAAUAGGCUUAGUUUAGUUAUGUUGGUUGAUAUCAAUAGGUUAUUUUUAACUAAAUAGAAAAAAAUAUAUAUUUUAGCUUUUUUUAUUCAAUAAAAAAGCAAACACAUCUAAAAUUUUAUAUAAAAAUGCUUUAACUAGAAAUGAAUUUCAUAUGGACCAUUGUAAAAUACCAUGCAUAGGGAGAAAUCUGGAUCCUCACUUGCUCUUUGAUUUUAAUGCAUUGAAUUUGAUGUUGGCUAAAACAAAUUAUAUUUCAUGUCCCGUAUUAUGAGUAGACAUUCCUUAUGUUAGAUUUUAGAUAAAUAAUGGAUAUUGGAGAUUGGAGUUGUAAGAAAUUAGGAGAUCCUAAUUUUAAAUAUGUAACAAAGUUCUAUAAUCGCUUCAAUCCAUGUUUUAAAAUUUGUAUUUCUUUCUAAUAUUAGAGCAAACUUUUUCUUUGUUUCUUAUAAAUUUCAUUUGGGAAUGAUUUAAAAAUAAAUAAAUAAAAACCCUUCUAAAUAUUAAAAAGUAACACUUUCUUAUAAAAAUUAAUUAGGUAGAUGGUAAGGUCAAAUUCAGGAUAGCUUCAUAUUUUUUGCUUUAAUUGAAAAUUAAAAUCAAAAUUAAAGUAAUAAUUUUUAAGGUUUCUUACAUUCAUAUUCGUAUUAUUUAUUAUAUCAAAUUAAUUUUAAUUUACAAAAUAUUAAAACUUUAUAAUUAUCAUUAUUAUUUAUAUUUUAGUUUUUUUUAAAUAAAUUUAUAUUUUUAAUAUUUUAAAAUAAAAAUAUUCAAAAUUAAAAGGAUAAAUAUAAAAAAAAUUAAAAAUAAAAGUGAUAGUAAUUUUUUAGAAUAGGAUUAAUGAGAAUUAUGAUACAUUUUAUCUCUACUAAAUCUAAAACUCAAAAGGGCCACCCACUUCUGUCACUCGAGGCACCGAGAAGCCCUUGUUUGAAGUUGCCGUCCAGACGAGAGAAUCCCUAAAAAUGCCUUAUUUCCUCUGCCACUCUCAAUCCUCACAGGUACUAAUCUAAUCAUGUUAUUUUGUUUUAAUUUUUUUUUUCAACCCCCGUUUGAUUCCCAAAGAAAAUCUCUCCCCCAUUUGAUUUUCGGGAAAAUUCAUCCUCGUUUGAUUUCCGAGAAAAUCCAUGCAAAACCCCCAAGCAAAACAAAAAAAAUUGCUUUUUUUUUUUUUUUGCUCCCUGUGUUUUCUGGAUCUGUUCUAGGGGUCUCUUUGCUUUUAUGCCACUGGAUUUAAAUUUCACGAACCCUAGAUCCACGAUUUUUGAGCCAGGCGGAAAAACACAACCUUCGCCUGCAAAUCAUGAUCAGAUUACCAAAUAGCAUCUUAUUUUUGCUACUGGAUUUAAAUUUCACGAACCCUAAAUCCAUGAUUUUUGAGCCAGGUUGAAAAACACAACCUUUGUCUGCAAAUCAGAUUACCAAAUAGCAUCUUAUUUUUGCCACUGGAUUUAAAUUUCACGAACCCUAAAUCCAAGGCUGAAAAACGCAACCUUUGCCGGCAAAUCAUGAUCAGAUUACCAAAUAGCAUCUUAUUUGAUUUAAAAAAAAUAAAAAAUAAAAAUUGGACAGAUUUUGUAUCCUGUGCGUGGGCUGGACUGGUAGGAAAUGUCGGGAAAUUUCCCGAAAAAUGGGUAAAAAUACCGAUAUUCCCGAAAAUUACCAAAAUUUCCAUCUACAGAUAAUCGGUGACGAGCCGGCCGAUAAGCAAAAUUUCGGAGAAAUAUCGCCGAAAUUUUUCGAUAUUUCAAACACUGCAUGCUUGUUGGGUUUCAAAUCAAAUGGGUUCUUUUUCCCUAGGCACUUAAUUUUGUGGCUUUGAAUGGGUCUUUGCCUCUUGCAAUCGAUCAAAUGAAGGUGCGGAAAUGGUAAUAUUUCAUGUUUUUAUUUGUUCUUGUUUGUUAAAUUCUAAUAAUCUAUUUUCCUCUUUUGGUCAUGUGGGACAUCAUUGAUUUUGGUUUCGCCUACAUUAAACUUGGAAGUUUGCUUUGAGAUUUAUUGAGGAAAAAGUAUGGAUUGUGUGAUGGUUGAAAAUAUUUAGUUACUAGGAAAAGCCACGACCUUUCACUUAAAUCCAUAGAUUUCAUACCAACUCGUGUCUUGCAACUUGUAAGCUUUCUUCCUUUUAUGUUUCAUUUUUUAAUAUAUUAUUAAUUUCUCUUAGUAAUUAAUUAUUUGAUAUAUAUAUAUAUAUAUAGGUAAAAUUUUAAGUCACUAUAAUAAUGUUACUUCUUUUUAUAUUCAAAUAUAUUAAUAAAAAGACACUAUUUUUUUUUAUUAAAUUGUGCACUUUGGCGUGUCCUUCAUGUCAAAUAAGUUUGGUUUUAAUUAAUCUAAAUUGAUAUUUAAAAUAAUACAAUAAGACACUUUCAAUUUUAUCAUAUAAAGUUUAAUAGUGUUUGAGAGUUUAACAUAUAAUGGGAAAAAUACUGAAAGGGUGAGCAUAGUCUUUCAGUAUUUGUUAAAAAAAUUAUUUUUUAUUUUUUCAAUUCACUUAUUUUUUAGUUAAUUUUAAGAAUAGUACAAUUCCAUUGAAAAUGAUGCAAUGAGUUGUUUUAAUAUUUAAUAACAACACGUUGGCUUUGCAUGUAGAGGGUAGAAAAUAUGUUGUCCACCAUGAUAUGUAAUUAUAAUUAUAUUUAAAAACUAUAAUUACAUUUAAAAACAUUUUUCUUAGUUUUAACUGAUUACUUAAUUUUUAGUGGUUAGUAUUAUAUUAAUAUAGGAUGGAGAGAGAGAAUUUAGAGUUAUUAUGUCAUAGUCUCUAUCCAACUCAUGUGGGAGUGUUCUUACUAGGAAGGCCAUUACAACUGCUAUAAAGUUCCAUUGCUUAUUAUGCAUAUGUCAAUAGUUUAAUAUUUGAGAGUUGGUUUGUUUACCUGUGUUAUUAAGAAAUAAUCUAUUAUUGUCUAAUAAAGGUGUAGUGGCUAGCUUGUUAUUAAAAUUCUUCAUAAAGCUUGAUAUUUGAUUGCUCCGCAUUAUACAUUUUUCUUUUUAAUUUGUUAAUAUGCUUUACAUUUUCUGCUACAGAUUCGGAGUUUGGGUGUUGGAAAUUUAAGGCUUUCCUAUAAAGUAAUGCUUCAAGACGGAGGCAAGAGGCUUGGUUGUAGAUAUAUACAUGAACAACUUAAUUUAAGUUUAUGUAUAUUGUCUUAUAGUGUGUUUUUAAUUUCGUUGUAUAUUAUAUGAGUUUCUUCUAUAUAGAGAAAUUGGGGACAACUUUAAACAAGUUAAUUGAUUUGUGCUUUAAUUAAUAAUCAAAUGUAUAUUAAAUAUGUUUUUAUUAUAUAUAAAAUCAUGAUAAUUUGAUUGUCAUUAUCGUUCUUAAAUAAUAUCAAAUUGAUUAUACAUGGCAACAGGUUCAAUUUUUCAUAUUAAAAAAUAAUUUUAAAAUUUUUCUAGGGGAACCUUGACAAUUGUACUUAUUCCCAACCUUGACAUACAUGAUACUCAAAUUUGAGAUAUAUGGAAGCAAUCAUGACAUAUGUGGUACCUAUCCUUAACAUAUAUGGUGCCCACCAAGACAUAUGUGGUUCAUAACUUAACAUAUGUUAGAGAUAUCAUGACAUAUGAUAAGUAAUGAAAUAUACAUAUGUCAAGAUUGCUUAUACCUCAAUCUUGACACUCGGAUAGAUGACAUAUAGAAUCAGAAUGCUAUAAUGACAUAUAACCCUUACCAUAAUGGUCAAACACCAUCAAGGAAAGCCUUUUUUUUAGUAGUGUUUUAAGGGGAAAUAUUGAUAUUGUAAGAGUUUUAUUAAACAUGAAAGAAUUUCUUUUAUAAACAAAAAUAGAAUUAUAAAAUUCUUAUAAGAAAUAACAUUUUUAUGACUUUUACAUGAAACCUUUUUUUUUUAAAGUUAUAAGUUUUUUAAAAAAUAAUUAAAUUGGUAUAAAAACUUUUAUUUAACUCUUAAAAGUCAAUCCAAAUAAAAUUUAUAUAUAUAUAUUUGAAAGUCACUUUUAAAAAUCCAAAAAAUCACUUAAAAAUAAUUUCUAAAUAUUUUUUUUAACUUACAUUUAAAAAACAAAAAAAAAAUAAAAUGAUUUGUUUUUACUAGUUAUUUAAAUUAAGGAAGCAGGAAAGAGGAAAGAGUUUGCUCUAAUGUUAAAAAAAAAAGGGGUUGAAAAGUAAUUAAAUCACUAAAAAUAGACUUGGAGUUCUUUUAGUGUGUGGUUAGACUCAAUUUGUCCCCAUGCAAUGGAAAUGGAAGAUUUUUUGUUUUUUGUUUUCCUUUUCCUUUAUCUUGGUGUAGUCUUGUGAUAUUGUUACUAAAAUAGGAGGUAAAAAUAUAAAUUAUAUAUCAAUUAUUUUAAAUUUAGGAAAAAAAAAGUGCUUAUUUUAAUUUGAAAUAAAUAAGUAGAAAAAAAAUUGAUUUUAUCUCAAUUGUGAGACUUCAUUAAAAUUUUCUUAUUUACAAAAUAUUUUGGGUUGUAAAAGUAAAAAUUAAACAAAUCAUUUCAUGACCUUUUUCACAACAUGAUAUUUUAUCAUGUUGAAUAAAAUUGGAAUGGUCAAAAGUUGUCAAAUCAAGACUUCCAUGGCAAAUUACACCAUUGCAUAUCUCAAAGAUUAUUCUACAACAUUAUCUUUGUAGACUUUUAACAAUCCAAGAAAUUGACAAAUUAUAUAAUAAUCCCAUACACAAUAUUCUAGAACUUUACAUUAUUCUUUUUAUUUUAAUACAAGAGGAAUCCUAAGUCAACAAUUUUUUUGAACAAAAAAUAAAUAAUGAAAUCUACAACUUUACAAUAUUCUACAAUUUUUUUGAACAAAAAAAUAAAUAAUGAAAUCUGAAUAAUGGAAACAAUCAAUGAAAUCUGAAUAAUGGAAACAAUCAGUGAAAUCUUUGGCAUGUUAAUUCUUUGUAGCUUCAACAUGGUGGCAUGUCGGAUGGUGGAGGCAACAUUUGAGCUUUUGGGUGUUUACCAUUUUUCACUAUGAACGCAGUUUCCAUGCCCCAAGUCAGAUGGCGUUCUACAUGGCAGUGCAUGAACCACACCCCUGCAACAGAGAAAAUAUACCAACAUUAAACCUAAUUUAUUGCAAUAUUAAGAAAAAUUAUUCCCUUGGUAUGCAGGUUGGCAAUUUCAAGGGUUUUUUUUUAAUAGAGGACAUGAGUGCUUGAAACAUACCAGGGUUGGAUGCCUCGAAUCUGAUUGCAGCCCAACCAUUCGUAGGAACAGAGAUGGUACUCUGAAGGGGAGGAUCCACUAGAUUAUAGCGCAAAGGGUCCUUAUUUUUAUCGAAAUUCCCAAAUCCCCAUCCAACAAGGUAGAAACUGUAUCCAUGGAGAUGCAUGGGGUGGUGUGUCCCUGCAACCAAGUUUGUCCCUUGAAAAACAAUCUCCACUGUGGAGUUAUACUCAAGCACCCUUACUUCUGUUCCGUUUUCCGGCGUUUGAUACUCUAAUGGAAGAUAAUCAGCUGUAAAAUCGAACACCAGUGGUGGAACGCUAGGAAAUUUAUCUCCAUAUACACCACUGAUGUUAUAAUAGUAAGCUUGUAGUAUGUCAAUUGUAGGGGAUUGGAAGCUUAUGUUGUUUAUACUCGCGGAGAAUCGCGUCCCAUUGGGCCCUGCACAUGAAUUAUUGGGGCAUAGGAACGAGUUUACAGAAACAGUGUAAAUCAGUUUAGUGCUCGGGCUCAACGGGACAUUGGAAGGAUGUUCUGCAUUUGCUAAGCUUCGGAGGCCAGCCAUGACCUGAACCGAUGCAUUUGUGUCAUUGUAUGCAGGAAAAUGAGGCAAGGAGGGAGGUGAAGAUGGAGUGUAGUAUCCCUUGUACUGUACAAUAGCUGUGGUGGUUGUGUUAUCAUAAAAAUUUUGAGCUGCUGGGGCAAUGGAAUAAGUUUUAGCCGCCAUGUAAUAGUGAUCCGGGUGUUGGUUAGCUUCUAGUAAGACAUCGAAGGUUUGGCCAGGAUAUAUUGUGAUAUAAUCUUGUGUCAAUGGUUUCAUGUAGCUACCAUCUGUUCCAACCACUGUCAUUUUAUGCUUGGCAAUUGAGAAGAAGAGAGCCUCGUGCAGGGCAGCAUUGAUUAUGCGAAGUAGAUAUGUCUUUCCAUGAUCCACCGUUAGCUUGAAUGUGUCUGCAAUUAGAAAAGGAAAGUUGUAUACUUACGACUAGAGAAAAGAAAAGGAAAAACUUUCCAUGAGGAUCCACCAAUUAUGAAGUGAUUGAUUUAUUAGGGGUGUAAAUUUGGCUCCAUAGUUCAAAAUUAUAUUUGGAUUGGCUUUUGCUCAUGUGUUAAAUCAUGGCUCUACCAUCCUCAUAGCUAUAUUCCUCUUUCUUAGCAUUAAGUUUUAAAUAUGUUGAUGUUAAUAAGAAAAAGUAAUAUGGUUAACAUACAAGAAAAUGAGAUCAGUGUACAAUUUUAAAAUGGGAAGUUAAACUUUAUACCUGAUUUUGAGCAUGGAUAUAGAUCACCGGGUUGUCCAUUUAUCAAUAAAGAAUCAGAGGCAUUGGGGUCAGCUCCAGUUGCAAGCCCUUCAUCUCGAACCGCAUUCACAUCACUCUUCCACCAUUGUCCUGCAUUUCAACAACUCCAAUAAUUUAGAUUUUGCUUUGUUGGUUAAUUCAUGAUAUGUAAAUUAACCUUUAAAAGCAACUACACUUAUACCUAAUAUGAUGGGAAUUUCUGCGUUAGGUUUGGGAAAAGGAUACUUGGUUCCAUUCUUGGGAUAGACGAUUAUAGCUCCAUGAACGGUGGCUCGAGUCCAGUCACUAUGAGCAUGCCACCAUAGAGUGCCUUCCUCAGAGGAAAGGAUGAUCUUCUGGCUAAACUUUGACCCUGGUUGAAUUGGGCAUUGUGUGAUAUACUCGGGACCAUCUGUCCAUGGAUAUCUAGGCAUGUUCACCCCAUGCCUGCAAAACGAUAACUAUACAUUAAAACUAGUACUAAUUUUUAGACUAACAAAAGAUGGCAUGUAGCAACAUAUUAUCAUAGUAACAAGAGGCAUCAACUAUAUUUCAAUGGAACUGAUGCAAAUAACCCUAAAAUAUUAUUUUAGAUUUAACUUUAUUUGCAAAGCAAUACAUUGCAGCCCCCUCUUAGAAAUAAAAGAAUGUAUGUCAUGCAAGCAUGUUGCCCACUGCUAUCUUUCUCCGAGACAUGCAUAGGACUUACCAGUGAAUGGUGAUAUUUUCUUUUCCCCUGUUAUAAACGUUGACGAUGAUCGUCUCUCCUUUCUUAGCAUAUAUAGUUGGUCCUGGAAAUUGUCCAUUUACUGUUAAGAUGUUCUUGGUGCUACAAAGCCUUGUAUAUGAAGCCUCCUUCACCUGCAACCAAUUAAAAGUUAACCAUGCAACCUCAUCCCAAAAGAAAUAUUACAUGCAUGAAUAGUUGCAUCGAUCCAUUCAUGCAAGUGUAUAACCAAUUAGAAAUUGAUAGCAUGCAUGAAGGACUCAAUGACACCAGGGUACCCGAAGACCCCAUGAGGGUCAUAACGGUGGAAAAUGAGAGCCACACUGCUCCCUAAAUAUUAUGAUCAAAAGGUGGCGUUAAGGCCAUAAUCAUAUAUAGUAUUUACCACAAAAGUAAGCCGACGAGUUGAAGCUUGGCAAUGGAUGCCACCACCAAAAAGUAGAAACACUAAAAUUUGCAAGAGGAAAACCUUCAUGAUCAGCCACAUCUUCUUUGGAAUAAAAGCCUCUUCUCUUGUCCUAAACACAACUGCUUCAAUUUUCUUACUAUUUCUAAUAAGCACGACUUAUCUUCUCUCUGACAUGAAUAGAUGAAUUCUUAAAGGUAUUUAUAGAGGCUGGAGGUGAAAGCUGAACAGCUGGUUUCCUGGGGUACAACCAUUCCUCGCCGCGUAUCAAUAUAAGAGAAGUAAUUUGAAUGUGUAUUGGUUUUGAAAGUUCUUCCAGGACCACUUCAAAGAGCAGGUUGUGUAUGAUAUCUGACCACUUACCAAAAUUUAAAUAAACCAAAUUCCUGAAGACGAGUUUCUUAGAAUCUCUUGAAUUUUCUAAUUCAAAAUACAUGAAAGAUGAUUUUCCUGGGGUACAACAAUUCCUCGCCGCGUAUCAAUAUAAGAGAAGUAAUUUGAAUGUUCUUCAGAAAGCAGGUUGUGUAUGAUCAGCUUCAAUCAGGUUGUGUAUCGUACAAGUUUGACUUUGAGAAUUGACCAAGAAAUUAAUCAAACAUAUUAUUUUAGAAUAAAUUUCAAAUACAUGUAGAAUACUUUUAAAACUUUGACCUCGCAUAUAUACAGUACCUUUAUCAAGAUUAGUCAAGAUUUUCUCUUUGUAUUUGGUAGGAAGGGAAAAGUCAACGCUGCUUUCAGAAGGAAUAUAGGAUUCCAUUAUAGGAAAGAAACAAUCAUUCAAUUAUAGGAACCGGAUCGAAAAUUCCUUGUCCGGUUGGAGGGUCAAUCCAGACAUUCAAAUCAUUCAACAUAUAAAUUAGUUUAAACGGAUAAGAGAACAUUCAGACAUUUUCAAACAUCAAAUCUCCACUUUUUAAAAAAUAAUAAUAAUAAUAAUAAAUAAUUAUAGAUUUAAAAAUAACUUUUUUCAGAACAAAUAAGAAAUAAUUCAAACUUCCUUGUUUGGUUUAUUGUACCAUAUAUAAUGAAAAAUCAUUAUAUAAAUAAAUUAUGCAAAGAUGUAUAUAUUUUAAAAUUAUUUAUAAACAGAAAAAAUGAUGAAUAAAAUUUGAGACGUGAAAAUUUGAUCAAGUUAAUUUAAAAACUUCUUUUAAUUUUUUUCACUUUUUUACUCCUAUUUUUUCACACUAUUUUUUUUCUCACAUUUCCUUUUAAACCUUUGAAAUAAAUUCCCUACUAUUUGUGGAGCUUUAAUAUAAUUUUUUUCUCCAUAUUAUACAUAUUUAUGCAAUGUUUGGUUAAACUAUUUUGAAUUUCUAUUUUUACCUUAACAAGAAACAUUUCUUGAAAAUGAAGAUUAUUUUCUCCUUAUUUUCAAAUUUGUGUUUCUCCACUUUUUUUUUUUUAAAUAAUAAUAAAUAAUUAUAGAUUUAAAAAUAACUUUUUUCAUAACAAAUACAAUAUAUAGCCGGCUUAUAAAAACUAUUAUCUAAAAAAAGGAAAAAAAGAAAAGAAAAGAAAAGUAAAAUAAGAAAUAAUUCAAACUUCCUUAUUUGGUUUAUUGUACCAUAUACAAAGAGUUUUAAAUAAUAAAUUGGAAGAUCAUCCCAAACACUUUAAAGAGUUUUAGAAAUCAAUACUAAAAUCAAUCUUGAUUUAAAACUCCUAAAUAAUUAAUUGUAAAGUUGUUUUCAAAGGAAACCCUUCUUAUCUCGAUUUCCCCUCACUAAGAUACUUCAAAAGUGGAAUAAUAGAUAAGAGUGAACUUAAAACUCAAUUAAGAAAAUUGGUCAAUAAGGAAGAUCAAGUAUAGUACAAAGUUAAAUCUUAGGAGAUAUCACAUCUUUAUAAAUAAAAAAUAAAAAAUCAAUUAGUAGGAGUUCAUUUAAUUCAAUAAUUAAAUUCAUUUUGUUCAAAAAAUUAUGCACUUUCAAUUUAAAGAUAGAAUUAAAUAAUAUACUUUACAUACUUAAAUUAUAUUAAAAAAAUUAUAAACAAACAUUUUACUCCGACUCAUUGAUAAUAACAUUGUGCCCAAAUAGUAGAACUUGCAUUAGGUGGCUAGUCUCACUUUGUGCCUUUUAGCAAUGGACAAAAUGAUUUAUAAUCAAUGAUAUACCAAAGGCUAAUAACACCCUUAUUAGCUAGAGUUACAUUAUAUCACUAUCCUCACCAAAGGUAACGCAGGUCAACAACUUCUCUCUUAAACCAAUGUAAUAAAUUAAAUGAUAAAAUUCAUUUGCAUAACAAUAAACAAAUCAUAUGAUAUUCCCAAUUUAUUUUAUAAACUAAGGAACAAAUCAUAACAUUUUUAGUAAAAUAUUAUUUGAUCCACUUUAAGGAACUUAAACAUUUUGAUAGUUUAAAAAUAGAUGAAAAAAAUUAAGAAAUUAUAAAAUGGUUUACUAUACUAUUAACCAUUACCUUGAAGAAAUCAUUCAAAAUCCUGAAAGACUUAAUCUACACCUAAUAUAAACAUAAAUAAAAAAUAAUCAUUAAAGAUUAAUUAUCUAAAUUAAUGACUUCCUAAUUUUUUUGUAAAACUUACUUUAAUUCCAAACCCUUUUCUAAAGUUCUAUUUUUUGAAUUAAAUUUUUUAUUAACCAUAUUAUUAUUAUCAUUUUCACUUCUCAUAAUUACAUUAAUGGGUUUUGUUGAAUUAUUAAUGUUAAUAUUCCUUCUUCUUUUUUUCAUGGUAGGAAGUAGGUAAUUAUUUAUUAAUUUACUACUAUUUUUACUUAUCUCCUACCCACAACCCAAAUCUUAUUAUAACUUUAUUAUUUCUUUGCCACAACCACUUUCCUCAUUUCCUCAAUUCUUCUUCCUAUUAAUCUCGUGGUUAAAGAAAGGUAAAAGAAUCUAAAAAGAAAAUCAUACAUGAAGAACUUACCUUAAAUUUCAUAAUGAAGCAAAUAAAAAAAGUUUCUUCUUUCUAACCCUUCAAACCAAACUUCUCUAUAUACCUUUCUCUUGUUUCUUUUUCCUCUCUAUUUUAUCUUUUCAAAUUUUAAUAAUGUGGAGAAAUCAAUGGAAUUUAGGGGUGAAUUAUACUUUUAUCGCUAAAAGUAACUUUUAUUGAUGGAAUUUUAGAUGUUGUCAGUGGUGCAAAUUUUUUUUAAAAAAUUUCUAACGAAUUUAAAAAUUUCAUCACUAAAAGACAUGAUGGGAAAAUUUUGGCAUCGUCAUUUUUUUGGCACAAACACUUUUCUGAUAGAAAAAACCUAUUUUCUCAGAAAAGUAUUUGUCACUAAUUAUAAUUUUUGGUGACUAAAAGUUACAACUUUUUAUAUAUAUAUAUAUUUGCUUGUAAAAUGGUUUCAUUAAGUGGUUGUAUUAUUUCUUGACAAAUUGAGUAAUUUUAUCAUUAUUAAAUUGUGAUAUUAAUAAGUAAUAUUGAUAAAUAACUAGAUGAUUUAUAUUGUGAAAUAACAUAUGUAUUUUUUGAGACUUAAUAUUUAUACUGUAAUAUUUUAUUUCUAUUAAUAAUAAUAAAAUAAUUACAGAUUCAUAAAAUGAAAUACUACAAUACAGAUUUAUUUAAAUUUAAACGUUUUGUAACGUAAUAAUAGUAUUGUUAUGAAAUAAUAAAAAGGUAAAUUAUUUAAGCAAUUAAUAUUUAUAUCGUAAUAUGUUAUAUUUUUUUUAUAUAAAUAAUAACAACAAAUAAUUCAAGACAUGUAAGAUUUGUUACUUUGAAACAAACUUUCGAAUCCUAGGUACAUCCUUAAGAAAAUUUGUUACAUUCAAUCCUUGAGCUAACGGGACACCUAUCUCUUUUCCCAUGGUCCAUUUAUUCAUUUGGAGACCUCGAAAAGUGAUUAGAGGUCAUUCCCCACCUUAAAACGAACUUUGACUCCCAUAGUACAUCCUUUACAAAAUUUGGUACAUCAUUCACAAAAAUUCGUACAUCCUUAAAAAAAUUUGGUACAUCUAAUCCUUGACCUAUUAGGACCCCUAUCUUAUUACUCAUGGUUCGUUUAUUCCUUUAGAGAUCUUUGGAAGUGAUUAGAGGUCGUUCCCUACUCCGAAACAAACUUUGGAAAUCCUUGGGAUAACGGGACACUUAUCUCCCUUCUCAGGGUCCAUUUAUUCCUUUGGAGAUCCUUAAGAAGUGAUUGAAGGUCGUUCCCCACCUCGGAAUAGACUUUGGCACCCUUGGUACAUCAUAUACAAAAUUUGGUACAUUCUUCACAAAAUUUGGUACAUCUUCAUAAAAUUUGGUACAUUCUUAAAAAAAUUUGGUACAUCUAAUUCUUGAGCAACUAAGACCUCUAUCUUAUUGCCCAUGGUCUGUUUAUUCCUUUAAGAAUCUUUGGGAAGUGAUUGGAGGUCAUUCUCCACUCUGGAACGAACUUUGGAACCCUAGGGACAUCCUUAAGAAAAUUUGGUACAUCCAAUCCUCGAGUUAUUGGGACACCUAUCUCCAUUCUCAUGGUCCAUUUAUUCAUUUGGGAACACUUAGAAAGUAAUUGGAGGUUGUUCCCUACUCUGGAAUGAAUUGUGGAACCUUGGGUACACCUUUAGAAACUUUUUGUAUUUUUAUGGUUAUGUAAUGGUUUGAUGUUGUUGAUUGAAAUGAGGUGGUUGAGUCACAAUUUAUAAUCAUCAAGGGAAAACAAAUUGUGUUUAUUCAUGACCAGAUGAAAAUGAAUAACAAAUGGAAUUAUUGUCACUUUUAAUGGUAUUAUAUUAUGAAUCAUUUGAAUAGUUUUCUUAAAACAAUUUGUCAAUUCCAAAUGGAUUAUAGCUGAAUUGAAAAAUGAAGGAAUAUAGUUGUAGAAAAGAAGGGUUGAAUUUUUGUGGGCAUUAUGGAAGAAAGAGGUCGAGCCUUAUAUGAAAAACAGAUUGUUAACACUAGGCAUAAUAGUGGACGACCUUUUCAUGUAGGGGCUGACCCUUUUUAGCUUAUAACCCUUAGUCAUGAUAUUAGUUUUAUUUGAAGUGAUUAGUAACAAAAAUAAAGGUGUUGUUCAUAGGCAAUCCCAUCGUGUUUUUAAUAUUGGUUUUGUUUUAUGUGGGUGGUAGGCAGAACAAAGGUUGACCCAUUGUUUAAUAGGUAGGCCUUUGAAUAUGGACGUUAUAACCUUAGAAUAUGGACAGUGAGGAAAAUAGUGGUCAACCCAUGUAUUCAGAGGUAGAGCCUGAACUUAUAUUACAUAUCAAAUAAGUUCCUAACAAAUAAAUAAAUAAAAGUAAAUGCAUUGUGUGAUGUUUGGUAUAGACAAUACAUUUCAAUAUUUAGCACAUUAAUGUCACACCAUAAAAUGUUAAUGAAACAAACUUGGAUUGUUCAUAAUCUGAAUGAGACGUUAAUAUAUGAUGACUAUAUAUGUGACCAUGACAAUUGUUAUAAGUAAUUAGUUUUGACAGGGUUAUUUAAAAAUAUAUAUUUAAAAAACUAAAUACCUAAUGAGGUCUAACUGUGAGAAUAAAAUAAUUUAUGCUUAUUCUAUAAAUGUUGAAAGUAUUUUUGUGAUGAAUAUAUGUAUUAUUGGAAAUAUUUACAAACAUGCCUAGUUUAUUGAUGUGUGUGUGUGUGUGUAUUAAAAAAAAAAAAGUAAAAUCAAGGAUGUUCAUCCUUUCCUCAUAAGAAUGUACAUUGGGUUCUGAAGUCCAUUUUAGGGUAGAGAACAACCUCCAAUCACUUCUCAAUGGUCUUUAAAUGAACAAACCAACCAUGGGUAAUAAGAUAGGGGUCCUGAUAGCUCAAGGAUUGGAUGUACCAAAUUUUGUGAAGAAUGUUACAAAGUUUGUAAAUGAAAUACCAAAUUUUAUAAAGAAUAUACCAAGGAUGCCAAAGUCCGUUCCGAGGUGAGGAACGACCUCCAAUCACUUCUCGAGGGUCUCCAAAGGAAUAAAUGGACCAUGUGAAGGGAGAUAGGUGUCUCAUUAGCCCAAGGAUUGGAUGUAUCAAAUUUUCUUAAGGAUGUACCUAGGAUUCCAAAGUCCGUUUUGGAAUAGGGAAGAACCUCCAAUCACUUCCCAAAGAUCUCUAAAGGAAGAAAUGGACCAUGGGUAAUCAAAUAAGGGUCCUAAUAGCUUAAGGAUUGGAUGUACCAAAUUUUUUAAAGCAUGUUCCAAGGGUGCCAAAAUCCAUUCCAAGGUUGAGAACGACCUCCAAUCACUUUCUAAGAGUCUCCAAAUGAAUCAAUGGACCAUAGGAAAGGAGAUAGGUGUCCCGUUAGCUCAAGGAUUAGAUGUAACAAAUUUUUUUAAGGAUGUACCUAAGGUUCCAAAGUUCAUUUCGAAGUAAGGAGCAACCUCCAAUUACUUCCCAAAGAUCCUUAAAGGAAUAAACGAACCAUGGCUAAUAAGAUAGGGGUCUCGAUAAUUCAAGAAUUGGAUGUACCAAAAUUUUUUUAAGGAUGUACCAAAUUCUGUGAAGGAUGUACCAAAUUUUGUAAAGGAUGUACCAAAGGUGUCAAAGUCUAUUCUGGUAAGGGGAACAACCACCAUUCACUUUUCGAGGGUCGGUCUCUAAAGGAUAAAUAGACCAUGGGAAGUGAUAUAGGUGUCCCUUUAGCUUAAAGAUUGGAUGUACCAAAUUUUCUUAAAGAUGUACCUGGGGUUUAAAAGUCCAUUUCAGAGUAGGGAUCAACCUCCAAUCACUUCCCAAAGAUCCCUAAAGGAAUAAAUAGAUCAUGGGUAAUAAGAUAGCGAUCCUUAUAGCUCAAGGCUUGGAUGUACCAAAUUUUUUUAAGGAUGUACCAAAUUUUGUAAAGGAUGUAUCAAGGGUGCCAAAGUCCAUUCUGAGGUCAGGAACAACCUCCAAUCACUUCCCGAGGUCUCCAAAUGAAUAAAUGACCUCCAUUUGUUCUAAGGUAGGAAAUGACAUAUAAUGACUUCCUAAGAGUUCCUAAGGGAACAAAUGGACCAUGGGAAGGGAGAUAAGGGUCCCAAUAGCCCAAGGAUUGGAUGUACCGAAUUUUCUUAAGGAUGUACCUAGGGUUCCAAAGUCUAUUUACAGGUGGGGAAUGGCCUCCAAUAACUUCUCAAUGGUCCUCAAAUGAUGAAAUGGCAUAAGGGUCCUAAUAGCCUGAUGAUUGGAUAUACUAAUUUUUCUUAUGGAUGUAAUUAGGGUUCCAAUGUUAGUUUCAAGGUGGGGAAUGACCUUUAAUCACUUCCUGAUGAUUAGAUAUACCAAAAUUUAUUAAAGAUGUAUCUAAGGUUCAAAAGUCUGUUUUGGGGUGAGAAAUAACCUCCAAUUACUUCCUAUUGGUCCCUCAAUGAGCAAAAUGACCUUGGGAAGAGAGAUAGGGGUAUAAUUAGCCGGAGGAUUGGAUGUACUAAAUUUAUAUAAGGAUAUAUCUAGGGUUCCAAAGUCUAUUCUAAGGUAGGGAACGACUUGCAAUCACUUUCUAAGGGUCCUCAAAAGAUCAAAUGGACCAUGGGAAUGGAUAUAUGGGUCCUGGUAGCCCAAGGAUUGGAUGUACCAAAUUUUCUUAUGGUUAUACGUAGGAUUCCAAACUCCAUUCCGAGAUGGGAAACAACCUCCAAUCCUUUCCUAAAGGUCUCCAAAAGAAUAUAUGGACCAUGAGAAGAGAGAUAGGGGUUUUGAUUUCCCUAGGAUUGGAUGUACCUAUUUUUGUUAAGGAUGUACCUAGGGUUUCAACAUUCGUUUUGGGAUAAGGAAGGACCUCCAAUCACUUAUCGAAGGUUCCCAAAGGAAUAUAUAGACCGUGAUAAAGGAGAUAGGGAUCCUUGUUCCCUUAGGAAUGGAUGCACCUAUUUUUCUUAUGGAUGUAUCUAUUUUUUUAUGAAAUUAAUAUAAAAGGUUAACUACAAUUUUUUUUUAAUGAAAAAUUAUAUUUUCUUUUAAUUAAAAAUUAAAGAUUUUAAUGAAACAAAAAAUUAGAUCCAUGAUCAAGUUAAAACCAUAAGAAAAAAAGAUAAAAGAAUCAUCACUUACUAUGAUUUUGAUAUGAUAAAUUUAAAAUAAAAAAUAUAUAUAUAUAUAAUAUAAACAAUAAAAUAGUAUUACAAAUAUAUUUUUACUUUGAUGUGUGAUAUGGUUUAUAAAAUAUAUAAAUCUUUUAUUUAGCAUUAAUAUAACAAAUCUUAUAUCAUAAACCUAUAAAUAAUAAAAUAUAUUUUUUAAAUUUAAUCCUUGAUUUAUUAAAAGUAUUACUAUAAUUAAUAUUUAAAAUCAUCAAGUAUAUUAUUUGUGGAAUAAUAUUUUCAUUUUUGGCCAUUAUAUAUUUAUGUUUUUAUAUAACUUGUUAUAUUAACUAUUUAUUAUAUAUUAUUAUUUUAAAGUUAAUAUGUCCAAAAAAUAAUUAAAAUCAAUAAAUAUGGAGAUAUUAGAGAGUUAAAAAAAUAUAAAAUUGAAGAAGUUUUAUGCGAUAAUACAAAGAAAAAAAUAGUUAUUGGUGUACUUGACAACAACAUUUAAUGUGGUAAGUGUACUUGCCCUCAACUUUUGAGGGUAAUUUUGGAACAAAUUCAAAAGCACUAUUGGAGUGCAUGAAUUGGUAUAAAAAAAAUUCCAUUUUACAUUAAAAUUGAAAUAGUAAAACCACAGUUUUAAAAACCAUAUUUUUUAAUUGGUGAUGUACCAAAGCAUGAUUAUCCCAAUUUUAAAUAAUACAAAAAUCAUAAAUUUUAAAUUUUAAUUUUAAUCUUCUUUUAAAAAUUUGUAAAUUUUAAUGUUUAAUUUUUUAAUUUUUUAAUUUAUAAAUUUUAAAUAAUAUAAAACUCAUGGCAUGUUGAAGUGCAUUAAAUGCAUUGUAGUAGCAUAUUGUAUUUUUGUAGCAUAUAUGACAUAGAUGGAAUUGUGUGGAGUGUUUUUUGGGAAAAAAAGAUGAAAAAAAAAAAAUUCUCAAACCCUCACCUAGUUAAGCACCAUUGCAAGUUUGAAAAAAAAAAACCCAAUUUUUAAAAAGAGAGAAAACCACCAUCGCAAACAAUGGCUCACCACAUUUGUACCUGAUGCCAUAUCCUCUUCAACCUUUCAUCAUUUUCACCACCAACCCAUCUACCUUCUUGAAAAGUCAUUUUCCAACUACCAAUCAUACCCACCAUUCUCCAUAACACAUUUGUAUCUAAUAAUAAUUGUGAAAAUGACCAAUUUGAUUAAGCAAAUCACUAAAGGGGGGGAGGGGGGAAUGUGGGAAGAGAUGAAUUAGGUGUUAUAUUUUUUAUUUUAUUUUUUCAAAAGCAACCAAUUAAUAACAAAAAGAAUAAGAGAUAUUAAUUAAGGCAAUAAUUAAGUAAAAGAUAAAGAGAAGAUAUAUGCAAACUCUUUUAUUGUGGUUCAAAACUCCACCUAUAUCCAUUCUUUUUAACCUCCUAAGUAAGUGAGGAUUCCACUAUCAAAGACCUUCAACCUAAGCCUUCAAGCUUUAUAUUUGGAUUCAUGGUCUUCAAUGGGCACUCACAAUCCUUUCAAAUACUUCACCCACUUGAAGUCUCUUCACUCAAAAUGAGUAAAUAAGGAAAGUUCUAAUGCUUUCUAUUAGGACAUUGAGUCUUAUUUAUAUGUUGGCAAUUUUGUUUACUUUAUGUUUCAUCAUAGAAGUCUUUUUAGAUAAUGGCUUGCUCCCCAUUGAAGAUCAAGGGUGGUUGUUCGUCCAACCAAGAAGUCAUACGUAUAUUUAAAAAGGUUUGACUUGUUGCAUAUAAGGCUUCUUUAAGGUAUAAAAGGUUUAGUAUCAUUUUUGGACUUAAAAUGUUUUAAAAUGAUUUUUUAAAAGAAGUAGGGGCUGCUCAAGUGGAAAGGACCGAUCAACCAGUUAGACUACUCAAGUGGUAAGGAUGACUCAAGUAGUCUAAGUCUACUCAAGCAAUCAUAACAGUCCUUUCGAGUUUAGACACAAAUUUUGGAUGAAUUUCACUUGAACUCUAGUUUGAAAACUUAAGUUACUGAAACUCUUUGGAUUAUAAAUACUUUCUUAAUAACCCCUUAAGGGUUAGGGAUCGAAGAUUGAAGAGAUCUUAGAGAUUAAAAACCUUUCAUUCUUAAAAAGAGGGACUCCUUGAUAGAAAGCUUAAAUUGCUAUAUAAUUCAUGAUUUCUCAUUCAAGGAUUUGAAUCUUUAAAUUGUGGGUUGAAGACCAUAAUCCCUUCGAAGUGGCAAAAAGAUCUACUAGGGAGCAACAGGAAGUUGCUACGUCACAAACGUGGAUUAAGUUGUAGGUGUUGAAGAGUAAGUCUUUAGGAUAAAGCAGCCAAGUAAAUUUGUGUAACUUGAUUUUGAAUAGUGGAUUUAGAUUGGUAGGUCUUAGACCUUGUGGGUUUUUUUCUCCAAAGUUUGUGGGGGUUUUUCACAUACAAAUCUUAUGCCUCAUUAUCUAUAUCUUUUAUAUUUGAUAUUAUGUUUGUAGGGUUUUCAUAAAAGGUGCAUAUUUGUAGACCCCUCAUUUUGUCCUCCUAACACAUCUGAUACUUUAUGUUUUCCUAAGCUUCUCUCUUACCCUAUGGUUGUCCCUUAGAGACCCAUUAAAACUCAUAUGAAUUUUUUUCCCUAAGCUACCUUUUGGGACACUUUGUUGAGGGGCUCAUUUGGACUCACAAUGUGACUUUGACAACUUCUCAAGUUAGUUUUUAGGUUAGACUUCACUUAGAUUUUUUUUCCAAGAUAGGGUCACUUAGAUCUUUUUUAUACUAGGAUCACUUGGACACUUCACUUAGGUUGGUUUUCUUGAGUUUGAUUUCUAGGUUUUAGGUUUAGGUGAGUUCUUGACUUGAUUUCAAUAUUUGAAUGCAUGGGGUGAGUAUCAAUCUUUAGUUAUGUGAGUUCAAUGCAUUGAUUUUCUUAUUAUCUAUUACAUUAAGAUUAAUAUUUGGAUUUUGAUUGCAUGCGUUAAAUUUCUUUUAUUUAUUUUUUAUUUAUUUAUUUAUUUUAGAAAAUUUAUGUGAGACUAAUGUUAUGACUUUUAAUUGCUUGAAUUGAUGCUUGAUCUUAAAUAUGCAUACAAUUGACCUUUAAUUUUUAAUUGCAUAAUUUUAAUUUGCUUUAAUUUUCAAUUUCAUAACUUUUACUAAUUUUAAACUUUAUUUUAAUUUUGCAUGAGAUUUGAAUGUAUACUUUGGAGAAGAUCCCUUAGCGUACACGACUGCCCCAAUAAUAGGAUGGAGAUCAAGAAACUUAGGAGAUUCUUUUUUAGUUCAAGUGAUACAACCUACAACCUACAUGUGAACAACAUGCACCCAUUGACCUUCUACAAAAUGCACAGUCUACACAAAAGGAGACAUUUAUGCAACAUAGAUACAGGUUUCUUUUCUAAAAAAAAGUGUAGGCUGCCAUAUGAUAGGGCUUUAAACUAUUAAAGGAAAGUUAUUCAUGAUUAUUUAUUUUUUAUUUUAAAAAAGAAACUUAUAGCACACAUAGGAUGCAAGGGGCCACUUUCUAAAAAGAAAAGGGAUUCUUUCUUUUGGAUGAGGAUGUAGCAUAAAAAGUGAGGACCACUUUGAGAAUGGAGUCCGGUUUGGAGAAGAAAAAAAAAAAAAGACCACACGGUUCCAUGGAGAGGGGAGGGCAUAGUCUACCAUUGAAGGAGAGUUGACAGCCAUGUGUUCCUUGAGAAGGGGGUUCGCUCCCCACAACACACAUUUCAUCCUAAGGAGAGGAGGAUCUUCACACGUUGUCGAUUAGGGAGAAUACAAAUGCACAUGGAGGAUCACUUAUAGCCAUGAAUAAUAGCAGCUCAUCCAUAGCCCCACACACAACCAUGCAUAUUGGAGAAGAACUAGAAAGUUGUCACUUCAAGAUUUACCAUAGGUGCACACAUCAUUUGGAGAAGGUAAGUUAGGUUUUUUUUUUUUUUUCAAUUCUUAAUUUUCAGUUUGCAAGUUAGUUUUCUUUGUAUUUGUUUUGAUUCCACUAGAUUGAAAGUGGGAAUUAUUAAUCUUAGUUAGUUUUAUUAAUCUUAGUUUUGAGUCAUCCUAUAUAGUUUAGACACUUUCAUAAGUUUAGGUUCAUUAAUAAAAUUAAUUUUAUGCUUGAAAGUUCAUGUUUUUAGUUUGCUUUGACUUAGUCUAGCUCAUUUUAAUUAGUUUAAGUACUUUUAUAAUUUUAGUUAUUCUAUGUUUGAAAGUUCAUGUUUUUAGUUUACUUUAAUUUAGUCAAACUCAUUUUAAUUAAUUUAGGUACUUCUAUAAUUUUAGUUUCUUAGCUGAAUUUAUCCCAUUUUUUUUUAGUUUUUAUUUUAAAAUCAUUAAUGUUAGUUCCUAAUCAUCCUUAUCUUAAUUUAUAUGUUUUUAAGAUCCUAGUAGUUAGUUCAUGAAUCGAUAUCUUGUUAGUUUGUCUAAUAUAAAAUGCUUUGCUUGUUGCUUUACUGAUCCUUCAUUUAAUUUGAUUGUUUUUUAGGCCCUUGGAAACUCAUGAUGAUUGGCCUCUACUCUCACCUAGUUUAGGUUGCUAUAAAUUAUCACUUUCUAAUGUUAUUUUCUCUUUUAAAAAGAAAGUCUUUUCCCAAAAUUUUAUUUAUUAAAAUGGAUUUAAAAAACUUCUUCUAUAAUCCUUAGGGUUAAAAAAAAAAAAUCAUUUUCUUAAAAACUAUACAACCAUGUUUUAAUAUAUUUACACCUUUCUUUUAUUUUCAAUAAAAAUUGUGAUUUUUAGUGAAAUAUGAAUCCAAGCUUGUGGUCCCAAACGAAUGGGACAAUUCUUGGCUUUGAUGAGUUUGUCAAUUCUCAUGCAAGGUUGGGAAUCCAUAACCUAAAUUUGUGUAUAACAAAUGAGGAUUUGGUGACUAACCCCUUCAUAAAAUUAUUUUUCAAAAACCUUUUAUUGUUAACUUGUUGGAUUUGUUGCAUCUUUGGAAUAAAAUUUUGAUUUGGAUAAUUUAUGAUAUUCCUAAAAAUUUUCUUGUGGUUGAUGAUAUUAUGAACUUCAUUAACCUCAUUUUAGAAGUUUGAUUGAAUCAAAAAUCAUAUUUUUAAUGGAAAUUAUGAAUUAAUCUUUUGGUAGGUUCAGUUUUUUCCCAAUUCUGGAUACCCAAAUUGUUUUUUGUAUUUUCAAAUUGCUAAAUGACUUUGAAAAAUUAUUUUGACUUUUCUUCCUUCAUUCUAGACUUCUUGAAAUUUAUUUUAUACACAUAAAUAUUUAAAAAAUGUUUUGAUAAUUAGGAAAAAUAUAUUUUCUUUGUUCUACCCACUGUUGGCAUCUUAGAUCUAAGCAACAGAAGCAAUACCAUUUUUUUAAAAAUUAAUAUUUUAGGGUUAAAGAACUAACCUUUAGGUUUUGAGGUUCCCAAACCUUAAAUUCCAAGUGUUGAAGACGAUCCUGAAGUUGUUAGAAGUCUUGUAAACCUAUGAUCUUUCGCCCAAUGACUUAACCUUGUUCUUGGAAAACAAUGAGAAGGAAAGGCGGGUGGAGGCUAUGACUCUCUUUCUCUUUGAAUGGUGAGAGGCAAAAGCUAUAGAAACCUUAAUCCAUAUAGGGUAUUUAUAGGGAACCUAACUAGGCUUAAGUGACUUGAGCCUAUAUGGUCGGGCUUAGGUCACUUAAUCUAUCCCAAAAUGGGUCCUAAUUGAUUAAUUAACCUAAUAGGGCUUACUAAUUAAUAAAUUAGCCCAAUCCAAAGACCUUAUUCACUUACCCUUAUGCAACCUUGAAAAAUUACCAAAACACCCUUAUGCACAAAAGUGAACCUAGAGCUAAUCUGACCCUCAUAAUGCAUUCUAACAAGGUAUAUGAGCUCAGAGUGAGGAUCACUAGGAUCCAUAUAAGUAUUGGCUCCCUCAUAAUCAAAUUUUGAAUUUGAUUCAACAUCCCACUAUAAAAAAUCAACUAAACUCCAGUAUCCUAUGUAAAUAAUAACAAGACACUAAGUGCUCAGGUUCAUGACCUAUUAUCCACUACAUGCAGACUCUCCAUGAACUGGUGUCUGUAAUUUAACAAGGUAGUAUUAUUACCUUUCAAGAUUACCUCUUAAAUCCUUGAGUUAUAGAUCCCACUUAUUAUGUGAUCAAUUGACAUACUCUUACUCUAAAGAUAAUAUGUCAAAUUCCACUAAAGGAAUUAUUAUGGCCACAUAUUUCAUGAUCAUAUUUCUUUCGAUCACCCAAAGGAACACAUUGUCUCAAUCCCAUGAGAUAUCAUGGUGCCUAUAUUGUGAAUUCCUAUUACCAUCAACCUUUAUCAAUAAUGACCCAAUCCAUAUGGAUAUAUAACCACUUUAGGGUCUCACCCAAAUGUUAAACCCUCCUAUUUAUUUUGGAAUAUACUGAAUAUCCUUUUAAGGUUAAAAGUCCAUGCAGUAUGGUAACUUGGUAAAUCAUGAUAAUCGAUAACCUUGUGUCAUGAUUGACUGUAGGCCUUGUCUAAUAUUCAUCACAUACACUAGUGCACUCACCAUAGGAAAUCCAUCCAGAUGGCCAAGACAAGUCACCCCUCCAAUUAGGAGGUGAUGCACUAGAGUCUCUACUAGAUUGCCCAAAUCCAUGAACCAGCGGUGGACAACUUAUCUACUUGCAAGGAACCCAUGACUUGUAUCUUUUGUGCAACUGCUAAUGCACCCAAGUCAUGUACAAUGUAAGAGACAUGGACUAAAUGCUCAAAUCAUUGUUAGUACACUAAAAGGAUAGCAAAGGGAUGGUUAAGUCUAACUUUGUUACAUCAUAUCUUGCUUUCAAAGGCUCAAUCCUAACAAACUCCCACUAGCCCUAAAAGCAAACUAGGCAUCAUAGAAAAAUUUUUGUUCCAUGUCUCAUCACAUCUUUAUACUAUCUCAUUAUAAAGUAACACUUCUUAUUUAUGUGUUUCCUCUUCUGGUGAUACUUCAAUUCUUUAGACCAUGCCAUUGUCCCGUUGUUAUCACAUAACAGGAUCUUAGAUGAUAUAGCCAAGGGAAAUACCAAUAAGCCAAAAGGCUUUCUUUGUUGCUAUAAAAACAACAAAAAAGAAAAACCCCACUUCGAGUGUACACAUACCUAGAGGUAGACUUAUAAGAGUCCUUAUCAGACCGAAGUCCAAUUUCCUAGUAUGAAAUGAGUACUAACUCAUCGCAAAGGAUCACAACAUAUAAUUCCUUAUUUUCCAAAGAUACUAGAGUAUAUGUUUGACAUCUGGCCAAAGCUCUAAUAAGGAAAUGGACUAAUAUCCACUCAUUAUUCAUACAACAAAGCAAAUAUCUGGUCUAUCACAUAACAUCGCAUAUUUAAGGCAAUUCAUUAUAGAGGCAUUGGAUAUCGCCUUAAUGUGAUCUCUCUCCAUAGAUGUCUAAGGUCAUUGAUCAUAAGAAAGACAAGUCUAAAACUAAAUAGUAACAAACCUUCUUAGAGUUUUGCAUCAUAUACUUGACCAAAUGCUCAUCCAUGUAGGUGACAUGGUGCAAUUCUCCUAUUCUUGUAAUCCUGAAGGAUCAUAACCCGAAGAAUAUAUUGCAUCUUCCUCUAGAUUUUCAUCCAGAAUUGAGUAGACUAUUAGUUCUUGACUGAUGACAAUAUCCCUACAUCAUAUCUAAUGAGUAGAUUUUCAUCUACCUGUAAGAUCUUUGAGCAUCACUAUGCUUUCUUGUGUCUUUUUAUACACACAAGGCUAUUUGCUAUGAAAAUGUUUGGUUGUUAUGUCUUACAAAUGAGACACACUGCAAUAGAUAGUAGUAAUAUGAUGGAUUUGAGUAUGAUCACUAUUGAAAAGGUUUUCCAUAGUUGAAACAAAUUUCAAAAUGAAUCGCAAUUCGGAGUUGAAAUGAGGGAGUUGUAGUCGAUUGAAACUAGGUUGCACAAUGAGCAUGGAAGCACAAUGAUGUUGACUUCAACUCAAAAUUGGGGCUACCUCCCAUGAGCUUUUUGAGGCAAACCACAUAUGGUUUUGAAGCUUAAGAAGUCAGAAAUCCAAUACUUCAAACGGAUUUCAAUUUGGAGUUGAAGAAACAAGGGAGAUUUGGUUGAUUGAAGCUAAGUUGCACAAAGGGCAUGUAAUUACGAGAUGGAGUUCAAGCCAAAUUAUUUUUGGUUGUUUGGGCUCAUUUUUUGGGCCUCUUUUUGGGCUCUUUUAGUGGCAAUUAGGCCCGUUGGGUUUUUCUUUUUUUACUAACCCUAUUUUUGGUUGCAGGGCUAUUUUGAUAAUUUGGAUUCUAUCCAAGUUUUAGAUACCAAUUUUGCAACAAGAUCCCUAAGGCCAUGAGAAUUAUUUAUUUAAUUUUCUUUCAUGUCUUUUAUACUUUUUUUUUUAGAUAAUUUAUUAAAUUGGAAUGUGCUAGGACUUAGGAAAUUUUUAUUUUAGGUAAAGACAAGUUGGAAAUAAAUAAGGAACCUACUUCAUUUUCAAAAUUAAACUUUUAGAGAUUUUUUUUUAAAUAAAUCUUUUUAGAUUUUAGAUCUCUAAGAAUCUUUUUAUUUUAAGGAAGAAGUUUUUUUUUUUUUUUUCAGGUUUUUUUGAAAUAAAAUUAUUUCUAUUUAGCACAAGAUUCUAAAAUAAAGAAAUAAAUUAUUUUUGGAAAAAUAUAUGAUAGAUAAUUCAUGAUUAAGAUAGCUUACCAAGAUAUUGUUUCAAAUAAAAUAAAUUAAAAUGGUAAUUUUGGAUUUUCUUAAAAGAAUAAAUUUUCAUGAGUUUUAUUUCCAUUAUUAUUUAGUUAACAAAUUGGUUGUUGUCAUUUGGAAUUUCAAAUUCCUUUUGGGACUUUUUUUUUUGGGUUAGAUAGUUUUCUAAGCUCUCUCUCUCUCUCUCUCUCUCUCUCUCUCUCCUCCCCCCCCUUCCCCCUCUCCCCUAGAGAGAAGGAGAAUGACACGUACAUUGGUCCUCCAGGCUUUUCCUCCUUGAGAGAAAGAGAAAAUCGUUUAGUUUGAAAAUGAAAGUUCAAGGAUAAGGAAUAUGAAAGAUAUCCUUAAUUGGCAUAGGAGUCCCAAUUCAAGUAAUAAAUAAAAGUUUUGGAAAUUUUCAUGAUAGAUAAUUUAUUUUAAGAUGGAUUAUUUUAAAAUUAUCUUAAAGUCUCUCUUCCAAAAUAUUAAGUGGGAGCGGGCCAUAGGCAAGAGCCCAUCUUGAUUUCCAUCCUAAAGAUGGGGUGGCCCAAGGAAUCAAGGGAUAUGGACUAUCCUUUAUGGACAAGACUAUAUAUGUUUAUAGUAAGAGUGGCCAAUCCUAAAGAUAGAACUCUUCACUUCGUAACAUUGAUGUUAAGGAUCUUGAUUACUCAUUUAACUUAGAAAUGAAGUGGUAGAAUCACCUAAAGUGGUCCCACUUGCAUGGGCUAAGGGCUCAACAUAAAGGUAUGUUGAUCAAUGCCUUAGGAUAACCUUUGGAAGUUUAAGGCAGGUUGAUUAAUUAGAGAGGGUCUCUACCUAGUAAUAAGAGUCAUAACCUGCCUAAAGUAAGCUUGAUUCUUAUGAUACUAGGUUACCUUGCAUAGAUACAUAUAGUUUGAGAGCACUACAGUUUUGCUAAAUUAAUUACCAAUUUGCCUUAAAUGCUCAAUUCCUUUUAUUAAUGCAUGGAAUUAUUAUUUUUAUUAUGGAUAUCAUGUCUUUAAUCUAUCACAUUUUAUCUUUUGUUUAAAUUGGACCUAAUUUUAAAUUAGAAAUAAUCUGGAUAUAGUAUUAGUUGCAUAGAAGCUGUUUUUGGUAGAGUUUGUUAUUUCCUUUGAACAAACCUAUCAUCAAGUAAGAGAAACAUAUCAAAGGUGGCAUAAGACGGAUCAAAAGACUAAGUCUCUCAUACUUGGGUCUUUAGAUAAUGUGUUGCAAAAGAAACACAUGUCUAUUGUCGUAGUCUAUGAUAUUCUCUUCAAAGUUGCAAAGGUUAUUUGGUGAUAAGGGCAAGUCAACUAAACAACUUGCCCUUAAGACUAUUAUGAACACUAGGAUUCAUGUUAUCUUAGAGAUCUUACUAGAUUCUUUUGGGAUGGGUAAGAAGAUUCUCAAAGAGUGGAAGGGUGUUCAUAUGGAAGUCAAGGUUCUUCAAGCUCUUCUAACACUAUCUCAAGCUACCUACAUAGAUAAGAUUUUGGUCAAGUGUGUGAUGUGGGAUUCCAAGAAAGGUUUGUUACCUUUUAAGCAUAGAAUUCCCCUUUCUCUAAAUCAGUGUGUGCUAAAACACUUGAGAAGAAUGAGUGCAUGUAGUUAAUACUUUAUGCCUCUGUAGUGGGUAGUCUUAUGUAUUUGAUGCUAUGUACUAGGCCAAAUAUUUUUUUUGCAGUGGGUAUGGUGAGUAGAUAUCAGUCUAAUCUAGUUGCAAAACAUUGGACAACAGUCAAGCAUUUACUCAAGUACCUUAGGAGAAUGAGAGAUUGUGUUUGUGCUCCAAAGUGUUGAGAUAGUUUAAAGGGUGACAUGAUGGUUGACAAGAUACCUUUUGUGAAGAACCUAGUGGAUCUCUUCACCAAGACAUUGUCAGGGAGAGUCUUUGAUGGUCACAAGGAUAACACAGGUUUCAAAUGAGUGUCUAACAUGCUUUAUAGGCAUGAUGUUUUGAGGGCUAGUGGGAGAAUGUUAGGAUAUAGCCCUUAAAAGCAUGGCAUGAUGUAAUAAAUUUGGAAUUCAUUAUUUAUUUAACGAUGUUCCAGUUUCACUUUUAUCGAUCCUUAUUCCAUGUAUUAUACUUUAUGAGCAUUCUUGCCUACAUCUUUUGCAUUGUAUGUGACUUAGGUACAUUAGGAGCUUCAUAGAAGAUCUAAGUCAUGGGUUCCUUACAAGUAGAUGACUUGUUCACAACUGGUUCAUGGGUCUAAGCAACCCAUUAGAAGGGCACCACCUCCUAAUUGGAGGGAUUAGACUAGUCUUGGCUAUCGGGAUGGUUUUUCCAUGGUGAGUGCAUUAGUGUGUAUGGUUACAUAUUGGACAAGACCUAUAGUGAGUCACGACUUAAGGCUAUCAANNNNNNNNNNNNNNNNNNNNNNNNNNNNNNNNNNNNNNNNNNNNNNNNNNNNNNNNNNNNNNNNNNNNNNNNNNNNNNNNNNNNNNNNNNNNNNNNNNNNAUAUUGGACAAGACCUAUAGUGAGUCACGACUUAAGGCUAUCAAGUAGUCAUGACCUCACCAAGCUGCUUCAUUAUGUUGUCUCUCAACCUUGAGAGAAUAUUAAGCUUGUGCUAAAGUUAGUAAUGACUUUGAUCUACGGGUAAGAACAUAAGCUGAUCAUAUAUUCCCUAUGGAUUAGGUCACUACUGAUGGAAGCCGGUAGCAAUAGGUAUUCUCAAUAGAGGCACCAUGAUAUCUUUUAGGAUCGAGACAGUGUGUCCCCUUUGGUUAUCAUAAGGAGGUGUGUUCAUGGAAACUAUGGUCAUAGUAGUUCCUUAAGUAAAACUUGACAUAAACUCUUUGAGAGUUAAGAUAUGUAAAUUGAACAUACAAUGGGAGGAUCCGUAACUUAAGGAUGGUAAAGGUCUUGAAAGGCUAAUAGAUUUCACCUAGUUAGACUAUGGACACCAGCUCAUAGGAAGACUGAACACAAUGGAUAGCAAAUCAUAGACCCAAGCACUUGGUGUCUCAUUGUUAUUUACAUAGGAUACUGGAGUUCAGUUGAUUCUCUAUAGUAGGAUGUUGAAUCAACUUUAGAAUUAGAUUCUAAGGGAGCUAGUAUUCCUAUGGGUCCCAAUGGUCCCCGCUCUGAGCUCAUUUACCUUGUUGGCAUGGGUUAUGAGGGUCAGAUUGGCUCUAGGUUCACUUUUGUGCAUAAGGACGUUUUGGUAAUUAAGUAAAGUUGUAUAGGGAUAAGUGAACAAGGUCUCUAGAUUGGGUUAAUUGUUUAAUUAGUAGGCCCUAUUGGGUUAAUUAAUCAAUUAGGACCCAUUUUGGGCUAGAUUUAGUUACCCAAGUGCAUGUGGGCUCAAGUAAGUUAAGCCCACUUAGGAACCCUAUAAAUACCCUCUAGGGGCUAGGGUUUCCAUAACUUUUUGUCUUCCAUCAUCUAGAGAGAUAGAGAGUCAUAACCUUCACCCUCUUUUCCUCUCCAUCGAAAGUGUGUGAAGAUCAAGGUUCGAGUCAUCGGGCAAAAUAUCGUAGGUUUAGAGCAGGUUGUGUAUGAUAUUUGAUUACUCACCAAAAUUUAAAUAAACCAAAUGCCUGAAGAAUUCUAAUAAUUGUGAAAAUUUCUCACAGCUCAGCUUCAAUCAGGCUGUGUACCAUAGAAGAUGAGUUUCUUAGAAUCUCUUGAAUUUUCUAAUUCAAAAUACAAGUUUGACUUUGAGAAUUGACCAAGAAAUUAAUCAAACACAGUAUUUUAGAACAAAUUUAAAAUAUAUGUAGAAUAUUUUUAAAAUUUUGACCUCGCAUAUAUACAGUACCUUUAUCAAGAUUAGUCAAUAUAUGUAGAAAAGUCAGCGCUAUAUAAUCAUAAUCCAUCAAAGAUACACUAUUUGCUACUGUGGGCGUACCGGCCAUUAGUAAUGGGCCAAAAUGUUCUCCAUGAUUAAAAAUAAAAUACAAUCAUGGCAUAAAAAUCUUGACCCUCAUUUUCAAGAGGUGACUUUCUCCAAGAAAGAAUUAUUUUCCUUUUUAUUUUCUCAUGGGGAGAAAGUUGGAGAUUCACAUUGUUUAUAUUUUUAUAAUAGUUUUAGAGUAGUUUUAAAGCUUCCAAAAAUUUCUCCCUUAUUUUUAUUUAGUAGGUUGGCUCAGUCCACUUGGUACCCAAAAACAAACCCAAUAAAUAAUUAUUUAUUGAAUUUGGUCAAUCCCAAUGUUUUCAAAACCGAAUUAGACAUUGAAUUAGAAAAAUUAUCGAUUCAUAGUUCACUGGUCAGACUAGUGACCGAACUGGUGACAUCAUAAAUACAUAAUUUAUAUUUUAUUAAAAUUAAAAAUAAUUUUAAAAUAUAUAUAUAAUUAAAAAUUAAUAAUAUUUGUAAUAUUAUUUAUUCAUUUUAUAUAAAUUUAUUAAUAUUUUAAAUUUAUUAAUAUAUGUAUAUAUAUAUAUAUAUAUAUAGAAUAUUUAAAUAUGAAAAUAUAUUGAAAAUGGGUAUAUAUAUAUAUAGGUAGUCUUUGAGUCAACAUGCAUAACAAGAUUGGACAUCAAUUAAUUCAUUUAAUAAUUAUGUUGAUUAGUUUAAUUAUACUUUUUAAAAUAUUUAACUCAUAUUUAACACAUUUUUAAUUUGAUUUUAAAUAAAUAGGUUAAUUGAGUUAUAAAUAUAUUAAUCAUAUAAAUUAACACAAGACCUAACUCAACCUAAUUAUUAAAUGGGACAAAUGAGUUAUACGAUAUGUUACUUGUUUAGUAAUUAUGUAGUAUUUUAGGUUUACGUUUUUAAUCAAAUUAUUAUUCGUGUCAAGUUUGACAUAACACACAUAUGACCCACCAACACAAAUUGUAACCCCUAAGCUUGUUCACUCAAAAAGUAAAUUUAUACUAAUAUUUAAUUACCUAGUUUAAACUAGUAGGAAUAUUUUUAAAUUAUUGCUUAGUUUUUUUAAAAUUUUUAAUAUUGACAUAUGUAUAUAGUUUCUCUAAAGACAUUUCAUUGAUGUAGAAUUCCAAAUAUAAUUUGUCUAUAUAAAGAUAUCAUAUAUUUUUAAUAAAUAUAUAUUGUAAGUUAAAUAUUAUAUUGUAUAAUAUGUUGUACUAUAUGCAUAAGUAAUACAUUACUAUUUUACAAAAUAAAAAAUACACUAUAUAAUAGUAAUAUAUUAUAUACAUAAAAAGUUUUUGUGUGUAAAGUAUCCAACCACAUUUUAAUUAAUAAUUGAUUAUUUUAUUUUUAAAUAAUCUAAUUAUGUAUUUAUUAUUUUUAAUUAUUAAUAACUAAUUUUUCAAAAGUGAUUUGUUAUUAAGAAUAAAAUCAUAAAUUAUGCCAUAAAAGUAGUAAUUGUUGUACAUACUAAUUUGUUAAGGAUUAUUAUUAUUAUUAUUAUUAUUUUACUUGCAUACAUUGUUUAAUAAAAUAUUUAUUUUAAGUUUUAAAUUCCUUACUUUAAAUUUUCAAUUUUAUUUUUAGUCUAAUUUUUAAUCUAUAAAUUCUAAUUUUUAAUUUUUAAAAUUUUAAUUCCUAAAUUUUAAAGGGGAAAUCAUGUAACCAUACAUCACCAAUAAAAUAAAUAAAUGAGAUUUUUAGAACUUUGCUUUUACCUUUUUAAUUUUAAUGUAAGAUGAGAAAAAAUAUUGCCUAUUCAUGUAUUUCAAUAGUGCUUUCAGAUUUGUUUCAUAAUUACUCUUGAAAGUAAAUGACAAAACACACAUCACUUUAAUACCACCUAUUGACAAGUACAUGAAUAAUUUAUUUUUCUUAUUUCUCUCACAUCAACUCUCUCACAUGUCUCACUUACCACUUGCCACAUUUCCACUUUUUUCUUUUUUCUUUCUUUCUUUUUUUCCCCCUCUUUUACCACCAUAAUCCUUAGUCACCUAUUAUAUUUUUCACUACUAUUUUUUUUCCUUUGAUAUUCUUUUUAAUAAGCUCAUAUAUUUUGUCAUAAAACUUCUUUAAUUUUAAUUUUUUUCACUCUCUAAUUUCUCUAUAUUUAUUUAUUACAAUUAUAAUUUUUUGGACAUAUUAUACUUAAAAUGAUAAUGUAUAAUAAAUAGUUAAUAUAACAAAUAAAAUAAAAUAUAUGUAUAAUGGAAAAAAAUGAAAAUAUUAUCCCACAAAUAAUGUACUUGAUGAUUUUAAAUAUUAAUUAUAUGAAUAUAUUUAAUAAAUUAAGGUUUAAAUUUAAAUAUUUUAUUUUAUUAUUUAGAGGUUUAUGAUAUAAGAUUUUUUUAUAUUAAUGCUAAACAAAAGAUUUAUUUAUUUUGUAAAUUCUAUCACAUGUAAAAGUAAAAAUAUCUUUAUAAUACUAUUUUAUUAUUUAUAUUAUUUUUAAAAUUUUUAUUUUAAAUUUAUCACAUCAAAAUCAGAAUAAGUUAUUGUGCUUUUAUCUCUUUUCUUAUGAUUUUAAUUUGAUUUUGGAUCUAACAUUUUGUUUGUUUAAAAUCUUUAAUUUUUAAUUAAAAUAAAAUAUAAAAGAAAAUAUAUUUUCAUAAAAAAAAUUGUGUUUAACCUUUCAUAUUAAUUUUAUAAAAAAUAAGUACAUCCAUAAGAAAAAUAGGUAAAUCCAUACCUAGGGGAAUCGAGACCCCUAUCAUCCUUGUCAUGGUCUAUAUAUUCCUUUGGGACCCUUGAUAAGUGAUUAGAGGUCCUUGCCUACCCCAGAAUGAACUUUGGAAUCCUAGGUACAUCCAUUCUUAAGAGAACCAAGACCCUUAUCUCAAUUCUCAUGGUUCAUAUAUUCCUUUAGGGAUCCUCGAGAAUGAAUUAUAGGUUGUUCUUCACCUUGGAUCAGACAUUAGAACCCAAGGUAUAUCCUAAAGAAAAUUUGGUACAUUUGAUCCUUGGGCUACCGAAACCCUUAUAUCCCUUCCCAUAGUCUAUUUGAUACUUUGGGGACUCUUGAGAAGUGAAUGGAGGUCGUUUCUAAUCUCGGAAUGGACUUUGAAACCUUAAGUACAUCCUUAAAAAAAUUUGUUACAUCAAAUUCUCAAGCUAUCGGGACCCUAUCUCCUUUCCCAAGGUCCAUUUGUUCAUUUAGGGAUCCUCGGGAAGUGAUUGGAGGCUAUUCCUCACCCCAAAAUGGACUUUUAAACCCUAAAUACAUCUUUAAGAAAAUUUGGUAUAUCUUAUCCUCUGGCUACCCCAUAUCGCUUCUUAUGGUCCAUUUGAUCAUUUAGAGACCAUUUAGAACUUCUUAUAUAAACAAAAAUAGAAUUAUAAAAUUCUUAUAAGAAAUAAAAUUUUUAUGACUUCUACAUGAAACCUUUUUUUUUUAAGUUAUAAGUUUUUUUAAAAAUAAUUAAAUAGGUAUAAAAACUUUUAUUUAACUCUUAAAAGUCAAUCCAAAUAAAAUUUAUAUAUAUAUAUAUAUAUAUAUAUAUAUAUAUUUGAAAAUCACUUUUAAAAAUCCAAAAAAUCACUUGAAAAUACUUUCCAAAACUUUUUUUAACUUACAUUUAAAAAAUAAAAAAUAAAAAAUGAUUAGUUUUUACUAGUUAUUUAAAUUUCAGGAAGCGAGAAAGAAUUUACUCUGAUGUAAAAAAAAUGAGAGAAAAGUAAUUAAAUCACUAAAAAAUAGACUUGGAGUUCCUUUGGUGUGCGGUUAGACUCAAUUUGUCCCCAUGCAAUGGAAAUGGACAAUAUUUUAUUUUUUUAUUUUUUUCCUUUUCCUUUAUGUUGGUGUAGUCUUGUGAUAUUGUUACUAAAAUAGGAGGUAAAAAUAUAAAUUAUACAUCCAUUAUUUUAAAUUUAGAAAAAAGUGCUUAUUUUAAUUUGAAAUAAAUAAAUAGAAAAAAAAACUGAUUUUAUCUCAAUUGUGUAAGACUUCAAAAAAAAUUUCUUAUUUGCAAAAUAUUUUGAGUUGUAAAAGUAAAAAUUAAACAAACCAUUUCAUGACCUUUUUCACAAGUAUCCAUUUAGAUCAUAGUCUAGUUUUAAAAUAUUUGAAUAAUCCAAUUACUCUAAACUAUAUCAUUUAUAAUUUUUUAAAUUAUUACUAUCAUACCUAACCUUGUAUGGAAUUGGAAUAAAAUAUGGAUAAGUAAAAGAUGUCAAAUGAAAGAUAAUUUCAAACUUUUCUAAUACAGCAUGAUAUUUUAUCAUGUUGAAUAAAAUUGGAAUGGACAAAAGUUGUCAAAUCAAGACUUCCAUGGCAAAUUCCACCAUUGCAUAUCUCAAAUAUUAUUCUACAACAUUAUCUUUGUAGACUUUUAACAAUCCAAGAAAUUGACAAAUUAUAUAAUAAUCCCAAACACAAUAUUCUACAACUUUACAAUAUUCUACAAUUUUUUGGAAUAAAAAAUAAAUAAUGAAAUCUACAACUUUAAAAUAUUCUACACUUUUUUUGAACAAAAAAAAAUAAAUAAUGAAAUCUUUGGCAUGUUAAUUCUUUGCAGCUUCAACAUGGUGGCAUGUCGGAUGGCGGAGGCAGCAUUUGAGCUUCUGGGUGUUUACAAUAUCUAUUGUUGUUAUUUAAAGGAAUCAUUGAAAUGAUUGCAUGAAAGAUUUAUUCCAUAGCCUAAAAUAAAUAUUGGCUUUAUAUAUAUAUAUGUGUGUGUGUGUGUGUGUGUGUGUGUGUGUGUUUGCUCAAAUGAUAGGCCGGUUUUAAGCCAUAAUAAUAAUAAUUGUAUUAUUGUAUUAUUGAAAUAAAAAGGUUAUUGUAUUAUUAUUUAUUUUUUUGAUUGAAUAGAAAAAAUCAAAAUAUUUGAUUUCUUUUUAUUCAACUAAAAGUAACUUGUUGAUAUACAAACACCCCAUCUCAGUGACUAUCAAACACGUACUCUUGUUAACANNNNNNNNNNNNNNNNNNNNNNNNNNNNNNNNNNNNNNNNNNNNNNNNNNNNNNNNNNNNNNNNNNNNNNNNNNNNNNNNNNNNNNNNNNNNNNNNNNNNUAAGCCAUAAUAAUAAUCAUUAUUUUACUUAUUAUUGAAAAAUAUAAGGUUGUUGAUAUCAACAAGUUACUUUUAGUUGAAUAGAAAAAAAAAUAUUUUAGCUUUUUUUAUUCAAUAAAAAAGCAAACAUAUCUAAAUUUAUAUAAUAAAAAUGCUUUAACUAGAAAUGAAUUUCAUAUGGACCACUAUCAAAUACCAUGCAUAGGGAGAAAUCCAGAUCCUCACUUGCUCUUUGAUUUUAAUGCAUUGAAUUUGAUGUUGCCUAAAACAAAUUAUAUUUCAUGUCCUGUAUUAUGAGUAGACAACCAUUCCUUAUGUUGGAUUUUAGAUAAAGAAUGGAUAUUGGAGAUUGGAGUUGUAAGAAAUUAGGAGAUCCUAAUUUUAAAUAUGUAACAAAGUUCUAUAAUCGCCUCAAUCCAUGUUUUAAAAAUUGUAUUUCUUUCUAAUAUUGGAGCAAACUUUUUCUUUGUUUCUUAUAAAUUUCAUUUGGGAAUGAUUUAAAAAUAAAUAAAUAAAAUCCCUUCUAAAUAUUAAAAAGUAACACUUUCUUAUAAAAAUUAAUUAGGUGGAUGGUAAGGUAAAAUUCAGGAUAACUUCAUAUUUUUUGCUUUAAUUGAAAAUUAAAAUCAAAAUUAAAGUAAUAAUUUUUAAGGGGAAAUAUUGAUAUUGUAAAACUUUUAUUAAACAUGAAAUAAUUUCUUAUAUAAACAAAAAUAGAAUUAUAAAAUUCUUAUAAGAAAUAACAUUUUUAUGACUUCUACAUGAAACCUUUUUUUUUAACUUAUAAGUUUUAAAAAAAUAAUAAUUAAAUAGGUAUAAAAACUUUGAUCUAACUCUUAAAAGUCAAUCCAAAUAAAAUUUAUAUAUAUAUACAUUUGAAAAUCACUUUUAAAAAUCCAAAAAAACACUUAAAAAUAAUUUCUAAAUAGUUUUUUUAACUUACAUUUAAAAAACAAAAAAAUUUAAAAUGAUUUGUUUUUACUAGUUAUUUAAAUUAAGGAAGCAGGAAAGGGUUUGCUCUAAUGUAAAAUAAAAAAAAAAAAAAAUGAGGGCUGAAAAGUAAUUAAAUCACUAAAAAUAGACUUGGUGUUCCUUCAGUGUGCAGUUAAACUCAAUUUGUCCCCAUGCAAUGGAAAUGGAAGAUUUUUUAUUUUUUAUUUUUUAUUUUUUUCCUUUUCCUUUAUCUUGGUGUGGUCUUGUGAUAUUGUUACUAAAAUAGGAGGUAAAAAUAUAAAUUAUAUAUCAAUUAUUUUAAAUUUAGGAAAAAAAAGUGCUUAUUUUAAUUUGAAAUAAAUAAGUAGAAAAAAACUGAUUUUAUCUCAAUUGUGAAAGACUUCAUUAAAAUUUUCUUAUUUGCAAAAUAUUUUGAGUUGUAAAAGUAAAAAUUAAACAAAUCAUUUCAUGACCUUUUUCACAACAUGAUAUUUUAUCAUGAUGAAUAAAAUUGGAAUGGUCAAAAGUUGUCAAAUCAAGACUUCCAUGGCAAAUUCCACCAUUGCAUAUUCAAAGACUAUUCUACAACAUUAUCUUUGUAGACUUUUAACAAUCCAAGAAAUUGACAAAUUAUAUAAUAAUCCCAAACACAAUAUUCUACAACUUUACAUUAUUUUUUUUAUUUUAAUACAAGAGAAAUCCUUAGUCAACAAUUUUUUUGAACAAAAAAUAAAUAAUGAAAUCUACAACUUUACAAUAUUCUACAAUUUUUUUGAACAAAAAAAUAAAUAAUGAAAUCUGAAUAAUGCAAACAAUCACUGAAAUCUUUGGCAUGUUAAUUCUUUGCAGCUUCAACAUGGUGGCAUGUCAGAUGGCGGAGGCAACAUUUGAGCUUCUGGGUGUUUACCAUUUUUCACUAUGAACGCAGUUUCCAUGCCCCAAGUCAGAUGGCGUUCUACAUGGCAGUGCAUGAACCACACCCCUGCAAUAGAGAAAACAUACCAACAUUACACCUAAUUUAUUGCAAUAUUAAGAAAAAUUAUUCCCUUGGUAUGCAGGUUGGCAGUUUCAAGGGUUUUUUUUAAUAGAGGACAUGAGUGCUUGCAACAUACCAGGGUUGGAUGCCUCGAAUCUGAUUGCAACCCAACCAUUCGUAGGAACAGAGAUGGUACUCUGAAGGGGAGGAUCCACUAGAUUAUAGCGCAAAGGGUCCCUAUUUUUAUCAAAAUUCCCAAAUCCCCAUCCAACAAGGUAGAAUCUAUAUCCAUGGAGAUGCAUGGGGUGGUGUGUCCCUGAAACCAAGUUUGUCCCUUGAAAAACAAUCUCCACUGUGGAGUUAUACUCGACCACCCUUACUUCUGUUCCAAUUUCCGGCGUUUGAUACUCCAAUGGAAGAUAAUCAGCUGUAAAAUCGAACACCAAUGGUGGAACGCUAGGAAAUUUAUCUCCAUAUACACCACUGAUGUUAUAAUAGUAAGCUUGUAGUAUGUCAAUCGUAGGGGAUUGGAAGCUUAUGUUGUUUAUACUUGCAGAGAGCCGCGUCCCAUUGGGCCCUGCACAUGAAUUAUUGGGGCAUAGGAACGAGUUUACAGAAAUAGUGUAAAUUAGUUUAGUGCUCGGGCUCAAUGGGACAUUGGAAGGAUGUUCCGCAUCUGCUAAGCUUCGAAGGCUAGCCAUGACCUGAACCGAUGCAUUUGUGUCAUUGUAUGCAGGAAAAUGAGGCAAAGAGGGAGGUGAAGAUGGAGUGUAGUAUCCUCUGUAUUGUACAAUAGCUGUGGUGGUUGUGUUAUCAUAAAAAUUUUGAGCUACCGGGGCAAUGGAAUAAGUUUUAGCCGCCAUGUAAUAGUGAUCCAGGCGUUGGUUAGCUUCUAGUAAGACAUCGAAGGUUUGGCCAGGAUAUAUUGUGAUAUAAUCUUGUGUCAAUGGUUUCGUGUAGCUACCAUCUAUUCCAACCACUGUCAUUUUAUGCUUGGCAAUUGAGAAGAAGAGAGCCUCUUGCAAAGCAGCAUUGAUUAUGCGAAGUAGAUAGGUCUUUCCAUGAUCCACCGUUAGCUUGAAUGUGCCUACAAUUAGAAAAGGAAAGUUGUAUACUUACGACUAGCGAAAAGAAAAGGAAAAACUUUCCAUGAGUAUCCACUAAUUAUGAAGUGAUUGAUUGAUUAGGGGUGUAAAUUUGGCUCCACAGUUCAAAAUUAUAUUUAGACUAGCCUUUUCAUAUGUGUUAAAUCAUGGCUCUACCAUCCUCAUAACUAUAUUCAUCUUUCUUAGCAUUAAGUUUUAAAUAUGUUGAUGUUAAUAAGAAAAAGUAAUAUGGUUAACAUACAAGAAAAUGAGAUCAGUGUACAAUUUUAAAAUGGGAAGUUAAACUUUAUACUUGAUUUUGAGCAUGGAUAUAGAUCACCGGGUUGUCCAUUUAUCAAUAAAGAAUCAGAGGCAUUGGGGUCAGCUCCGGUUGCAAGCCCUUCAUCUCGAACCGCAUUCACAUCACUCUUCCACCAUUGUCCUGCAUUUCAACAACUCCAAUAAUUUAGAUUUUGCUUUGUUGGUUAAUUCAUGAUAUGUAAAUUAACCUUUAAAAGCAACUACACUUAUACCUAAUAUGAUGGGAACUUCUGCGCUAGGUUUGGGAAAAGGAUACUUGGUUCCAUUCUUGGGAUAGACGAUUAUAGCUCCAUGAACGGUGGCUCGGGUCCAGUCACUGUGAGCAUGCCACCAUAGAGUGCCUUCCUCAGAGGAAAGGAUGAUCUUUUGGCUAAACUUUGACCCUGGUUGAAUUGGGCAUUGUGUGAUAUACUCGGGACCAUCUGUCCAUGGAUAUCUAGGCAUGCUCACCCCAUGCCUGCAAAACAAUAACUAUACGUUAAAACUAGUACUAAUUUUCAGGCUAACAAAAGAUGGCAUGUAGCAACAUAUUAUCACAGUAACAAGAGGCAUCAACUGUAUUUCAAUGGAACUGAUGCAAAUAACCCUAAGAUAUUAUUUUAAAUUCAACUUUAUUUGCAAAGCAAUACAUUGCAGCCCCCUCUUAGAAAUAAAAGAUUGUAUGUCAUGCAGGCAUGCUGCCCACUACUAUCUUUCUCCGAGACAUGCAUGGGACCUACCAGUGAAUGGUGACAUUUUCUUUUCCCCUGUUAUAAACGUCAACAAUGAUCGUCUCUCCUUUCUUAGCAUAUAUAGUUGGUCCUGGAAAUUGUCCAUUUACCGUUAAGAUGUUCUUGGUGCUACAAAGCCUUGUAUAUGAAGCCUCCUUCACCUGCAACCAAUUAAAAGUUAACCAUGCAACCUCAUCCCAAAAGAAAUAUUACAUGCAUGAAUAGUUGCAUCGAUCCAUUCAUGCAAGUGUAUAACCAAUUAGAAAUUGAUAGCAUGCAUGAACGACUCAAUGACACCAGGGUACCCGAAGAGACCCCAUGAGGGUCAUACGGUGGAAAAUGAGAGCCACACUGCUCCAUAAAUAUUAUGAUCAGAAGUGGCAUUAAGGCAUAAUCAUAUAAAGUAUUUACCACAAAAGUAAGCCGACGAGUUGAAGCUUGGCAAUGGAUGCCACCACCAAAAAGUAGAAACGCUGAAAUUUGCAAGAGGAAAACCUUCAUGAUCAGCCACAUCUUCUUUGGAAUAAAAGCCUCUUCUCUUGUCCUAAACACAACUCCUUCAAUUUUCUUACUAUUUCUAAUAAGCACGACUUAUCUUCUCUCUGACAUGAAUAGAUGAAUUCUUAAAGGUAUUUAUAGAGGCUGGAGGUGAAAGCUGAACAGCUGGUUUCUCUCCAACUUUUGCUGUAUUUCUUUAAUAUAUAAUUCAGAAUCUAUUGAAGAUGAUUUUCCUGGGGUACAACCAUUCCUCGCCGAGUAUCAAUAUAAGAGAAGUAAUUUGAAUGUGUAUUGGUUUUGAACGUUCUUCCAGGACCGCUUCAAAGAGCAGGUUGUGUAUGAUAUGAAGACGAGUUUCUUAGAAUCUCUUGAAUUUUCUAAUUCAAAAUACAAGUUUGACUUUGAGAAUUGACCAAGAAAUUAAUCAAGCACAUUAUUUUAGAAUAAAUUUAAAAUAUAUGUAGAAUACUUUUAAAACUUUGACCUCGGAUAUAUACGGUACCUUUAUCAAGAUUAGUUGGCGCUGCUUUGAGAAGGAAUAUAGGAUUCCUUCUCAAAUCAUUCAAAUCAUUCUAAUGAACCGGAUCGAAAAUUCCUUGUCCAGUUGGAGGGUCAAUCCAGACAUUCAAAUCUUUUUUUCUUUUUCUUUUUUUCUUUUUUGAAUAUUAAAAUUAGGUAAGCAAUGAAAUCAUUCAAUAUACUCAUCUAUUGUUCAUAACAUCAGCAUCUGCCAAUUGUUUAUUGUACAUUUUCAAACAUUCAGACAUUUUCAAACAUCAAAUCUCCACUUUUUUAAAAUAAUAAUAAUAAUAAUAAAUAAUUAUAGAUUUAAAAAUAACUUUUUUCAGAACAAAUAAGAAAUAAUUCAAACUUUCUUGUUUGGUUUAUUGUACCAGAUACAAAGAAAAAUCAUUAUAUAAAUAAAUGAUGCAAAGAUGUAUAUAUUUUUAAAUUAUUUAUAAACAGAAAAAAUGAUGAAUAAAAUUUAAGACGUGAAAAUUUGAUCAAGUUAAUUUAAACUUCUUUUAUUUUUUUUCACUUUUUUUCUCCUAUUUUUUCACACCAUUUUUUUCUCACAUUUCCUUUUAAACUUUUGGAAUAAAUAUUUAUUUGUGGAGCUUUAAUAUAUAUUUUUUUCUCCAUAUUAUACAUAUUUAUGCAAUAUUUGGUUAACCUAUUUUGAAUUUCUAUUUUUACCUUAACAAGAAACAUUUCUUGAAAAUGAAGAUAAUUUUCUCCUUAUUUUCAAAUUUGUGUUUCUCCACUUUUUUUUUUUUUAAAUAAUAGUAAUAAAAAAUAAUUAUAGAUUUAAAAAUAACUUUUUUCAGAACAAAUACAAUAUAUAGCCGGCUUAUAAAAACUAUUAUCUAAAAAAAGGAAAAAACAAAAAAAGGAAAAGUAAAAUAAGAAAUAAUUCAAACUUCCGUAUUUGGUUUAUUGUACCAUAUACAAAUAGUUUUAAAUAAUAAAUUCGAAGAUCAUCCCAAACACUUUAAAGAGUUUUAGAAAUCAAUACUAAAUUCAAUCUUAAUUUAAAACUCCUAAAUAAUUAAUUGUAAAGUUGUUUUCAAAGGAAACCCUUCUUAUCUUGAUUUCCCCUCACUAAGAUACUUAAAAAGUGGAAUAAUAGAUAAGAGUGAACUUAAAACUCAAUUAAGAAAAUAGGUCAAUAAGGAAGAUCAAGUAUAGUACAAAGUUAAAUCUUAGGAGAUAUCACAUCUUUAUAAAAAAAAAAAAAAAUCAAUUAGUAGUUCAUUUAAUUCAAUAAUUAAAUUCAUUUUGUUAAAAAAAUUAUGCACUUUCAAUUUAAAGAUAGAAUUAAAUAAUAUACUUUACAUACUUAAAUUAUAUUUUAAAAAUUAUAAACAAACAUUUUACUCUGACUCAUUGAUAAUAACAUUGUGCCCAAAUAGUAGAACUUGCAUUAGAUGGCUAGUCUCACAUUGUGCCUUUUAGCAAUGGACAAAAUGAUUUAUAAUCAAUGAUAUACCAAAGGCGAAUAACACCCUUAUUAGCUAGAGUUACAUUAUCACUAUCCUCACCAAAGGUAACGCAGGUCAACAACUUCUCUCUUAAACCAAUGUAAUAAAUUAAAUGAUAAAAUUCAUUUGCAUAACAAUAAACAAAUCAUAUGAUAUUCCCAAUUUAUUUUAUAAACUAAGGAACAAAUCAUAACAUUUUUAGUAAAAUAUUAUUUGAUCCACUUUAAGGAACUUAAACAUUUUGAUAGUUUAAAAGUAGAUUUUAAAAAAUAAGAAAUUAUAAAAUGGUUUACUAUACUAUUAACCCUUACCUUGAAGAAAUCAUUCAAAAUCCUGAAAGACUUAAUCUACACCUAAUAUAAAUAUAAAUAAAAAAUAAUUAUUAAAGACUAAUUAUCUAAAUUAAUGACUUUCUAAAUUUUUGUAAAACUUAUUUUAAUUCCAAACCCUUUUCUAAAGUUCUAUUUUUUUAAUUAAAUUUUUUAUUAACCAUAUUAUUAUUAUCAUUUUCACUUCCCAUAAUUACAUUAACAGAUUUUGUUGAAUUAUUGAUGUUAAUAUUCCUUUUUUUCAUGGUAGGAAGUAGGUAAUUAUUUAUUAAUUUACUACUACUUUUACUUAUCUCCUACCCACAACCCAAAUCUUAUUAUUACUUGAUUAUUUCUUUACCACAACCACUUUCCUCAUUUCCUCAAUUCUUCUUCCUAUUAAUCUUCUGGUUAAAGAAAGAUAAAAGAAUCUAAAAAGCAAAUCACGCAUGAAGAACUUGCCUUAAAUUUCAUAAUGAAGCAAAUAAAAAAAGUUUCUUCUUUCUGACCCUUCGAACCAAACUUCUCUAUAGACCUUGCUAUUAUUUCUUUUUUUCUCUCUAUUUUAUCUUUUUAGUUUUUAAUAAUGUGGAGAAAUCAAUGGAAUUUAGGGGUAAAUUAUACUUUUGUCGCUAAAAGUAACUUUUAUCGAUGAAAUUUUAGAUGUUGUCAAUGGUGCCAAUUUUUUUUAAAAAAAUUCUAAUGAAUUUGAAAAUUUCAUCACUAAAAGACAUGAUGGGAAAAUUUUGGUGUUGUCAUUUUCUUGGCACAAACACUUUUGUGAUAGAAAAAAAUUAUUUUCUCACAAAAGUAUUUGUCACUAAUUAUAAUUUUUGGUGACUAAAAGUUACAACUUUUUAUAUAUAUUUGCUUGAAAAAUGGUUUCAUUAAGUGAUUAUAUUAUUUCUUGACAAAUUGAGUAAUUUUAUCACUAAAUAAUGUUAUUAAAUUGUGAUAUUAAUAAGUAAUAUUGAUAAAUAGCUAGAUGAUUUAUAUUGUGAAAUAACAUAUGUAUUUUUUGAGACUUAAUAUUUAUACUAUAAUAUUUUAUUUAUAUAAAUAAUAAUAAAAUAAUUAAAGAUCCAUAAAAUGAAAUACUACAAUAUAGAUUUAUUUUAAUUUAAUUUUUUUGUAAUGUAAUAAUAGUAUUGUUACGAAAUAAUAAAAAGGUAAAUUAUUUGAGCAAUUAAUUUUUAUAUUGUAAUGUGUUAUUUAUAUUUUUUUAAUAUAAAUAAUAACAAGUAAUUCAAGGCGUGUAAGAUUAUAUCCUAUAAUAUAAAUUUAUUUAAAUUUCAAUAUUAUUACAUGAUGUUACCCAUUAUAAAUAAUACUAAAUGAUUUUUAUUAUAUUAGGUAAAAGUUAUCUAUACAACUCUAAAAUAGUAUUGAAUUUAAGUUAGUUAUGGAUAAGCCAUAGUCCACUAAUUUGUUCUCAUUCAAAAUCAUACCUUGUCUACUUAAGAAGUAAACUUAUACUAACUUUUAAUUACAUAGUUUAAACUAAUAGAUUUUUUUUAAAAAUAAUUGUUCAGAAUGGAAUUUAUCAAAUAAAUUGCCUAGCAUCUAUAAAGACAUUUUAUUUUCAUAAAAUUCCAAAUAUGACUUUUGUUUAUAAAGAUAUAUAUUAUUAAUAAAUAUAUGAUUGCAAGAUAAAUAUUAUAUGAUAUAAUAUAUGACGCUAUAUGCCUGACUACUAUAUUACUAUUUACAAAAUAAAACAUGUACGUAUAAAUUUUUUUUUUUUGUAAAGUAUUCAACCAUAUCUUUAUUAAUAUUUGAUUACUUUAUUUUUUAAUGAUUUCAUUAUGAAUUUAUUAUUUUAAUUAUUAAUUACUAAUGUACUAAAAGUGAUUAGUUAUUAAGAAUAAAAAUCAUAAAUUAUACCUUAAAAUACUAACUACUAUAGCUAUUAAGUUGUAAAGGAAUUUUUAUACUUGUAUACAUUUUUUAACAAUUUUUCUUUUUUUAUAAAAAAUAUAGUUAUAAAAGUAAUUGAAAUAUAUCAUAAAUUAUUAUAUGAUUUACCUUUAUAGUGUUUGAUAUUUUUGUUUGAAAUACAAUAGAAAGAGAAAGAAAAAAGAAAAUGAUGUAGAACUCUAAUCUCAUUUUGAUCAUUAUUUUAUUGAUGUUGGUUCAAGUAUUACACUUCAACAUUAUUCCAAUGUUUUCUAUUAAUCAUACUUUUCUUUUAGCUCAAUUUCAAAAUUUUCACUUUAAUCUAGAAGUCUAGAAUUAAAUUUAUGUUAGCUAUGAAUAAACUAUAGUCCUCUAAUUUGUUAUCAUUCAACAUAAGGCUUGUUUAAGGAUGAUAAAAUUUGAUACAAUUCGUCAACAAGACUUGAAUCUAACAUGCUUUUUAUGGGUUUGAUUUGAGUAUAAUUGAGUUUGAGUCAAAUUCAUGUUGACCUAUAUAACUCAUUUAAUAACUAGGUAGUCUUUGGGUCAACAUGCAUAACAAAAUUUGACAUCAAUUAAUUCAUUUAAUACAUGUGUUGAUUAGUUUAAUUAUAACUUUAAAAUAUUUAACCCAUAUUUGACACAUUUUAAAUAAAUAGGUCAAUUGAGUCAUAAACAUAUUAGUCAUAUAAAUUAACACAAGACCUAACUCAACCUGAUUAUUUAAUGAAAAGAUCUAAUUACUAAAUGAAACAAAUCAGUUACAUGACAUGUUACUUGUUUAGUAAUUAUUUAUUAUGUUAUGUUUACAUUUUUAACCAGAUUAUUAUUCGUGUCAGGUUUGACACAACAUAAAUAUGACCCAUCAACACAAAUUGCAACCCCUAAGCUAGUUCACUCAAAAAGUAAAUUUAUAUUAAUAUUUAAUUACCUAGUUUAAGCUAGUAGGAAUAUUUUUUUAAUUAUUGCUUAGUUUUUAAAAAAUUGUUAACAUUGGAAUUUAUCAAAUAAAUAGUCUAGUUUCUCUAAAGACAUUCCAUUGAUCUAGAAUUCCAAAUAUAAUUUGUGUGUAUAAAGAUAUCAUAUAUUUUUAAUAAAUAUAUAUUGUAAGUUAAAUAUUAUAUCAUAUAAUAUAUUGUACUAUAUGCAUAACUAUAUUACUAUUUUACAAAAUAAACAAUACACUAUAUAAUAGUAAUAUAUUAUAUACAUAAAAAGUUUUUUUGUAAAGUAUCCAACCACGUCUUAAUUAAUAAUUGAUUAUUUUAUUUUUAAAUAAUCUCACUAUGUAUUUAUUAUUUUUAAUUAUUAAUUACUAAUUUUUCAAAAGUGAUUUGUUUUUAAGAAUAAAAUCAUAAAUUAUGUCAUAAAAGUAGUAAUUGUUGUAGAUACUAAUUUGUUAAGGAGUGUUUUUACUUGCAUACAUUAUUUAAUAAAAUAUUUAAUUUAUGUUUUAAAUUCCUUACUUUGAUUUUUCAAUUUUAUUUUUAGACUAAUUUUUAAUCUAUAAAUUCUAAUCUUUAAUUUUUAAAAUUUUUAAUUCCUAAACCUUAAAGGGGAAAUCAUGUAACCAUAUAUCACCCAAAAAAAAUGAGAUUUUUAGAACUUUGCUUUUACCUUUUUAAUUUUAAUCGUAAGAUGAGAAAAAAUAUUGUCUAUUCAUGCACUCCAAUAGUGCUUUCAGAUUUGUUCUAAAAUUACCCUAAAAAAUAAAAGACAAAGUACACACCACUUCAAUACCACCUAUUGACAAGUACAUAAAUUAUUUAUUUAUUUUAUUUCUCUCACAUCAACUCUCUCACACAUCUCAGUUACCACUUGCCACGUUCUCACUUUUUUCCUUUUUUCUUUUCUCUUUCCUUUUUCCCUCCUCUUUUACCACCAUAAUCCUUAGCCAUCUAUUAUAUUUUUAUUGUUAUUUUUUUCUUUGAUAUUCUUUUUUAAUAUGUUCGUAUAUUUUCUCAUAAAACUUCGUUAAUUUUAAUUUUUUUCACUCUCUAAUUUCUCCAUAUUUAUUGAUUAUAAUUAUUUUUUGGACAUAUUAAACUUAAAAUGAUAAUAUAUAAUAAAUAUUUAAUAUAACAAAUUAAAUAAAAAUAUAUAUAUAAUGGACAAAAAUGAAAAUAUUAUCCCACAAAUAAUAUACUUGAUGAUUUUAAAUAUUAAUUAUAAUAAUAUAUUUGAUAAAUUAAGGUUUAAAUUUAAAUAUUUUAUUUUAUUAUUUAGAGGUUUAUGAUAUAAGAUUUUUUUAUAUUAAUGCUAAACAAAAGAUUUAUUUAUUUUGUAAAUUCUAUCACAUGUAAAAGUAAAAAUAUCUUUAUAAUACUAUUUUAUUAUUUGUAUUAUUUUUCUUUUAAUUUUUAUUUUAAAUUUAUCACAUCAAAAUCACAAUAAGUGAUGGUGCUUUUAUAUUUUUUCUUAUGAUUUUAAUUUGAUUGUGGAUCUAACUUUUUGUUUGGCUAAAAUCUUUUAUUUUUAAUUAAAAUAAAAUAUAUUUUUCAUAAAAAAAAAAAUUGUAUUUAACCUUUCAUAUUAAUUUCCUAAAAAAUAAGUACAUCCUUAAGAAAAAUAGGUAAAUCCAUGCCUAGGGGAAUUGGGACCCCAAUCAUCCUUGUCAUGGUCUAUAUAUUACUUUGGGAUCCUUGAUAAGUGAUUAGAGGUCCUUACCUACCCAAGAACGAACUUUGGAACCUUAGGUACAUCCAUUCUUAGGGGAACCAAGACCCUUAUCUCCAUUCUCAUGGCUCAUAUAUUCAUUUAGGGACCCUCGAGAAGGAAUUAUAGGUUGUUCCCCACCCUGGAACAGACAUUGGAACCUAAGAUAUAUCCUAAAGACAAUUUGGUACAUUCGAUCCUUGGGCUACUGAGACCCUUAUAUCCUUUCCCAUAGUCUAUUUGAUACUAUGAGGACUCUUGAAAAAUGAAUGGAAGUUGUUCCUCAUCUUGAAAUGGACUUUCGAACCCUAGGUAUAUCCUUAAAAAAAAUUGGUACAUCCAAUUCUUGGGCUACAAAGACCCCUAUCUCCCUUCCCAAGGUCCAUUUAUUCAUAUAGGGAUCCUCAGGAAGUGAUUAGAGGCUAUUCUUCACCCCAAAAUGGACUUUUAAACCCUAAAUACAUCUUUAAGAAAAUUUGGUAUAUCUGAUCCUCUAGCUACUGGAACCCCUAUAUCACUCAUCAUGGUUCAUUUGAUCAUUUGGGGACCCUUUAGAAGUGAUUUCAAGUCAUUCCCAAUCUCAGAAUGGACUUUGAAACCCUAGGUACAUCCUUAAGAAAAUUUGGUACAUCUAAUCAUCAAGCUACCAGGACCCCUAUCUCCAUUUCCAUGGUCCGUUUGUUCCUUUAGGAACUCUUGGGAAGUGAUUGGAUAUCGUUCCCCAACUCAGAACAGAUAAUGGAACCCUAGGUACAUCCUUAAGAAAAUUUGAAACAUCCAAUCCUUGGGCUCAUGAGACACCUAUCUCCUUUCCCAUGGUCCAUUUAUUCUUUUAGAGACCCUCAGGAAGUGAUUGGAGGUUGUUCCUCACAUUGGAAUGAAAUUUGGCACCCUUGGUACAUCAUUUACAAAAUUUAGUACAUCCUUUACAAAAUUUGGUACAUCCUUCACAAAAUUUGGUACAUCCUUAAAAAAAUUUGGUACAUCCUUAAAAAAAUUUGGUACAUCCAAUCUUUGAGCUAUCGGGACCCCUAUCUUAUUACCUAUGGUCUAUUUACUCCUUUAGGGAUCUUUGGAAAGUGAUUAAAGGUUGAUCCCUAGCUACUUCAAAACAGACUUUGGAACCCUAGGUACAUCCUUAAGAAAAUUUGUUACAUCUAAUCCUUGAGCUAAUGGGGCACCUAUCUAUCUUCCUAUGGUCCAUUUAUUCAUUUGGACACCCUUAAAAAGUGACUGGAGGUUGUUCCUUACCUCAAAAUGGACUUUGAAACCCUUAGUACAUCCUCUAAAAAUUUUGGUACAUCAUUCACAAAAUUUGGAACAUCAUUCACAAAAUUUGGUACAUCCUUAAAAAAAUUUGGUAUAUCCAAUCCUUAAGCUACCAGGACCCCUAUCUUAUUACCCAUGGUCUGUUUAUUCCUUUAGGAAUCUUUGGGAAGUGAUUGGAGGUUGUUCUCUACUCCAAAACAAACUUUGGAACCCUAGGUAUAUCCUUAAGAAAAUUUGAUACAUCCAAUCCUUGGGCUAAUGGGACACUUAUCUCCCUUCUUAAGGUCUAUAUAUUCCUUUGGAGACUCUCGGGAAGUGAUUGAAGGUCAUUCCCACCUCGAAAUAGACUUUGGCACCAUUGGUACAUCAUUUACAAAAUUUGGUACAUCCUUCACAAAAUUUGGUACAUUCUUUAUAAAAUUUGGUACAUCCUUAAAAAAAUUCAGUACAUCUAAUUCUUGAGAAAUUGAGACCCCUAUCUUAUUAUCCAUGGUCUGUUUUUUCCUUUAAAAGUCUUUGGAAAGUGAUUGGAGGUCGUUCCCUACUCUGAAAUGAACUUUGGAACCUUAAGUACAUCCUUAAGAAAAUUUGGUACAUCUAAUCCUCAAGCUAUUGGGACACCUAUCUCCAUUCUCAUGGCCCAUUUGUUCAUUUGGGGGCACUUAGGAAGUAAUUGAAGGUUGUUCCUUACUAUGAAAUGAACUGUGGAACCUUAGGUACAUCUUUAAGAAAUUUUUGUAUUUAUAUGGUUCUGUAAUGUUUUGAUGUUGUUAAUCUAAAUAAGGUGGUUGACUCAUAAUUUAUAAUCAUCAGGAGAAAAAAUAUUAUGUUUAUUCAUGACCAGAUGAAAAUGAAUAAAAAAUGGAAUUAUUGUCACUUUUAAUGGUAUUAUAUUAUGAAUCAUUUGAAUAGUUUUCUUAAAAAAAAAUAAUUGUCAAUUUCAAAUGGAUUAUAGUUGAAUUGAAAAAUGAAGGAAUAUAGUUGUAGUAAAGAAGGGUUGAAUUUGUGUGGGCAUUAUGAAAAAAAGAGGUCAACCCUUAUAUGAAAAACAGAUUGUUAAGUAGUGGGCAUAAUAGUGGACGACCUUUUCAUGUAGGGCUAACCCUUUUUAGCUUAUGACCCUUAGUCAUAAUAUUAGUCUUUUUUGAAGUGGUCAAUAGCAAAAAUAAGGGUCGACCCUUUAGUUCAUAGGCAGUCCCAUCAUGUUUUUAAAAUUGGUUUUGUUUUAUGUGGGCGGUAGGCAAAACAAAGGUUGACCCAUUGUUUAAUAGGUAGGCCUUUGAAUAUGGACGUUACAACCUUAGAACAUGGACAGUGAGGAAAAUAGUGGUCACCCCAUGUAUUCAGAGGUGGAGCCUGAACUUAUAUUAUAUAUCAAAUAAGUACCUAACAAAUAAAUAAAUAAAAGUAAAUGCAUUGUGUGAUGUUUGGUAUAGACAAUACAUGUCAAUAUUUAACACAUUAAUGUCACACCAUAAAGUGUUAAUUAAGAGGACUUGGAUUGUUCAUAAUCUAAAUGAGGCAUUAAUAUAUGAUGGCUAUAUGUGUGAUUGUGAUAAUUGUUAUAAGUAAUUAGCUUUGACAAGGUUAUUUACAAAUAUAUAUUUAAACAAUUAAAUACCUAAUGAGGUCUAAGUGUGAGAAUAAAAUAAGUUAUGCUUAUUUUGUAAAUGUUGUAAGUAUUUUUGUGAUGAAUAUAUGUAUUAUUGGAAAUAUUUAUGAGCAUGCCUAGUUUAUUGAUAUAUAUAUAUAUGUAUGUAUGUAUGUAUGUAUGUAUGUAUGUAUGUAUGUAUGUAUGUAUGUAUGUAUGUAUUAAAAAUGUAAAAUCAAGGAUUAGAUGUACCAAAUUUCAUGAAGAAUGUUCCAAAUUUUGUGAAUGAUGUACCAAAUUUUUUCAAGGAUGUACCAAGGGUGCCAAAGUCCAUUCUGAGGUGAGGAACGACCUCCAAUAACUUCUAAAGGGUCUCCAAAGGAAUAAAUGGACCAUGGGAAGGGAGAUAGGUAUCUUGUUAGCCCAAGGAUUGGAUGUAUCAAAUUUUCUUAAGAAUGUACCUAGAAUUCCAAAGUCUAUUUUGGAGUAGGGAACGAAUUCCAAUCACUUCCCAAAAAAUUCCUAAAUGAAUAAAUCAACCAUGGGUAAUAAGAUAGAGGUCCCAAUAGCUCAAGGACUGGAUGUACCAAAUUUGUAAAGGAUGUAUCAAAUUUUGUAAAGGAUGUACCAAGGGUGACAAAAUCCAUUCCAAGGUGGGGAAUGACCUCUAAUCACUUUCGAAGGGUCUCUAAAGGAAUAAAUGGACCAUAGGAAAGGAGAUAGGUGUCCCGUUAGUUCAAGGAUUGGAUGUAACAAAUUUUCUUCAGGAUGUACCUAGGGUUCCAAAGUCCAUUUUGAAGUAAGGAACAACCUCCAAUCACUUCCCAAAGAUCCCAAAAGGAAUAAAUGAACCAUGGGUAAUAAGAUAGGGGUCUUGGUAGCUCAAGGAUUGGAUGCACCAAAUUUUUUUAAGGAUGUACCGAAUUUUGUAAAGGAUAUACCAAAUUUUGUAAAAGAUGUACCAGAUUUUGUAAAUGAUGUACCAAGGGUGCCAAAGUUCGUUCCAACGUGGGGAACUACCUCCAAUAAAUUUCCGUGGGUCUCAAAAGGAAUAAAUGAACCAUGAGAAGUGAUAUAGGUGUCCCAUUAGCUCAAAGAUUAGAUGUACCUAGAGUUAAAAAUUCCAUUUUGAAGUAGGGAUCAACCUUCAAUCACUUCCCAAAGAUUCUUAAAGGAAUAAACGAAUCAUGAGUAAUAAGAUAGGAGUCCUUGUAGCUCAAGGAUUGGAUGUACCAAAAUUUGUGAAGGAUGUACCAAAUUUUGCAAAGAAUGUAUCAAGGGUACCAAAGUUGUUUUCAAGGUCGGGAACGACCUCCAAUCACUUCCCGAGGGCCUCUAAAGGAAUAAAUGGGCCAUGAGAAGGAAGAUAGGUGUCCUAUUAGCCUAAAGAUUGGAUGUACGAAAUUUUCUUAAGGAUGUACCUAGGGUUCCAAAGUCCAUUUCAAAGUAGGGAACGACCUUCAAUCACUUCCCAAAGAUCCCUAAAGGAAAUGGGUAAUAAGAUAGGGGUCUUGGUAGAUCAAGAAUUGGAUGUAUUAAAUUUUUUUAAGGAUGUACCAAAUUUUGUAAAAGAUGUACCAAAUUUUGUAAAUGACGUACCAAGGGUGCGAAAGUCCAUUCCGAGGUUGGGAACAAUCUCCAAUCAUUUCCUAAGGGUCUCCAAAGGAAUAAAUGAACCAUGAGAAGGGAGAUAGAUGCCUUAUUAGCCUAAGGAUUGGAUGUGCCAAACUUUCUUAAGGAUGUACCUAGGGUUCCAAAGUCUGUUUUGGAGUAGGGAAUGACCUCCAAUCACUUCCCAAAGAUCCCUAAAGGAAUAACAGAGGGUAAUAAGAUAGGGGUCCCGGUAGCUUAAGGAUUGAAUGUAUCAAAUUUUUUUAAGGAUGUACCAAAUUUUGUGAAGGAUGUACCAAAUUUUGUAAAGGAUGUACUAAGGGUGCCAAAGUCCAUUCCGAGGUCGAGAAAGACCUCUAAUCACUUUCCGAGGGUCUCUAAAGCAAUAAAUAGACAAUGAGAAGGGAGAUAGGUGUCCUGUUAGCCCAAAGAUAAGAUGUAUCAAAUUUUCUUAAGGAUGUACCUAAGGUUCUAAUGUUUAUUCCAGGGUGGGGAACGACCUCCAAUCAUUUCUUAAGGGCCCCCAAAGGAACAAAUGGACCAUGGGAAAGGAGAUAUAGGUCUCGAUAACCUGAUGAUUGGAUGUACCAAAUUUUCUUAACAAUGUACCUAAGGUUCCAAUGUCCGUUCCGAGGUAGGAAACAACAUCUAAUGACUUCCUAAAGGAACAAAUGAACCAUGGGAAGGGAGAUAGGGGUCCUAGUAGCCUAAGGAUUCAAUGUACCAAACUUUAUUAAGGAUGUACCUAGGGUUCCAAAGUCUAUUUAGAGGUAGAGAAUGACCUCCAAUCACUAGGGUUCCAUUAUUAGUUCCAGAGUGGGGAAUGACAUCCAAUCACUUCUCGAGAGUUCCAAAAUGAAAAAAUGGACCAUGGGAAAUGAUAUAGGGGUCCUAGUAUCUCAAUGAUUGGAUGUACCAAUUUUUCUUAUGGAUGUAAUUAAGGUUCCAAUGUUAGUUUCAAGGUAGGGAAUGGCCUCUAAUCACUUCCCAAGGAUCGGAUAUACCAAAUUUUCUUCAAGAUGUAUCUAGGGUUUAAAAGUCCAUUUUGGGGGUAAGAAAUAACCUCCAAUUACUUCCUGAUGGUCCAUAAAGGAGCAAAUGGACCUUAGGAAUAACGAUAGGGGUCUUGGUAGCCCAAGGAUUGGAUGUACCAAAUUUUCUUAAAGAUGUACCGAAUUUAUAUGAGGAUAUAUCUAGGGUUCCAAAGUCUAUUCUGAGGUGGGAAACGACUUACAAUUACUUCCUAAGGGUCUUUAAAAGAUCAAAUGGACCAUGGGAAGGGAUAUAAGGGUCCUGGUAGCUUCAGGAUCGGAUAUACCAAAUUUUCUUAAGGUUAUACCUAGGAUUCCAAACUCCAUUCCAAGAUAGAAAACAACCUCUAAUCCUUUCCUAAAGGUCUCCAAAUGAAUAUAUAGACCAUGAAAAGGAGAUAAGGGUUUUGAUUCCCUUAGGAUUGGAUGUACCUAUUUUUGUUAAGGAUGUACUUAAGGUUUCAACGUUCGUUUUGGGAUGAGGGAGGACCUCCAAUGACUUAUCGAGGGUUCCCAAAGGAAUAUAUAGACUAUGAUAAGGAAGAUAGGGAUCCUUGUUCCCCUAGGAAUGGAUGCACCUAUUUUUUCUUACGGAUGUACCUAUUUUUUAUGAAAUUAAUAUAAAAGGUUAACUACAAUUUUUUUUAAUGAAAAAAAUUUAUUUUCUUUUAUAUUUUAUUUUAAUUUAAAAUUAAAAAUUUUAAUGAAACAAAAAAUUAGAUCCAUGAUCAAGUUAAAACCAUAAGAAAAAAAAAGCAUCAUCACUUACUAUGAUUUUGAUAUGAUAAAUUUAAAAUAAAAAUAAAAAUAAUAUAAAUAAUAAAAUAGUAUUACAAAUAUAUUUUAUUUUUACAUGUGAUAUGAUUUACAAAAUAAAUAAAUAUUUUAUUUAGCAUUAAUAUAAAAAAAUCUUAUAUCAUAAAACUAUAAAUAAUAAAAUAUAAUUUUAAAAUUUAAUCCUUGAUUUAUCAAUUGAAUUACUAUAAUUAAUAUUAAAAAUCAUCAAGUAUAUUAUUUGUGGAAUAAUAUUUUCAUUUUUGUCCAUUACAUAUAUUUAUGUUUUUAUUUAAUUUUUUAUAGUAACUAUAUAUUAUUAAUAUUAUUAUUUUAAGGUUAAUUUGUCCAAAAAAUAAUUAAAAUCAAUAAAUAUGGGGAGAUUAAAGAGUGAAAAAAAUUAAAAUUGAAGAAGUUUUAUGAGAUAAUACAUUAGCAUAUUAAAAGAAAUGUCAAAUGAGAGAUAGAAAAAUAGGAUAUGGUGAUAAGAAAGAAGAAAAAAUGAUAAAAGAAAAAAGUAAAAUGUAGAAACGUGGCAAAAGGUGAGAUGUGUGAGGGAGUUUAUGUAAGAGAAAAAAAAAAGUGAUUGGUGUACUUGACAACAACAUUUAAUGUGGUAAGUGUACUUGCCCUCAACUUUUGAGGGUAAUUUUGGAACAAAUUCAUAAGCACUAUUGGACUGCAUGAAUUGGUAAUAUUUUUUUUUCCAUUUUACAUUAAAAUUGAAAAAAUAAAAACAAAGUUCUAAAAACCAUAUUUUUUUUGUUGGUGAUGUACCAAAGCAUGAUUAUCCCAAUUUUAAAUAAUACAAAAAUCAUAAAUUUUGAAAUUUUUUUUUAAUCUAAAUUUUUUUAUUUGUAAAUUUUAAUGUUUAAUUUUUUAAUUUCUAAAUUUUAAAUAAUAUAAAACUCAUGGCAUGAUGAAGCACAUUAAAUGUGUUGCAGUAGCAUGUUGUAUUUUUGUAGCAGAGAUGACAUAGAAGGAGUUGUGUGGAAUGUUGUUUGGGAAAAAAAAGAUGAAAAAAAAUCUCAGACCCUCACCUAGUCAAGCACCAUUGCAACUUUGAAAAAAAAAAACAAAAACAAAAAAACCCAUUUUAAAAAAGGAGAAAACCACCAUCGCAAACAAUGGCUUACCACAUUUGUAUCUAAUGCCAUAUCCUCUUCAACCUUUCAUCAUCUUCACCACCAACCCAUCUACCUUCUUGAAAAUUCAUUUUCCAACUACUAGUCAUACAUACCAUUCUCCAUAACACAUAUAUAUCCGAUAAUAAUUGUGAAAAAUGGCUAAUUUGAUUAAGCAAAUCACUAAAUGGGGGUAAAGAGUGGGAGGGGAUGAAUUAGGUGUUACAUUUUUAUUUUUAUUUUUUAAAAAAUAACCAAUUAAUAACAAAAAGAAUAAGAGAUAUUAAGUAAGACAAUAAUUAAGUAAAAGAUAAAGAGAAGAUAUAUGCAAACUCUUUUAUAAUGGUUUUAAAAUCCACCUAUAUCCACUCUUUUUAACCUCCCAAGCAAGGGAGGGUUCCAUUAUCAAAGGCCUUCAACCUAUGCCUUCAAGCUUUAUAUUUGGAUUCAUGGACUCCAAUGGGCACUCACAAUCUCUUCAAGUACUUCACCUAUUUGAAGUCUCUUCACUAAAAAAUGAGUAGAUAAGGAAAGUCCUAAUGCUUUUUGUUAGGACAUUUAGUUUUAUUUAUAUGUUGGCAAUUUUGUUCCAUUUUAUGUUUGAUCAUAAAGUUCUUUUUAGAUAGUGACUUGCUCAAGUGAAAAGGACCGCUCAAGUGGUCUAAGUCUGCUCAAGCAGUAAUGAUAGUCCUAUCGAGUUUAAACACAAAUUUUGGAUGAAUUUCACUUGAACUCUAGUUUGAAAACUUAAGAUACUGAAAAUUUUUGGGCUAUAAAUACCUCCUUAAUAACCCCUUAAGGGUUAGGGAUUGAAGAUUGAAAAGAUCUUAGAGAUUAGAAACCUCUCAUUCUUAAAAAGAGGCCUUGAGAGAAAGCCUAAAUUGCUAUAUCAUUCAUGAUUUCUCAUUCAAGGAUUGAAUCUUUAAAUCGUUAGUUGAAAACCUUAAUCCCUUCGAAGUGGCAAAAGAAUCUACUAAGGAGCAAUAAGAAGUUGCUACAUCAUGAAUGUGGAUCAAGUUAUAAGUGUUGAAGAGUAAGUUUUUAGGGUAAAACAGUCAGGUAAAUCUGUGUAACUUGAUUUCGAAUAGUGGAUUUGGAUUGGUAGGUCUUAGACCUUGUGUUUUUUUUUUCUCCAUAGUUUGUGCGAGGUUUUCACGUAAAAAUCUUAUGCCUAAUUGUCUAUAUCUUUUAUAUUUGAUAUUAUGUUUGUAGGGUUUUCAUAAAAGGUUCAUAUCUAUAUAUUUUUGCUUAGAUUUAAUGUGAUUAAGUUUGAUUGAUUUGUUGGGAUUGCUUUUGAGGUUGUUAGGGUUGUUAUCUUGGUAUUUAUGGUUGUUAUCCUUAUAACAAGUUAUUAUUAUCCCUAACAUCUAUCAAGAUAUCCUUUGGAUAUUAAUAAUUUAUUUAUUUUAUCCCAAAUAAUCUUUGGAUAUCAAUUAAUCAUAAAAAUCAAGUUUUACUAUUCUAAAUUUAGGGUGAACUCAUUUUUUAAUAUCGAGGAUAAACUUGAAAAUUUCUUAGAGGUAAAAAAAAUUGAUAUAACAUAUAAAUCUUUAUUUAAAUUUUUAAAUCACCCAUUCAUCCCACCUUUGGAUGUUCGUUAUUGGACUUUCAGUUGUUAUUCAAGUGAUAUUAAAGCAAUACUCAUUUUCAAUUGGUAUCGGAGUGGAAUAAAUAACCAAUUCUUUAUCCUAUUGAUUAAAAAUCCAAUUUUUAUUGAUUGGACUGUUUAAAAAUCAAAUUUUUAUUAAUCACAUAGGAUAAAAAUCAAAAUUUUAUUGAUCCUGUAAGUCUAAUAUGGAACAAUAAAAAAGUGGUGCUCCUUUGAAUAGUUACCCUAUUUUGAUGGGAAUAAUUACUCCUAUUAGAAAGCAUGAAUGAUGUUUUUCCUCAAAAUGUAAGGUGAAAGGGUGUGAAACUCAAUUGAAUAUGGUUGGGGACCACCAUUAAUCCUUGAUACUCAAGGAAGAUUAAUAGGUGAACUUAAACCUAAAAAAAAAAUGAGACAAAUCCAAUAAUCAACGUAGUGAAGCCAAUGCUAUAUUUUUAAUGGAGUUUAUCCAGAAAGGUUUUGUAGGAUAGCAAAUUGCAGAUGUGCAAAUUAAGCAUGGGAUAUUCUUCAAGUCACUCGCGAAGGUACAUCCUCUAUAAAGAUUUAUAAAUUACAAAUGCUUGCUACAAGGUUUGAAAAUAUUAUGAUGCAUGAAAAUCAAACUUUUUCUUCUUUUUAUUCUAAAUUAAGUGAUAUUGUAAUUUCUUAGUUUAACCUUGGAGAACUUAUUCCUAAUUCUAAGGUAGUUAGGAAAAUAUUGGGAUCUCUUCCAAAGAAAUUUAGAACUAAAGUAAUUGCCAUAGAGGAGAGCAAGGGCAUUGAAUCCAUGAGAUGAACUUGUAGGCUCCAUUCAGACAUAUGAGAUGACUCUACCUAGUUCCUAAAAGCCUAAAGAGUCUACUUUUAAGGCUUUUAAUGGUGAGAAAAAAAAUUAAAAUUCCAUAUGAUAUAACAAAGGAUGAAUUGGCCCAUAUGGCCAAAAUGAUUAAAAAGGUCAUAUAAUUCAAUAAAAGGUUUUACAAGAACCAAGAAUCUAGAAAAAGAAAAAGACCUAAUGAACAAUCAUCCAAUAAGAAAAGAAAAGAUUCCUCCAAAGGUAAGAAAGUUGAAUGCUUUAACAAUGGAGGUCUAGGACAUUAUGCUUAAGAUUGUCCUAGCCCCAAAGAUGCCAAAAAGUCUAUGCAAGCAACAUGAAGCAAUACUAAUUCUGAAGAGAGUGCUUCCACAACUUCUGAAGAUGCAAGGUAUGAUCCCAAUGACUUGUUAGCUUUUAUUGCUUUUAUGGAACUUGUGCAUGAUAGUGAUGAUGAUGAGUUUACUAAUGAACAAAGGACUGAAUUCUUGAGUAAUCUUGUUGUUGAGCAUGAAAGACAAAUUAAGAGUUAUAUGAAAAAUAAUGAUAUCCUUGAUGCUCAUGAUAAAAACAAAAUUGAUGUGCUUAGUGCUGAAAAGACUAAUUUGCUUGAGAAAGUUAGGUUUCUUGAAUUUGAACAUCAUUCUCUCCUUGAGAAGAAUAAUCCUCUCACUCAAGAGAAAAAAUAACAAGCCUUUUUCAUCUGUGAAUAAAUUUUUUUUACUGCAGAACUAAAAUGUUUAAUGAAAUUCUUGAUAAAUGCAAAAUCCAUGGUGAUAAAAGAGGUUUGGGGCGCAUUAAUAAAGAUGAAACUCCCUUUGAAUUCAUUAUUUUUCCAUUGAAAAUCCCAUCUUUAAAUUCCAUUACUUAGCCACUUUCCACUUUCCACUGUAAAUAUUAUAUUAAAAAAUUUUAAAAAAAAAUUAACUUAGAAUUUCUACAUAUGGCCAUUAAAAUAUUUUAUGAAAAAUAACUUACCAAAAAAAUAUUUAUGUACAUACCAUUAAAAAUUUGAUAUUAAAAAACUUUUUUUUUAUUUAAAAAAAGUAACUUACCAAGAAUAUAUUGAAAGCACUUUAAAAAAUAACUUACUAAAAUUUUAUUUACGUACAUACCACUAAAUAUUUUAUAUUAAAAACACUUUAACAAAAAUUGACUUACCAAAAAUAAAUUAAGUGCACUAAAACAAAUAAUCUAAAUGACCUAAGCCUAAAAAGUGUCUAAGUGAAAUUUAAACCUAAAAAGUGCCUAGGUGAAUUGAGCGGAAAUGGAUUUAAGUGAAACUUAACCUAAACUCAAAGAGCAACCGAGGUCAUAAUGAGGGUCUAGACGAGCUCCUCAACAAAAGCUCCCUAAAGGUGACUUGAAAGGAGUAAAUUUUAUAAGUUUCAAUGGGCCACCAAGAAAUAACUACGAAUCAAAAGAGAAGUAUAGGAAAGCACCUAAUGCCACAUGUGCUAAGAAGACAAAAUGGAAAGUCUACAAAUAUCCUUCUCCUCAUUCUCAAAAACCAUAAAGGCAGAGUCUUUAGGCUUUUGGGAACUAGGUAGGGUGAUCUCAUAUGUUUGAAUGGAGCCUACAAGUUCAUCAACUCUCAUGGAGUUGAUGUCCUUGCUCUCCUCUAUGACAAUUACUUUAGUUCUAAAUCUCUUUGGAAGAGAUCUUAAUAUUUUCCUAACUAUCUUAGAAUCUGGAAUAGUUUCUCCAAGGUUGAAUGAAUAAUUUACAAUAUCACUUAAUUCAAAAUCAAAGAAAGAAAAAGUUUGAUUUUCAUGCAUCCGAAUAUUCUUAAACGUAGUAGCAAGCAUUUGCAAUUUAGAAAUCUUUAUAGCAAAUGUACCUUCAUGAGUAACUUGAAGUAUAUCACAUGCUUCUUUUACACGUUUUCAAUUUGCAAUCCUUCGAAACUCAUCUAGACCAAUUCCAUUAAAAAUACUAAAUAAAGCCUUAGCAUUGGCUUCACUACUUUCAUUGGCAACUUUGUCCCAUUCAUGUUUAAAUUUAAGUUCUUUUGUUGAUCUUCCUUGAGCAUCAAGGAUAAAAGGUGGUCCCCAACCAUAUUCAAUUGAAUUUCAUACCCUUUCACCUUGCAUUUUAAGGAAAAACAUGAUUCUUGCUUUCCAAUAAGAAUAAUUACUUCCAUCAAAAUAGGGUGGACUGUUCAAAGGAACACCACUUUUUGACUAUUCCAUAUCAAACUUACAAGAUCAAUCAAAUUUUGAUUUUUAUCUUAUAUGAUUAAUAAAAAUUUGAUUUUUAAACAAUUUAAACAAUAAAAAUUGAAUUUUUAAUCAAAAUGAUAAAUAAUUAGUUUUUUAUCCUUCUCUAAUACCAAUUAAAAAAUGGGUACUACUUAAAUACCACUUGAAUAAUAACUGAAAGUCCAAUAAAAAACACUUUCAACGGUAGGGAACACCCACAGGAAAAGAGGGGGGGGGGGGAGAUGAAUGGGUGAUUUAAAAUUUUAAUUAAUAUUUGUAAAUGAUAACAAACUUUUUCUUACUCCAAUGGAUAUCAGGGAUAUCCCAAAUAAUUAAAUGUAUUAUACUUAAAAUCUUUAGGUAUUCAAAAAUAAGAUUUUUAACUUUUAGGGAUACCUUGCAAUUGUUUAGGGAUAAAGAUAAUAUAAUUCUUAAUAUCCAAAUAAUAAUAUCCCGAGAAAUGUUAUGGAUAAUAAUAAUUAGAUAUAAUGAUAACAACCACAACCACUAAGAUAACCACCAUAACAACCUCAAUAGCAAUCCCAACCAAUCAAACAACCUAAUCAAGUAAUAUAUGUAUGAAUAAAUAGAUAUGUACUUCUUAGGAAAACCUUGCAAGAUAUUAGGGAUAAUCAAUUUAAUCUAUUCUAGGCAAUUCAAAUAGAAUAUUAAAUAUAAAACUAUAGACAAUGAGUUACAAAUUUUUUUACAUGGAAAACUCCCACAAACUAUGGAGAUAAAAAACCACGAGAUCUAAGACCUACCAAUCUAAAUCCACUAUUCAAAGUCAAGUUGCAUAGAUUUAACUGGACGUUUUACCCGAAAGACUUACUCUACAACACCUACAACUUGAUCCAUGUCCAUGACAUAGCAACUCCAUGUUUCUCCUUAGUAAAUCCUUCAAUCUCUCUAAAGGGAUUACAAUCUUCAACUAAUAAUUCAAAGAUUCAAAUCCUUGAAUGAGAGGAUGGGAAUGGUGUGGCAAUUAGGCUUUUUUCACAAGGAGUCCCUCUAAAGAAUAACAGGUCUCUCAACAAUCUUUUAAGAUCUUUAUGAUCUUUCUAAUAUCCGAUCUCUAACCCACAAGGGGUUAUAAGAUAGGUAUUUGUAGGCAAAAGCCAUAAGAGUUUCAGUAUCCUAAAUUUUCAAAUUAAAGUUUGAGUGAAAUUCAUUCAAAAUAUAUUUUUAAACUUGAUAGGACUGACAUGACCACUUAAGCAAACUUUGACCACUUGAGCUAGCACUUUACUUGAGCGAUCCUUAUUGCUUGUAUAGGUUGACUGAUUGAGUAGGAUUAACCACUUGAGUGACCCUUUCUUUUUGAAAAAUCAUUUUGAGUUUAAAAAUGAUACCGAAUCUUUUUAUACCUCAAAUAAGCCUUGUAUCUCAUAAGCCAAAUCUUUUUAGAUGUACCUAUGACUUCUCGGUUGGAUGAAUAGAAACCCUUGAUCUUCAAUGGAGAGAAUGUCAUUAUCUAAAAAGACUUUUAUGACCAAACAUUAAUUGGAACAAAAUUUCCAACAAAUAAACAAGACUCAAUGUCUUAACAAGUCAUUCCCAAUCUUUCAAACCCAUGACUUAUUCAUUUUUCCUUUGCUUUGAUCUAUCCAUGCUUCUUAAGUUUUAAAUAUUUCUUUAGGCAUAUUUGAUCCCUUUCUAUUCUUCGGUUAAAAUUGAUUCUAGUAAUUUCUAUUUUUUUUCCUCAUGCUCAAAAUAUUGUUAGAUAUGCAACUAAGGUCCUAGCACUUAAUUUGGGCGAGUGGAUCCCUUUAUAUAGUAUAAAUCAUAUCAUAUCCUAUUAUAGGGUUAUGCAUCUUGGUUCAUUAAAGCAUUUGGGGACUAUUCCCCUUAUACAUAGCCAUUAAAGCCUAAUUAAGAAUGCUUGACGUUUGCAUCUGGAUACCUAGUUGGGUGCAUGCAGCACUAACCAUGAGUCCAUACACUUAUCACUUGAGUAAUUCUACCCAAAAUUAGUCAUCUUAUCUAGUAUAUAUCCACUACAGCUUAGGCAAAAGAGAAACUAUAAGCAUUAUUGUUAGAAUUUACAUAUCAACCCGAUAAACCAUGAUCGUGCUUUUCAUGGCCAUAAAUCUUAAACAAUAGUAAUCGAUAAACAACUUUUCAAAAGCAUCACUUGCCUUGACCUAAGCAUUUAGGACCUAGUUCUUUUUGCUCUUUCUUACUCGACCUCUUACACCAAUGAAUCAAUACGGAAGUGGACACUUUGUCAAGGGCACAUCUCAACAAUAACAUAUAUUCCUAACAAUCUAGUGAGCAUUGCCUAACACAGGCCUGCCCAACUAAUAGUUUUUUCAUGAAGAGAGAGUUGAUCUCAACCCUUUUAGUCAACCUACCAUGGAGUAGCAACAUAAACUAUCUCUUCCCAAACACCCUAGUUCAAUUAGCUUUCAACUCUCAAGUCGUAGGUAAUCCAUGCUUGUCAACCUUCAUUCAAUUAAGAUCUAACUUAACCUUUGGAGAGGCAUAGCCAAGGUUCACUUUCAAUACUCCUUAGUGCUAGUGCUAGGUGCUAUAGGCAAAGAGGUCAAUCACCACCUCUAGGAAGAGUAUUGUUAAUUCACAUCACUCAUGGACCCUAGCUCAAGAGUUUGAGAACUAGUAAUAACUAUGAAAUAACAAUGGUCAAAGUGUAAGAGAUUUAUUUUAGGGAAACAAAAAAUUAAAUAAACAUAAUAAGCUUAGCAUGAUUAAUUAUCAAUUAAUUAUAUAUUUUUUUUAAUAAAGAAGUUCCAAGUUUGAAACCAUCGUUUAUCUAUAACCCUUUCGCCUUGACAAUAUGAAACUAUAUUACAAAUUUAAAUAAUUUUUCAAUGUUUACAUGUGAGACAUUAACAUUUGUUCAGAAAUUUAAAAAAAAAAAAAAAAAAAAGGUUAUUUGGACACAUGACUCAAAAUAACUCUCAAAUUGUAAAAAUGGCCCCUCACACUUUAAUUUUGUUGAGAAAUAACUCUUUAUGGAUACUCUUACCCUUCUUCAUUUUGUUUGUUAUAAAAAUCAUUAUCUUUUCAUAACUAUCUUAUCUUUCAAAUAACUCAUUCUUGCUUUCAUUUUAGAUUUUUAUCUAAAUUAAAUAAAUACACAAUAGUCAAGUUUGAUUUACAAAAAAUCUUAACUAGAAUUAAAUUUAUUUACAAAUAAUUUAACUACUGUCAAGUUUUCCAUUUCAUCUACAAAGAACUCGAUUAUAAUGAUAUGAACUUUGUUGUUAUUAAGUUUUAUUUUUAAAAAAAAAACUUAAUUAGAGUUAAUUUAACAUCUAUUCUACAAAAAAACCUAAUUAUAAUUAAGUUCUUAAUUAGAAUAUUCAUAUGGACAUAAACAUUAAAUGAAAGGAUUAUGUGAUCUCAUCUUCACAUUUUAGAAGUUUAAAUGAAACUACAAAAACAAUUAACAAAAAAUAGUAAAAAUUACCACUAAAGGACAACCUCAAAAAAUCCUAACAAAAAUCCCACUAGAAAAAUCCCCACCAAAAAACCUUAACCAAAAUCCUAGUGGAACAUUGAAAAAAAAAAAAACAACCAAAUCCCAACAAUACAAUUGCAAAAAAUGCUAACAAAAAAUAACUACAAAAUCCCAAUAUAUAUAUAUAUAAAACAACCAUAAAAAACACUAACCAAACACACACACACAUAUAAAGGAUAAUGAAAGAUCUUGAAGAAGACCGCAAAAAACAGGAAAAUCUCAACAAAAACUAACUCCAAAUCAAAAGAAACAAAAAACCACUACAAAAAAAAUCACAAAAAAAUCCUAACUAAAAAUAAAGAAAAUGAUGAAAGAUCUUGAAGAAGAAAAAAAGAUGAGAGAAUUGUGGUCGAUUUUUAUCAUUUCUUCGAUUUGAACUACACCCCUAAAUUCACAAGGAAAGAACUUGGAAAAUUCAUUGGAAGAGUGAGAAGGAAAUGAUUGGGGAAUGAGGAAAAAAUGUCAAUUGAGAAAAAAAAAAAAGUAAUAUUAUCUUAAAUCAAUCAUUUUUUUUAGAGAAUAAAGAAGAAAGGUCAUUCUUCUGAUUUGAGAAGCAUUUGAAAUUUUUUAGCCAAAAAUCUCUUUAAAAAAUUGUAAGUAAAGUGGUGUUUUUUUGUUUGUUUUCCUUUUUUUGUUUUUGUUUUUUUUUUUUUUCAAAAUUGUUUUUUUUUUUUGAAAAAAAAAACUUUUUAAAAUUUUUUUAACUGAAUAAAAAAAGUCAAAAUAUUUAACUUUUUUUUUUUAAUGAUAAAAGUAACAUAUUGAUUUUUCUUUAUUCCUUAAUAUUCAAUAUAAAUAAAAUAUUACAAAAACAAACAACUUAAUACUUAAUUUUAUUAAGCACUAUUUAAUUUUGAAAGGUGAAAAUAUGAAAUAUUACAAUGUCAUUAAACAAAAUAAAGUCCAUUGUUUUUUUAAAAAUCAUAUCAAUGUCAUUAAACAAAAUAAAAUCAUGGAUGUUGGACUCUACCAAAGCCCAAUUGAUUUUGCAUGAAUUAAUUCUACAAAUUCCAUGAUUUGAAAUUAUAGAAUUUAAUUCAUGCUUAUUUUAAAACAAUUUAAAAAUCAAGGAAAAAAAUUGUGAAAAAUGUUUGCCGAAGAGAAAAUGGCAAUAAAUUUUAUUGGAAAUGGGAUUUUUGAGACUUAAAAAUUCUAAGAAUGAAAAAUUGUGGAAUCAAAACAAGAUCUUUUUUAAAAUAAUUUUUUAAAGACAUGCAUGCACACGGGUUUUGAAAUUGAGCAUAGGAGGGUCGCCAUGCAACUUUGAAUCAUUCAUGUGGCCCAGGGGUGCAACUGAGACCGCACUGUGAGGUUGGUGAUUGCAGCUGUCAUCCUCUCUGAAUUUCCCCUCUUGCCGACUUGACAAUCCCUCUCAUGCAGAUGGGACAUUUUCCAACAGAGAUGUUGUCAGUCCUGAAUCAGAGGCACUGUUCCUAAUAUUUUCAUGCAUCUUAAUUAAAGGUAAACCAGGAAGGGUAGAGAUGAAGGAGCGGGUCCUGCGUGCUUGGGAAUGACAUACCAAAAGGGGCCAUGCAAACCAUGCAAGAGUGGGGUCCGAGGAGUGCCAAAGUGGGACGACAUGAUUUCAGUCAUUGUGCAGGUUUGUCUGAACUGGGAUUCUAUUCGGUGUUUCACUUCUUUCCUCCAUCCUUAAUGAUCUUCAUAACAGUUGGAAAGGAGUCAGACCAGUUUUUGUUUCCUUUUACCUCUUCUGCUGAUGGAUUUUCUAGAAUGAUCUCCAAUUUCUGUGAUUUUGGACUUCGAAAAUUACCCAUGAAAUUUCUGGGGAAAAACUGAUUGGAGAGAGAGAGUCCCUUCCUGAUAACGCAUGCUGGGCAUGAUGGUUUCCAGUCCCCAGUUGAAGGCUAUCGUCUUCAAGCCUCGAGAGAUCAUAAAAGUAAGAUUGGCGAGGGCGACUCUGAAGUUAUUUACAAGAUAAAGCCUUCAUUCCAUGUGCGCCUUAACAACAGGUAGCACCAAAGAAACCAGAGUGGACCAUUCUCAACCUCGGUCGCGUCCAUCUUGUUCAACUCUAAAGGAUCAGACGACUGUUUUGACCAAGGAUAUGGUUGUAUGUCUUCUGGUCCGCUGCCUAUUUACAUCUGGCAGCACUAAGCUAACUUCAUUGGCACCUAUGUAACUGAAAGCAUAGGUCUCUAUAGGUAAGUCUACUACUUUGCAUGUGAAUAUUUGGAAUGCUAAGACAACGGCGAACUAGAAUAAUGGAGGCAAUGAAUGAGCUAUUCCCCUAGAUGGGGGCUAUACUUUCUCCCAUAAUUGCUUCUUGCUGUUGAAUAACCAUCAAGAUACUCAUCUAAUGAGCAAUUACUUCUCAGAAUUGGCUGUCGAAGGUUUUGAAUGUACUUCCAGAUCAGAUGAAACAAAUGAGGAUCCUCUUGCCAUUGGAAGACUGCUGAAAGUGAGCCGGAGCAUGAACUUUACUAAUUAGAUUCAUCAAAUUGCGCACCUUGGCCUGCCAGUGUGGACCCGUUCUGGAGCUGCUAUGAUUAUCCUGAAGUUUAUUUCUAGUAACUGGCUAUAAGACUCUGCAAAAAUUCGGUGGUUGAUGGGAAUGCAAAGAUGGGUAUUCAACGCAUGGAGUCUCGAAUAACAUUCCUUGCUGCUCAUAACUAGUUCUGAUCCAUGUAGCAGAUUCCCCAAUUGUAUGUACGCGGACAUUUCCAUCAAACGACUAUCGAAACUGAAUUGGAGAAGGAAUUGCACCAAUUGGAUUCACUUAACCGUGCAUCUUAACCUUGGCAAAACUGGAUUUGGGAAGAAGCAUUCUACAUGGAAGAUCCAAUUGCUAGGAGAAGGGGAUAAAAAAUGUCUUCUUCCAAGGUGUUGAGUUUGGACAAGUCAUGUGGAGGUUGCAUGCACACGAGAAAUAAUGGAAAUGAACUUGUGGGAGAUGAAUAGUGGGGUUGGCAGGUUGGGUAAGUGUGAAGGAUGGGGACUGGUGGUGGAAUGAAUGGAGCUGUAGGUGGUGGAUAUGGUAUUAAUUCGGUGAAUGUGAAGAAUGGGAACUAGUGAGUAUAAAGGGUGAACAUGCAUGCAUAGUUUCUACUAGUACGAAUCUGCAAAGGAGCUACAUCAUUCUUCCAGCUCCGAAUGAGACGCGCGGCGACUUUAAACAUUGCAAAGUGGCCAUGCAAGUUGAACCCACGUGUGUGCGAACCCGGGAUGGAGUGGUUGAGUGGCAAACUAAGUGGGAAUUACAAAACUAGAACUUGUCAAGUAGUUAACAACUUAACAAAUUGUUAUUUAAGUAGUUAACAGGCUGUUUGUUGUAACUAAUUAGAUGUGUUUGUUAGUAACUGAUCUUUAGAUUCUUGUAUAUAAGAAACAGAGGACUGAUCAGUGUUGUAGAGGGAUAUAGCUCAAUUUCAGUUCCGUCUUUCUGGUUUUCUCUUAAACAGAUGCUCUACACAUCUUCUUCUUCUCUUCAUAUCUCUGAGUUCUUUCUUGGUAUCAGAGCCAUCAACUAACAUCUGUAAAUCUUUUUUUCAUGGCAUCAGAAGGAUCAACAUCUUCAAUGGAUCAUCCUAAUUCCAACUUUACUCAUCAUACAAUGCCAUCAUUGAAUCAAGCAUUCACGGUAAGAAUCAAUCAAUCAAAUUAUUUACUAGGGCGAACUCAGAUGUUGAACAUCAUCAUUGCAAAUGGCAUUGAAGAGAUGAUCCAUGGAAAAAUCCCUGCUCCUUCAUGGUUUCUUGGCGAUUCAGAGAACAUAAAUCUAGAAUACAAUAUAUGGCAACGUCAGAAUCGCUUAGUAAUGUGUUGGAUCUAUUCCCUUUUAACAGAAGGAGUGAUGACACAGAUUAUCGGACUUGAUACUACAUCAGAAAUCUGGAUUGCUCUAGAGAAAAUUUUCUUAGUAGCUUCAAAGGCUCGUACCAUGCAGCUUCGCUUCCAACUGCAAACAACAAAGAAAGGAGGAUUGAGUAUGAUGGAAUAUCUACUCAAAAUCAAGUCCAUUGUAGAUAACUUGGUUGCAAUUGGAGAAAAUAUUACGAGCAAGAUCGAAUUCUCUAUUUACUUGCAGGACUAAGAGCAGAGUACAAUUCGUUUGUCAUUUCAGUUACCUUUGGGCAUGAAUCAUUAAGCCUAGAAGAAAUUCAUAGCAUGCUCUUAACUCAUGAAAAUCGAUUGGAACAACACACAACAGAAGAAACAAAUCUUAUGCAAGUAAAUAUUGCAACAAUGAACCUUCAAGGUCACAACAGAAAAAAUCAAAAGUUUGGUCAAUUCAAGACUCAAGGUAGAGGUAGUCAGAAUCCACAACAAUUUAAUCAUCAGAAUUUUGGUAGAAGCCGUGGGAGAGGUCACUAUAACAACAAUGGUGGAAAUUUUGGGCAUGGUCUAGGAAAAGGUAGCUUUAAUAACCAUUUUUACUCAUCUGGAAACUUCAAUAAUGUUUCUGGUGGCAGCAAUGGAAAACCACAGUGCCAAGUAUGUGGUAAAUAUGGUCACAUUGCGAUUAAUUGCUAUAAUAGAUUUUAUCAAAACUUAUCAAUCAACAAUGAACAAUCAGCUUGCUGUAAUGGUUUGCAACUCCGUCCAAUGUUGGAGAUGGAAGUUGGUACAUGGAUACCGGAGCUAUGCAUCACCUAACUCCAAAUCUCAACAAUUUGAAUUCACAUACUCCAUUUGCUGGUUCAGACAAAGUCGUCGUUGGAAAUGGUAUUUGUUUAAAUAUCUCAAAUAUUGGACACUCCAUUAUUUCUUCAGCUUCUCGGUCAUUAAAUCUAAGAAUAUUUUACAUGUUCCACAACUUACAACCAAUCUGAUAAGUGUGAAUAGGUUGUAUACUAACAAUAAUGUUACUGUGGAAUUCUUUACUAAUGGAUUUGUGGUGAAGGAUCAAACUUUGAAGAAGGCUCUUCUCCAAGGCAACCUUAACUAUGGCUUAUACAAUCUGUCUUCAACACCUAGUAGAAGAUAUCAAGAUCCUGAUGAUAAUAAACUUGCUGGAAGAACAAGCUUGACAACUGAGGUCCCAUGUAUGUCAUCUACAUUACAACUUCCCAAUAAGGCAGUUCUAUGGCAUUUCAGGUUAGGCCUCCUGCACAUAAAAUAGUCAAUAAAGUUUUGAGUGCUUGUAGCUUGCCCCUAGAACAUUGGACAGGUGUUUGUGAACCUUGUCAAAUGGCAAAGAGCCAUCGCUUACCUUUUACUUUGUCUGAAUCCAGAGCCUCUCAGCCUUUUGCUCUUGCACAUUCUAAUCUAUGGGGUCCUACCCCUGUUGUUGGUGCUAAUGGUGCAAGAUACUUUGUGCUCUUUGUGGAUGACCAUACAAGAUUUUCUUGGUUGUAUCUACUAGCUUCUAAAGAUCAACUAUCUCUGCCUUUUUGCAAUUUAAAGUGAUGAUUGAGACUCAAUUUGAUACUAAAGUUAGAAUGCUUCAAACUGAUUGGGGAGGAGAGUUUCAAGCCUUUACUAAUACCUUAUGUAAGUUUGGGAUUCUGCAUAGAGUAUCUUGUCCAUCCACUUCUCAACAAAAUGGUCGUGUGGAGAGAAAACAUAGGCAUGUGGUUGAAGUAGGUCUUUCCUUGCUUGCUCAUGCUUCUAUUCCACUUAAAUAUUGGCCUUUUGCCUUCCAAUCUGCUUUAUAUUUGAUUAAUAGGCUUCCUUCCUCUGUGCUGAACUUUUCUCUCCAUAUAAGACUCUUUACCAUUGUCUACCAAAUUAUUCUUUUCUUCGCGUCUAUGGUUGCACUUGUUAUCCUUUUCUCCAUCCUUUUAAUCGCCAUAAAUUUGCAUACCGAUCAGUUAAAUGCACCUUUAUUGGCUAUAGUUCUAAGCAUAAAGGAUAUCUAUGUUUGAACUUGUCCACUGGAAAAAUACAUAUAUCACGACAUGUUAUUUUUUAUGAACUAGAUUUCCCGUUUGCUAAGCCUUCUACAGUUCAACCUCCUUGUCAUGUUUCCCCCUCUCAUUGUGCCAUUCCUUUAGUAAUACCAACCACUCCAAUAUCUUCCCUCUUGCUUUCCUCAUCCAGUCCAUCUUCAGAGCUGGUUCCAAUCUCUUAUGAUAGUAUGUCAAUUUCCUCUUCAAAAGUUGCACCUAUUCCAAUAGCUCAACCGUCUUUCUCUCAUGUUCCUCCUUCUUGUCAUCCCAUGACAACGCAUGCCAAAAAUGGCAUUUUCAAACCCAAGAUAUUUCCAUCCCCUAUUAAGACUAUUUUUCAUUCACCUUGUGAACCGAAUUCCUUCAAGGAAGCUGCUAAAGUUCCUGAAUGGCAGCAAGCUAUGCACCUUGAAUUUGAAGCUCUUAUGAACAAUAAAACAUGGGUCCUAGUUCCUCCUCCGUCUAAUCAGAAUAUCAUUGGAUGUCGCUGGGUUUAUAAAUUGAAGUACAAACCUGAUGGAACUGUUGAACGCAAUAAAGCACGUUUGGUGGCUAAAGGAUUUCAUCAAACUCCUGGUUUUGAUUACUUUGAAACCUUCAGUCCCAUGGUUAAACCUACUACUAUUCGUGUGGUUCUCUCUUUGGCAUUAAGUAAAAAUUGGUCCAUCAGACAACUUGAUGUUCAUAAUGCCUUUCUUAAUGAUGAUUUAUUUGAGCAAGUUUUUAUGACACAACCCCCAGGCUUUGUGGAUCCCUCUAAGCCCAACUUUGUUUGUAAACUUACCAAGGCAUUGUAUGGUCUAAAGCAAGCUCCAUGGGCUUGGUUCACCAAACUCAGCUCCGCCUUAGUUAAAUGGGGUUUUUCCAUGUCUCAAGCAGAUACAUCAAUGUUUGUUUACUAUAACAAUUCUGCCAUGCUUGUUGUCUUGGUUUAUGUUGAUGAUAUUACUGUCACUGGCUCAAGUUCCUUGCUCAUUGAACAACUUAUGUCCUCCUUAAACUCUUGCUUUGCUUUCAAGGAUCUUGGUCCUCUUAACUUCUUUCUUGGAAUAAAGGUGUUGAAUUUUGGAUCUUCUUUGCAUUUAAGUCAAGCUAGAUAUAUCUGUCAUCUUCUUCAACGUGCUGGUUUGUCUGAAUCAAAGUCCAUGACUUCCCCAAUGGCUGCUGGCCCUGUUCUUUCCAUAGAUGAUGGUACCAGAUUAGAAGAUCCCACCUUGUACCGGAGUCUUGUGGGUGCCCUACAGUAUUGCACAAUCACUAGACCAUAUAUUGCUUAUACCGUUAAUAAGCUUUGCCAAUUUAUGCAUGCUCCAACCUCUACUCAUCUUCAAGCCGUGAAGCAUGUCCUUCGUUAUCUCAAAGGUUCAUUGUUUUAUGGGCUUUCUUUCCAACCAUCUUCUUCCCUUGAUCUUAUUGCCUAUACAGAUGCGGAUUGGGCAUCUUGCCCUAAUGAUAGAUGUAGCACCAAUGGCUACUGCAUAUUUUUUAAAGGCAAUCUGGUCUCUUGGUCAGCUUCUAAACAAAAGGUGGUUUCACGCUCUAGUACUAAAUCCGAAUAUAGGGGCUUGGAUAAGGCAACAGUUGAACUCACUUGGAUCCAGUACCUGCUUAAAGAAAUUUUUGUUCCCCUGUUUCAGUCUCCUGUUCUUUAUUGUGAAAAUCUCAGCACUACUUAUUUAGUUGCAAAUCUUGUCCUUCAUUCUCGGGCUAAACAUGUGGAAAUUGAUUAUCAUUUUGUUCGUGAGCAAGUCUUGCAAAAAAUUCUUGAUGUUCGAUUUCUCCCAUUUGAAGAUCAAGUUGCUGAUAUCUUGACCAAAGCUCUUUCAACUCAAUGUUUCCUCCAUCUCCAAAGCAAGCUCACAGUUCUUUCUCAUCCUGUGUGCUCGAGGAGGGAUGCCAAGUAGUUAACAACUUAACAAACUGUUAUUUAAGUAGUUAACAGGCUGUUUGUUGUAACUAAUUAGAUGUGUUUGUUAGUAACUGAUCUUUAGAUUCUUGUAUAUAAGAAACAGAGGACUGAUCAGUGUUGUAGUGGGAUAUAGCUCAAUUUCAGUUUCCGCCUUUCUGGUUUUCUCUCAAACAGAUGCUCUGCACAUCUUCUUCUUCUCUUCGUAUCUCUGAGUUCUUUUUGAACUCUCAUCAUAAUGUGCACCGAAGGGGCCAUACAUGUGGGCUGCAUACCCAUGGGAAAAAUUGGGAAGGUGUGCAUGGGGAGUGAAUGGUGGAAUGAGUGAUGGACAUGUUGGAUAGGUAUGAGAUUUAGGUUGCGUAGGUAUGAACGAUGAGAGAUGGGUAUGGUGACAGUGGGGUAAUCCAGUGGGUAUGAAGGUUGGAGAAAUGGUGGGUUUGCACAUAAGAAUUCUUGCAUGUUGAGGAUGAAUGAGAUGCAAUUUGCUGGAGAAAACAUCGAUUUCCAGCACACCAGAUCACCAAAAAUUACUAUCAUUCUUUUCACCAUUGAUCGCGUUUUCACCAUUGAUUAUUGCAUUUGGGUUCUCUUUACCAUCACUGAUGUCUAAAAGCUUCACAUGAUACAAGGCCCAACUCAAAAUUGCUCUCUCUCUUCGUUUUGACCAUCCAAACCUGUUUGUAGAUGAGCCAUGCCCUGUCUCUUGCAGCAGCUUUUUCUGAGCGUGGACUGCCACCACUAGAGCUGAGGUAUUCCAUUGACAACCGGAGCUACACCGCUACAUGAAUAGGAGUCAAAUGUUGCUCAUACCCUGCAUCUCGUCCCAUAUCUGACUUUCUGCAAUUCCUCUAGUCUGUCCUUGAAUAACCCACAGCUAGCAAAAUCUCCCACAAACUGUAUUAAAAGAGAGUAGACAAAUUCAUGCCACGAGCACAUAUCUAAUAUCUCGAUGCAUUCUUUAAGUAGAGGAUUCCAAGAACGAUGGGAAACAUCUUUUCCAGAAUAAUGAGAACCUGGCCAAGAAGAGUAUCGACUCUGUCAUUGGCUCGGGCCCAUGAAGAAGCUAUGAUUAGCCAACAAGACCAAGAGCAACUAAGGAAGUCAAAGGUAAAAGAAGUGUAGCUGGAAUCUGGGUGCCACCAUUCAAACUGUUGAGUAGCCAAGUGCUCUGUAACAAUGUCAUCUAAUAAGAGGACUCAUUGGACAUCUCUUCUAUGGACAAGUGGGGCAUCAACAAAUUCUGAAAGGUGUCAUUGAGUCAACUGAAACUCUCUUGAACCUCAUAAUAGAAACCUACUCAUCAAAUCAUAGUCCAUUCCCACCAUAUUGGCCGCCUUCAAAAAUAACACUGAUGAGGCCCGAAGUUGUUGAAACAUCUGAAGGCUCUUCUGACAAUUUUUUGCACAGCUUCACGAGAAAUCUUCUCAAACCAUUUCUCAAGGAUGUCUAUACAAUGAAAGGUGCUAAUUACUUGGUCAAUGUUUUAUAUUAACACACUAUUAAUCAUGACUUACAAUUUUUUCUUCGAAUUAUUGAAUUGGAGAUGAGUCAAAUGCAACUGCUUAGAUGUUAACUAUCUUUCCUCUGUCAUAAAUAAACAAAUGGUUAAUUAAGUCUUAUUCUAUUGUUAUUAAAAAAAAAAUAGAACAACAUAUGAAAAUAAAAAAGGAUUUACAUAUUAAAAGAAAUGUGCAUUCCUAUGAUUUAUAGGGAUAUUAGUGCUCAUAAUGAGGAGGCAAAGUCAACUCUCCAACAAUGAUCUCACACAUAGAUAACUCCUAGAAUUGUAAUGUUUAUGUUUAUUUUUACGGUGUAAUUAGAAGAUUAUUUAUAUAAAAGUUCUCAAUAAUAUUUCUAGCUUCAAUUGCCACAUACACCAAGUUUUACAUGGCAUCAAAGUAUGAACUAACAAGCCAAAAUAUGUUUUCUUCUUUAUUCUUUUUUUCUAUUAAAAAAUUGAACUUGAAUUCAAUAUUUAGUAAUUUCACAAGUGUUCUAAUUUCAUCUUAAUCAAACUAAAAUAUUACAAAGUUUUCUAUUUGGAAAAAUCAAGUUCUCCCUUAGUUUUAUUUGUGGCCUCAGUAUUCACCAUUAUUUUUUAAAUAAAACGAGGAAAACAAAAGUAUCCUAACCUACAAUACUAGAUAUGGGUCAAUAAUAAUGGGCUUCUCACUUUAUGGCUUCUUCAAACCAUGAAAGGAGGCAUUUUAAAGAUGAUAUUUCAUGUUGAAAUGAUAGAUGAUCGAGGUAUGAACUGCUCUUGAAGAGUAUUUGCCCCUUACCAUAGUGGAGAAUGAAAGAAACCUAGAAAAUAUAUUCAUGACCCUCAAAAAGAGGUCAUUGUCUCUUAAAGAGUAUUUAGGGGACUUCAAAACUAUAUGUGACAAUCUUGCAACAAUCAAAAAUCUUGUUUCAAAUCAAGACAAAGUUUUUCAAUUUGCUCAUGGCUUAGGACAUGACAAAGAUAUGAAAAGUUUUUAAAUUUUCAUUUAGUCUAAAAUCAAUUUGCCAUUACAACACAAUUUUAUUUACUCUGACUAUGAUGAUUUUGCUUCUUUAUUUUAAAAUAUUUACUUCAUUGUGGAGGUAUUUUCCCAAAAAAAAAAAGGUUUUCCCAUUGUUACAAGUGAUGACUUUCACACUUGCUUUAAAGAUAUAAGAUUUAGAUUUAACCAAUGUAACCUAUUUCACUUUGAGAAGCAUUUUUUAAAGAACUAUUUCAUUCAUUAUAUGAAAAAUUAUCAAAUUUGACAUAAUUUUCAUGAAUUUCAUAAAUCUAAAAUCUCAUUUAGAAAUCAAACUUAGAAGAUUCCCUAUUAAUCAAGAAAAAUAGAAAAUCUUACAUUACCUAUACAUCAAAUUCUAUAUUUACUCCAAUCUUAGAGUCUAGAGUGUCAUUAAAAUAUCUCUAGGGAUAAUAGAGAGAAGCCUCACUUUUAAAAGAACUUCAUAAAUGAAAGAUCACUCAAAAUAAAUAAAAUAGUGAAUGUAUUUUCAAUAUUUAAUCAUUGUAUAUAUAAAAGAGUUAAAAUAAAUAAAAUAAAUUUAAAGUAUAAUAUAAAAAUAAUUUAUUAUUUAAUUUUUUUUGUCUUACUCUUUUUUCUUUCCAUUUUAUUAUUUUCAGAUAUUUUAAUAAAGAAAAAAAAUGUUAAGGGUCUUUUUCAUAUUUAAUCUCAUCAUAAAAAAUAUAAAAGAAAAUUAAAUAUAUAGUUAAAAAUUUUAUAUUUUAAAUAAUUUAAUCUUUACAUAUGAGAAUAAGUGAAAUCGGUUUUAAACCAAAAAUUUAAAUUUCUUUAAUCUUUGCAUAUGAGAAAUAAGUGAAAUCGAUUUUAAGCAGUAUAUAAAAAUAAUUUAUUAACUUUAAAUUAAUUUUUUAACUUUUUAAUUUAUGUUUCCUUCUUAUUUUCUUUUUAUUUAUUUAUUUUUUAAGUUGUGUUUGGUUUUCAGAAAUUAUUAAGGAAAAAAGAAAAUAAUAAGGAAAAUGAUUUUCUUGUUUGAUUACAAUAUAGAAUAUAGCAAUAAAAAUGAAAUAUAAUUAAAAUUAAUAAAAACUUAUACAUUCUCUAAUCUAUGUAUUAAAGAAAUAAAAUAAAUAAAAUAAGUUUGGAGUAACAUAUAAAAAUAAUUUAUUGAUUUUAAAUUUAUUUUUUAUUUUCCUUUGUGUUUUUUUCUUUCUUUCUAUUUUCUUCCCCUUUCAUUUUCCCUCAAAUGUUUUUGAGCCAAACAUAGCUUUUGAGUUUUAGUAACCAAACAUAAGCAUGAUGUUAGAACUUCGAGGAAACAUGAAUACAAUUUAUAGUUAUAAUGAUACAUGUGAUCUCUCUUUCAUGAUCAAUCCAAGAAGAACUUGGAGUCCCCAUCACCUAAACCCUUAUCAACUGCUAUUUUACAUAUGAACUACUAUUUUACAUGAUCAAUCCUAAUAGUCUCAUACACUUCUUUGUUAGACUUCAGCCAGCCACAAGUAUUGGUUGAAGGAAAUAAGACAACAUUCAACAAACAAGAAUUGAUUUCUUAAUUCAUGAUACAAUGAAAGGUGCUAAUUACUUGGUCAAUGUUUUAUAUUAACACACUACUAAUCAUGACUUGGCUAAUAAAAUAGCCUUACAAUAACUAAUUGAUAAGAAAAACAGCCCACGUUUUACACUAACAAAUAACGUGGUAAAGAGUAGAGAAUAAGUCAAAGCUGGAAACUACCCUGCUUAUAAAACUACCCUGCUUAAUAGGAAUUAUUAAAAAAAAAAAAAAAAACUAAACAAUCAGAAAACUUAAAUCUUGACAAGGACAUAGUUCUGAUCAAUUAUGAGAAGAUGAAAACUUGUUGCGAAGACAGAUUCUGAUUUUGCAAGCUUGGGUAGACCAGAUGUAACCUAAUUCACUUUGAGAAGCAUUUUUUAUAGAACUAUUUCAUACAUGAAAUGAAAAAUGAUCAAAUUUGACAUAAUUUUCAUGAAUUUCAUAAAUCUAAAAUCUCAUUUAGAAAUCAAACUUAGAAGAUUCCCUAUUAAUUAAGAAAAAUAGAAAAAUCUUACAUUACCUAUACAUCAAAUUCUAUAUUUACUCCAAUCUUAGAGUCUAGAGAGUCAUUAAAAUAUCUCUAGGGAUAAUAGAGAGAAGCCUCACAUUUAAAAGAACUUCAUAAAUGAAAGAUCACUCAAAAUAUUUAGGAAAACAAUAUCAUAUCAAUUAAUCAAACUAUCAAACUAUCAAACCACAGGUAUGUUAACUAAUAAGUAAGGACAUAGUUCUGAUCAAUUAUGAGAAGAUGAAAACUUGUUGCGAAGACAGAUUCUGAUUUUGCAAGCUUGGGUAGACCAGACACAGCAUUACUGGUACAUGCUGAUGAACUAGCUGCUGAAGAUUCCCAACUCGAAAACUAUUGAUCUGUCUUGAAACCAGCCUAGGAGUGAGACACCAAGGCUAAUCUACUGGAAUGAAGCAUUGCAAUACCUUGGGCUGCCAUGGAAAUGCAAUGAAAGUUGGCUUUCUUGACAAGCUUGAUCUUGGGAUGCCAAUCAUUGCAUUACUAAGUGAUGCUUAUGGGGCCACAUCCCCGUUAUGCUUGUUGGAGACUUUAACAGCAUGCCACCAAGUACACCGUAUCAGUUUCUGGCCUCAUCUAAAAUGGAACAUCAGUCACAACAUAGAGCCUACAGAUACCAGCAGAAUGAAGAUGCAUCCAGAACAAGGCCAUUCAUGCAUACAUGGAGCAAUGAAGAAUUAAGGCCCGCCACUGGCAGCGAUGGAGUUAUCUCAUAUGGUCCUUGUCAAACUCCUAUUCUUGGCUUCUGUGUACAGCACCACUGGAAGUUUUCCCACUCCAAUAUCAGAAAGUUGAAAUAUUCUCAAGAAAUGACCUGACCUCCAGGUUGACCUUGGCUGUUGAUACUGCUUCCAUUGGACCUCUUCCUCUCUUGGGUUCAUUCAUCACUCAGAUGGGUACAAAUGACUACAGUUCAAUUCCUUAACAACUCAAAGAUCACAAAUGCGAGGGAUCAUAUGGAACUAGAUGGCCUAUAGAAAAAAGAUGGUGAAAGAGCAGAGAAGGUGGACUCAUUAACAGCUGAAGUCAAAAGGCUAAAGGAUCUUUUGUUAUUUCCACAUUAAAAUUAAGUGGGUGGCCCACUAACCUAGUAUUUAGCCAAUUAAAAGAAUACCCAAUAUCUUUAAACUGUUAUAAAGAUAUUUACCCUUGAUGGAGUGGGUAAAUUAUAAUAAUUUUAAUAUUAUUAUUUGGAAUAAAAACAGUUAUUCGAAUAACACGUUUAGAACGAUUUUUGAACGUGUAUUCUUGGCCCUCUUCUCCUAUCAAUAAGAUAUAUAUAUAGAAACCCCUUCAUGUGCGGUGAGUACUCUCUUCCAUCAAUUACAGAAAACAAUUCUGUGUAUUAAGGUUUGAUAAGGAGAAGAAGAGAUAAAGGAUUUAAGAUCUAUAAACUGAAGGGAAAUCUCUCAUGGCUGCUUGUUCUUCAAACGGUAUGUAAUCUAUUUUUAAUUAAUGUUUUUAUUAUUUUAUUAUUAGAGAUGAGUUUGAAUUCAAUGAUCUGGAAUAUCGUGUGUUAAUUUCCGUAUUAAAUAUCAACAAUUGGUAUCAGAGCAAGGUUGAAUUUAAAUAUUCAGAAUCACUGUUUUAUAAAGAUUAAAUUUUGAGAUUUAUCUUCGAUUAAUUCGUCUCACUAAAAUGAAUAAAAAAAAAAUUAAUUAAACAAAAUAAAGACCAGCCUCAACGCGUAGAAGGAAGAUUUUUAUUUUUCCUUGCAACGCUAACUGGAUCAAUGCCGAUGAGGGGCGCUGGUUUGGCGGACUGGUUUGGCGUCAGUCCGGUGGCCGUUUUCUGACGCCAUUGCCGGUGCCAUCGCGCCGUUUUCAGGCGCCAAUCCAGGCGCCAUUGUCGGAGCACCAUCUCGCCGUUUGCGCGCUGGUUGCAGGCGCCAUUGUUGGCGCCAGUCCAGGCGGCAUUACUGGCCCCAUUGAAGGCACCAUCUCGCUGUUUGCGCAUUGGUUGCAAGCGCCAUUGCUGGCGCCAUUGAAGGCGCCGUUUUUAGGCGCUAUCUUCUGGUUGCAAGUGUCGUUUCCUCGCCGUUUCAGGCGCGCUUCAAACACCAGACUAGAAGCUUCAAUAAAGGAGAAAUACAGAAUCACAACACUGGUUAGCCGAUUGUCAUCAUCACUUAUUUGAAUAUGAAACUGAAAUCCUCUUUUAAGAUGUCCAUGCAGCUUGUGCUAUUUGAACAACAAUUUCAUGAAACAAAAAAAAAAACUAUUCAAGUCAUAGCUUUAGCUUUAGGUUGAAAUUCAAAAAAAUAAAAGGUGCAUAAGACUUUAGUUUGAUAUACAAUGUAAAUUGAUUAUUGAAUCAGAUGAUUAUUAAAGAUACUAUUUCCUUGAUUUUUUAUUAUUUGAUUUGAACCUUUGUGAAAUUAUUAUUGUAUCUGAUGAAUGCAGAUUUCUUUGAUUUUAUUAUGAUUGAUUAUUGAAUUAGAUGAUUAUUAAAGAUACUAUUUCCUUGAUUUUUUAACUCAAAUAAAAGAAUUAAUUUCAUCUUGUGAAAUUUUAUCCAAAUGACAAUUUAUAAAUGUAAGGUUAACUAAUUUAGAUAGUUGCCAAAGUAACCUAAAUUAGUGAGCCUUGUAUUUAUUGAAUUGCAUAAAAGAAUAAAGGGAGACUUGUAAAAUUCUUAAUAAUUCUCUUUAUAAUUAGGAGAAUGAGACUAACCCAAAGGAGAGUCAAUUUCUACUAAUUAUUAAUUAAUGUUUUUAUUUUGUGUUGCUUAGAAAGGUAAAAUGGAUACCCAAAGGUAACAUAUAAAUGACACAAAAUAGUAAAGUGUUUUAAGCUCCCUCCAAGUGAACACUGGAUAUGUUAAAAUUUACCCAAAGGAGAAUUUUAAUGAUAUCAAUAGUUCAUUGCUAUUUAUUUUAUACUUGAGGCUUUAUUGUCAGCAUUGUUCUAUUUUGUACAGUUCCCACUUCAUUACACUCUCUUGCAUCUGGAAUGACUGUUUUUGAUGGGUCGAACUUUUCUGAAUGGUAUGAAAGGGUUCAAUUCUCACUGGGCGUAUUGGAUCUUGACCUGGCUUUAAUAACUAAUAAACCUCUUGAAGCUAUGGAUGACAGUACUCCGGAGCAAGUGGAACAAUCAAAAGCUUGGGCAAGAUCCAACAAACUCAGUCUGAUGUUUAUGAGAAUGACUAUUGCCAAUAAUAUCAAGACCUCUCUCCCUCAAACCGAGUUUACCUCGGAAUUUCUGAAAUCUGUUGAGGAGCGCUUCAAACGCGCUGAUAAGUCUCUUGUAGGCACAUUGAUGGCUGAAUUGACCACCAUGAAAUAUGAUGGUCAGAAAGGUAUUCAGCAACAUAUUUUAAACAUGACUGAAAAGGCUACAAAGCUUAAGGCACUAGGCAUGGGUAUGGAUGAGUCCUUCUUGGUACAGUUUGUCCUUAACUCACUUCCAUCAUAGUUUGCUACAUUCAAAAUCGACUAUAAUACUAACAGUGAUCAGUGGAACUUGAAUGAUCUCACCAGUAAAUGUAUAUAAGAGGAAGUGAGAUUAAGACAAGAAGGACAUAAUCUUGCUCUUGCUGUAACUCAUGGAGUCAUGAAGAAGAAAGGAAAAUUCAAAAAAGGAAAGAACUUUCCACCUAAGAAAAGCGGACCUGGGGAAGGUAGCCAGAGUCAUGAUGGAAAAUUCACGGUAAGUUGCUACUUUUAUGGCAAGAAAGGGCUUGUGAAGAAGGACUGUAACAAGAGCAAGGCUUGGUUCGAAAAGAGAGGUAUAAAUCUUUCUUUUGUAUGUUAUGAAUCCAAUCUUGCUGAAGUUCCUUCAAAUACUUGGUGGAUUGAUUCUGGAGCCACAACUCAUGUGACUAAUUUAAUGCAGGGAUUCCUUACAACCAGGAAACCAAAGGAAAGUGAAAAGUUCCUCUAUAUGGGAAACCGUCUCAAGGUUGAAGUGGUAGUUGUUGGUACCUAUCGCUUACUAUUAGAGACGGGUCAUUGGAUGGAUCUUUUAAACACUUUUUAUGUACCUUCUAUCUCUAGGAAUUUAGUUUCCUUAUCCAAAUUAGAUGCUACUGGAUAUUCUGUUUUAUGUUCUGGACAAUUAAGUUUGAUGUUAAAUUCUGUUACAGUUGGUUCUGGUAUUUUAUGUGAUGGUUUAUAUAAAAUUUCCUUGAAUCAUGAAUUUGCACAAGCUUUGAUAACCCUACAUUCAAAUUUUGGUUCAAAACGUGGCUUAAUUAAUGAAAAUUCUUCAAUCUUAUGGCACAGAAGACUAGGGCACAUCUCUAGGGAAAGAAUUGAGAGAUUAGUGAAGGAAGGAAUUUUACAAAAUCUUGACUUCACUGAUUUUCAUGUAUGCAUGGAUUGCAUAAAGGGAAAGCAAACUAAACAUACAAAGAAAGGUGCCACAAGAAGUAAUGCGCUCCUUGAGAUAAUUCAUACAGAUAUUUGUGGACCAUUCUCUGUUCCAUGUUUUACAGGAGAGAAAUAUUUUAUCACCUUUAUAGAUGAUCUAUCUCGUUAUGGUUAUGUUUAUCUAAUGCAUGAAAAGUCUCAGGCCAUUGACAUCUUCGAGAUGUUCAUAACAGAGGUCGAGAGACAAUUAGAUAAAAAGAUUAAAAUUGUGAGAUCAGAUCGAGGCGGUGAAUAUUAUGGCAGAUAUGAUGAAUCACGACAAAAUCCUGGUCCUUUUGCCAAAUUCCUUGAAAAGUGUGGCAUUCGUGCUCAGUACACAAUGCCUGGUAUGCCACAAUAGAAUGGUGUUGCUGAAUGGCGUAAUCGCACAUUAAUGGAAAUGGUUAGGAGUAUGAUGAGUUACUCUUCUGUACCUAUUUCAUUGUGGGGUGAAGCCUUAAAAACCACAAUAUAUAUCUUGAACAGAGUUCCUAGUAAGGCAGUUCCAAAAACACCUUUCGAGUUAUGGACUGGUAGGAAACCUAGCUUGAGACAUAUACAUAUAUGGGGUUGUCCAGCGGAGGCAAGAAUCUAUAACCCACAUGAGAAAAAGCUUGAUUCAAGAACGAUAUCUGGAUAUUUCAUUGGCUAUCUGGAUAAAUCGAAAGGGUACAGAUUUUAUUGUCCUAACCACAGUGUGAGAAUAGUUGAAACCGGUAAUGCCAGAUUCUUAGAGAAUGGCGAAAUCAGUGUGAGUAAUGAACCAAGAAAGGUAGAUAUUGAGGAGAUAAGAGUGGAUAUCCCACCACCUUUUUUACCUCAAGAAAUUAUUGUCCCUCAACCUGUUCAACAAGUUGAGGAAAAUGAGCAACAUAAUAGAGAUGGUUCAUUACCACCAGAAAAUAUUGCCAUUGAAAAUGUUGUAGAGCCACCACAACCGACACCUUUGAGGAGAUCUCAAAGAGAAAGGAGACAUGCCAUUACAGAUGAUUAUGUGGUGUAUCUACAGGAAUCUGAUUUUGAUAUUGGGAUAAGGAAGGAUCCGGUUUCAUUUUCACAAGCCAUGGAAAGUGAUGAUUCUAGUAAAUGGAUGGAAGCUAUGAAUGAAGAGUUGAAAUCUAUGGCCCAUAAUGGUGUCUGGGAUCUCAUCGAAUUGCCUAAUAGUUGUAAACCCGUCGGCUGUAAAUGAGUCUUUAAGACAAAGCACGACGCUAAAGGCAAUAUCGAACGAUUUAAGGCCAGACUUGUGGCCAAAGGUCUCACUCAAAAGGAAGGUAUCAAUUACAAAGAUACCUUCUCUCCAGUUUCCAAGAAAGAUUCGCUAAGAAUCAUCAUGGCACUUGUAGCUCAUUUUGAUUUAGAGUUACAUCAAAUGGAUGUGAAAACUGCAUUCUUAAAUGGGAAUUUGGAUGAAGAUAUCUACAUGGAACAACCUGAAGGGUUCACAAAGAAAGGAAAUGAACACCUAGUUUGCAAAUUAAAGAAAUCCAUUUACGGUCUUAAAACAAGCUUCCAGACAAUGGUAUAUUAAGUUCAAUAAUGCCAUUACAUCUUUCGGAUUUAAAGAGAACAUUGUUGAUCAGUGUCUAUAUCUGAAAGUUAGUGGGAACAAGUUUAUAUUUCUGAUACUGUAUGUGGAUGAUAUUUUGCUUGCUAGCAGUGAUCUUGGUUUAUUACGUGAAACCAAGGAAUAUCUCUCUAAAAACUUUCAUAUGGUUGAUAUGGGUGAGACAAACUAUGUUAUUGGCAUCGAGAUCUUUAGGGAUCGAUCUCGAGGAGUGCUAGGUUUAUCUCAGGAAGGAUAUAUUGAUCGGGUUUUAGAGAGAUUUAAUAUGCAAUCAUGUUCAUCGGGUAUUGCACCUAUAUUGAAAGGUGACAAAUUAAGUAAAAUGCAGUGCCCAAGGAAUAACAUGGAAAGGGAGCAAAUGAAGAAAAUUCCUUAUGCAUCAGCUGUGGGGAGUUUGAUGUACGCUCAAACAUGUACAAGACCGGAUAUAAGCUUUUCUGUAGCCAUGUUAGGAAGAUACCAAAGUGAUCCAGGAUUCGAACACUAGAAAGUUGCAAAGAAGGUGAUGAGGUACUUACAAGGGACAAAGGAUUAUAUGCUCACAUAUAAAAGAUCAGAACAAUUAAAGGUUGUCGGUUACUUGGAUUCUAAUUAUGGUGGUUGUCUCAAUAGCUUAAAGUCAACUUCAGGAUUUGUCUUUAUUCUAGCAAAUGGGGCAAUCUCGUGGAAGAGUGAAAAACAAUCAAUUACUGCUUCAUCCACGAUGGAGGCCGAGUUUGUUGCUUGUUUUGAAGUUCAAGUCAUGCUCUAUGGUUGUGGAAUUUUUUCUCAGGGCUUGGUGUUGUCAACUCUAUUGCUAAACCUUUGAGAAUAUAUUGUGAUAACACCGCAGUUGUUUUCUUCUCUAAGAAUGGCAAAUUUUCUAGUGGAUCGAAACACAUGGAUUUAAAGUAUUUAGUUGUUAAAGAAAGAGUCCAGAAACAACAAGUGUCAAUUGAAAAUAUUAGAACCACAUUUAUGGUUGUUGAUCCAUUAACUAAAGGAUUACCUCCAAAGGCAUAUUUGGAACAUGUUAUGAGGAUGGGCCUUUUGAGUAAUCCAUAAUAUGUAUGAUAAUGAAUGGUGGUUAUGUAAUUGACAAUUUGCGCAUUAAAAUUGUUUCUGUUUAUUCUUGUUUUCAAUUAUAGGUGACGUUUUAUUGUUUGAUAAACAAGAAUUGUCCUGACAAGACAAAUUACAGGGGUUAUUUGGCAUUAAGGACUGGGUUAGUAAGGGUUAUUGAUGUGUGGUGCAUGGAAGGAAACAUGACAUUAUGGUUAUGUGACCGCCAUGACUCGCAUUUAUGAUCUAAACUGAUUCAGUAUUAUGGUAUAUGAUUUUGGACGUGUUGGCUAAGUUUAUUGAAAUCAUGAUCACGUGUCAAAUUUAUUUUCCAGUAUAUAUUUUAUAUAUAAACUAAAUAUAUUAUAGUUUUCAUAAUCGGUUUAGUGGGCCAAGUGGGAGAAUGUUAUUUCCACAUUAAAAUUAAGUGGGUGGCCCACUAACCUAGUAUUUAGCCAAUUAAAAGAAUACCCAAUAUCUUUAAACUGUUAUAAAGAUAUUUACCCUUGAUGGAGUGGGUAAAUUAUAAUAAUUUUAAUAUUAUUAUUUGGAAUAAAAACAGUUAUUCGAAUAACACGUUUAGAACGAUUUUUGAACGUGUAUUCUUGGCCCUCUUCUCCUAUCAAUAAGAUAUAUAUAUAUAGAAACCCCUUCAUGUGCGGUGAGUGCUCUCUUCCAUCAAUUACAUAAAACAAUUCUGUGCAUUAAGGUUUGAUAAGGAGAAGAAGAGAUAAAGGAUUUAAGAUCUAUAAACUGAAGGGAAAUCUCUCAUGGCUGCGUGUUCUUCAAACGGUAUGUAAUCUAUUUUUAAUUAAUGUUUUUAUUACUUUAUUAUCAGAGAUGAGUUUGAAUUCAAUGAUCUGGAAUAUUGUGUGUUAAUUUUCGUAUUAAAUAUCAACAUCUUUGCUAUCACAGACGUAAUCAGAAGAAGAGGCCAAGCAAGCUGCCUCUAGUCUAGGUGGCACAACCCAAAUAGAUGGAAUUGGAGAUAUGCUUGAAGUGAGUUUGAAAGAGGUUAUUUAGGCACAAGCACAACAACAUGAAUUGUCGUUUAAGCUUUUGUUGAUGAUUCAAGUUGGGAUUCUGAGAAACUAGAGUUGAGUUGGAGUGCCUUGGCUGAUGAGGUAGUGCGCCAAAACCCAAUGAGCCCUCUAAAAUCAAUAUGGUCAGUUCUUUUCCAGACUACCAGCAAUCUGCAUAGGUCUCCUCAUGCAACCACCAGUGGUGCAGUCUCAGUCCUAUCCCUGGGCCUCACUCCUGCAUGGCUACCUUAAUGCACACUGUCCUCUCCCAAAUGCAUUUCUAUUGUUUCUUUGUGAUCUUACAUGUUUUUAAUCGGGUUUUCAAAUGUUUUUUCAUUCAGAUAAUCUCGGGUUUAAAAAUUAAUCCUUAAACAUUUUUAGGCAUUAAAAUCCUAAUUUUUAAUAAACACUUGCAACCAUUCUUCUCCUAGCAUGAACCUUCCUAAUUUUCUUUAAUUUUCAACAAUUUUCUCGAUUUUUAAUAAACAUGAAUAAAUUCCAUAAUUCCAAAAAUAAUGGAAUUCCUUCCAAAUUCCUGUAAUUCCUCUAUAAUCAUUAGAGUUAGAAUUUAUAGGAUUAGCUCAUGCAAAAAUAAAAUUAGGCCUUGAUGGGAGCCCAACAUCCAUGAUAUUUUCCUUCAUAAUAAUCCAAGUGAAAUGCAUCUUAGGUAUUUAUUGACUUUGAUCUGUUUGUGAAGUGUGUGUGAUUAUUUUCUAUGGUACACUAACCUUGUUUCUUUGAGACAUUUUUGUUGUUGCAUAGGUAUGCUUUCAUCUCUACCUUGUCUAUUUAUUUAUUCCUCAUUAUCAUGCAUGAUUUGUUUUAGUCCAUGACUCUUGCUCCUUGGCAUCCACCAAUUAACUAGUCAAUUACCAUACUUGCUUCAACUUGAUUAGUAGAAACCUGAUUUUAGGGCUUGGAGGAGUGCAAUGACUUAUCAUCAUAACUUCUUAAUAGAUAACUUGACCCUCGGAUCCUAACUCAGUUUUCACAAACUUGCUUUUCCCUUUUAAGAGUCACAAUUAGGGGUUUUUUUUUUUUUCUUAUUUUGUUUUCCUUUCUUAAAAAUAAUAAAAAAUAAUUGAUGACUCCAAGUCUUUUCCUAAAAAUAAAAUAUUUCACAAAUAAAAAGCGAGUCAUGCUAUCAAGUGGAAAUGCAUGUGAAAAAUGCAAGUCCACAAGAUCCUAUAAUGGGGCAUUUUUCACCACUUUGAGCUUAUUAGAUUCACAUCAUAUUCAAUUGGGGCUUCAUUAGGGACAUGAUUCUAUUCUUGAGACUAUCAAACCUCUUGUCAUUCUGGUCAUCCUUUUGAGAUUUGAUUUGGAGCAUUUCCUUUGAGACAUGGACAAAUUUAUAUUUUGAUUUCUUAGUUCAUUAUCAUUGAGUUGGAGACAUCACGAUUACCAUAGUUUCUUCAGGAGUAUUUUUACCCAAUCAGACAAGUGAGGAUGUUUAUGCUUUUUAAAUAUGUAACAAAGUUCUAUAAUUGCUUCAAUCCAUGUUUUAAAAAUUGUAUUUCUUUCUAAUAUUGGAGCAAACUUUUUCUUUCUUAUAAAUUUCAUUUGGGAAUGAUUUAAAAAUAAAUAAAUAAAACUCCUUCUAAAUAUUAAAAAGUAACACUUUCUUAUAAAAAUUAAUUAGGUGGAUGGUAAGGUCAAAUUCGGGAUAGCUUCAUAUUUUUUGCUUUAACUUAAAAUUAAAAUCAAAAUUAAAGUAAUAAUUUUUAAGGGGUAAUAUUGAUAUUGUAAGAGUUUUACUAAACAUGAAAGAACUUCUUAUAUAUAUAUAAAAUAGAAUUAUAAAAUUCUUAUAAAACAUAACAUUUUGAUGACUUGUACAUGAAAUCUUUUUUAAAAGUUAUAAGUUUUUUAAAAAUAUAUAUGAAAAUCACUUUUAAAAAUCCAAAAAAUCCCUUAAAAAUAAUUUCUAAACAUUUUUUUAACUUAGAUUUAAAAAAUAAAUGAGUAAAAAAUGAUUUGUUUUUACUAGUUAUUUAAUUUUAAGGAAGCAAUAAAGGGUUUAAUUUGAUGUAAAAUAAAAGAUAAAUAAAUAAAUAAAUAAAUAAAAUGAGGGUUGAAAAGUAAUUAAAUCACUAAAAAAUGGAAUUGGAGUUCCUUCGGUGUGGGGUUAAACUCAAUUUGUCCCAUGCAAUGGAAAUGGACGAUUUUUAUUUUUAUUUUUUUCCUUUUCCUUUAUCUUGGUGUAGUCUUGUGAUAUUGUUACUAAAAUAGUAGGUAAAAAUAUAAAUUAUGUAUCAAUUAUUUUAAAUUUAGAAAAAAAAAAUGCUUAUUUUAAUUUCAAAUAAAUAAAUAGAAAAAAAACUAAUUUUAUCUCAAUUGUGCAAGACUUUAUAAAAAAAUUCUUAUUUGCAAAAUAUUUUGAGUUGUAAAAGUAAAAUUUAAACAAAUCAUUUCAUGACCUUUUUAACAAGUAUCCAUUUAGAUCAUAGUCUAAUUUUUAAAUAUUUGAAUAAUCCAAUUACUCUAAACUAUGUCAUUUAUAAUUUUUUUUAAUUAUUAAUAUGAUACCUAAGCUUCUACAGAAUUGGAAUAAAAUAUGGAUAAGUAAAAAAUGUCAAAUAAAAGAUAAUUUCAAUCUUUUCUAAUACAACAUAAUAUUUUAUCAUGUUGAAUAAAAUUGGAAUGGGCAAAAGUUGUCAAAUCAAGACUUACAUGGAAAAUUCCACCAUUGCAUAUCUCAAUGAUUAUUCUACAACAUUAUCUUUGUAGACUUUUAAUAAUCCAAGAAAUCGACAAAUUAUAUAAUAAUCCCAAACACACAAUAUUCUACAAUUUUUUUGAAUAAAAAAUAAAUAAUGAAAUUUGAAUAAUGCAAACAUUCAAUGAAAUCUUUGGCAUGUUAAUUCUUUGCAGCUUCAACAUGCUGGCAUGUCGGAUGGCGAAGGCAGCAUUUGAGCUUCUGGGUGUUUACCAUUUUUCACUAUGAACGCAGUUUCCAUGCCCCAAGUCACAUGGCGUUCUACAUGGCAGUGCAUGAACCACACUCCUGCAAUAGAGCAAAUAUACCAACAUUACACCUAACUUAUUGCAAUAUUAAGAAAAAUUAUUUCAAGGGUUUUUUUUUAUAAUAGAGGACGUGAGUGCUUGCAACAUACCAGGGUUGGAUGCCUCAAAUCUGAUUGCAACCCAACCAUUCGUAGGAACGGAGAUGGUACUCUGAAGGGGAGGAUCCACCAGAUUAUAGCGUAAAGGGUCCCUAUUUUUAUCGAAAUUCCCAAAUCCCCAUCCAACAAGGUAGAAACUGUAUCCAUGGAGAUGCAUGGGGUGGUGUGUCCCUGCAACCAAGUUUGUCCCUUGAAAAACAAUCUCCACUGUGGAGUUAUACUCGAGCACCCUUACUUCUGUUCCGAUUUCUGGCGUCUGAUACUCUAAUGGAAGAUAAUCAGCUGUAAAAUCAAACACCAGUGGUGGAACGCUAGGAAAUUUAUCUCCAUAUACACCACUGAUGUUAUAAUAGUAAGCUUGUAGUAUGUCAAUCGUAGGGGAUUGGAAGCUUAUGUUGUUUAUACUUGCGGAGAAUCGCGUCCCAUUGGGCCCUGCACAUGAAUUAUUAGGGCAUAGGAACGAGUUUACAGAAACAGUGUAAAUUAGUUUAGUGCUCGGGCUCAAUGGGACAUUGGAAGGAUGUUCCGCAUCUACUAAGCUUCGGAGGCCAACCAUGACCUGAACCGAUGCAUUUGUGUCAUUAUAUGCAGGAAAAUGAGGCAAGGAGAGAGGUGAAGAUGAAGUGUAGUAACCUCUAUAAUGUACAAUAGCUGUGGUGGUUGUGUUAUCAUAAAAAUUUUGAGCUAUCGGGGCAAUGGAAUAAGUUUUAGCCGCCAUGUAAUAGUGAUCUGGGCGUUGGUUAGCUUCUAGUAAGACAUCGAGGUUUGGCCAGGAUAUAUUGUGAUAUAAUCUCGUGUCAAUGGUUUCGUGUAGCUACCAUAUGUUCCAACCACUGUCAUUUUAUGCUUGGCAAUGGAGAAGAAGAGAGCCUCAUGCAAGGCAGCAUUGAUUAUGCGAAGUAGAUAGGUCUUUCCAUGAUCCACUCUUAGCUUGAAUGUGCCUGCAAUUAGAAAGGAAAAGUUGUAUACUUAUGACUAGCGAAAAGAAAAAAACUUUCCAUGAGCAUCCACCAAUUAUGAAGUGAUUGAUUAAUUAAGGGUGUAAAUUUGGCUCCAUAGUUCAAAUUUAUAUUUGGACUAGCCUUUUCUUAUGUGUUAAGUCAUGGCUCUACCAUCCUCAUAGCUAUAUUCCUCUUUCUUAGCAUUAAGUUUUCAAUAUGUUUAUAUUAAUAAGAAAAAGUAAUAUGGUUAACAUACAAGAAAAUGACAUCAGUGCACAAUUUUAAAAUGGGAAGUUAAACUUUAUACCUGAUUUUGAGCAUGGAUAUAGAUCACUGGGUUGUCCAUUUAUCAAUAAAGAAUCAGAGGCAUUAGGGUCAGCUCUGGUUGCAAGCCCUUCAUCUCGAACCGCAUUCACAUCACUCUUCCACCAUUGUCCUGCAUUUCAACAACUCCAAUAAUUUAGAUUUCGCUUUGUUAGUUAAUUCAUGAUAUGGAAAUUAACCUUUAAAAGGAACUACACUUAUACCUAAUAUGAUGGGAAUUUCUGCGUUAGGUUUGGGAAAAGGAUACUUGGUUCCAUUCUUGGGAUAAACGAUUAUAGCUCCAUGAACAGUGGCUCGGGUCCAGUCAUUGUGAGCAUGCCACCAUAGAGUGCCUUCCUCGGAGGAAAGGAUGAUCUUUUGGCUAAACUUUGACCCUGGUUGAAUUGGGCAUUGUGUGAUAUACUCGGGACCAUCUGUCCAUGGAUAUCUAGGCAUGUUCACCCCAUGCUUGCAAAACAAUAACUAUACGUUAAAACUAGUACUAAUUUUCGGACUAACAAAAGAUGGCAUGUAGCAACAUAUUAUCAUAGUAACAAGAGGCAUCAACUGUAUUUCAAUGGAACUAAUGCAAAUAACCCUAAAAUAUUAUUUUAAAUUUAACUUUAUUUGCAAAGCAAUACAUUGCAGCCCCCUCUUAGAAAUAAAAGAAUGUAUGUCAUGGAGGCAUGCUGCCCACUGCUAUCUUUCUCCAAGACACGAUAGGACUUACCAGUGAAUGGUGAUAUUUUCUUUUCCCCUAUUAUAAACAUCGACGAUGAUCAUCUCUCCUUUCUUAGCAUAUAUAGUUGGUCUUGGAAAUUGUCCAUUUACUGUUAAGAUGUUCUUGGUGCUACAAAGCCUUGUAUAUGAAGCCUCCUUCACCUGCAACCAAUUAAAAGUUAACCAUGCAACCUCAUCCCAAAAGAAAUAUUACAAGCAUGAAUAGUUGCAUCGAUCCACUCAUGCAAGUGCAUAACCAAUUAGAAAUUGAAAGCAUGCAUGAACGACUCAAUGACACCAGGGUACCCGAAGACACCAUGAGGGUCAUACGGUGGAAAAUGAGAGCCAUACUGCUCCCUAAAUAUCAUGAACAAAAGAUGGCGUUAAGGCUAGAAUCAUAUAAGUAUUUACCACAAAAGUAAGCCGACGAGUUGAAGCUUGGCAAUGGAUGCCACCACCAAAAAGUAGAAACGCUAAAAUUUGCAGGAGGAAAACCUUCAUGAUCAGCCACAUCUUCUUUGGAAUAAAAGCCUCUUCUCUUGUCCUAAACACAACUCCUUCAAUUUUCUUACUAUUUCUAAUAAGCACGACUUAUCUUCUCUUUGACAUGAAUAGAUGAAUUCUUAAAGGUAUUUAUAGAGGCUGGAGAGGACCAAAACUGGAAUUGGUGAAAGCUGAACAGCCGGUUUCUCUCGAACUUUUGAUGUAUUUUUUUAAUAUAUAAUUCAUAAUCUAUUCAAGAUGAUUUUCCUGGGGUACAACAAUUCCUCGCCGCGUAUCAAUAUAAGAGAAGUAAUUCGAAUGUGUAUUGGUUUUUAAAACUUUGACCUCUCAUAUAUACAGUACCUUUAUCAAGAUUAGUCAAUAUUUUUUCUUUGUUUUUGGUAUGAAGGGAAAAGUCAGCGCUAUAUAAUCAUAAUCCAUCAAAGAUACACUAUAUGCUACCAUGGGCGUACCGGCCAUUAGUAAUGGGCCAAAAUGUUCUCCAUGAUUAAAAAUAAAAUAUAAUCAUGGCAUAAAAAUGACCCUCAUUUUCAAGAGGUGACUUUCUCCUAGAAAGAAUUAAUUUCCUUUUUAUUUUCUCAUCGGGAGAAAGUUGGAGACUCACAUUGUUUAUAUUUUUAUAAUAGUUUUAGUUUAGUUUUAAAGCUUCCAAAAACUUCUCCCUUAUUUUUAUUUAUUAGGUUGGCUCAGUCCACUUGGGUACCCAAAAACAAACCCAAUAAAUAAUUAUUUAUUGAAUUGGGUCAAUCCCAAUAUUUUCAUAACCGAAUCAGACAUUGAAUUAGAAAAAUUAUCGAUUCAUAGGUCACUGGUCAGACUAGUGACCGAACCGGUGACAUCAUACAUACAUAAUUUAUAUUUUAUUAAAAUUAAAAAUAAUUUUAAAAUAUAUAUAUAUAUAUAUAUAAUUAAAAAUUAAUAAUAUUUGCAAUAUUAUUUAUUCAUUUUUAUAUAAAUGUAUUAAUAUUGUUAAUUUAUUAAACAAAAUAUACAUAAUAUUUAAAUAUGAAAAUAUAUUAAAAUGGGUAUAUAUAUAGGUAGUCUUUGAGUCAACAUGCAUAACAAGAUUGGACAUCAAUUAAUUCAUUUAAUAAUUAUGUUGAUUAGUUUAAUUAUACUUUUUAAAAUAUUUAACUCAUAUUUGACACAUUUUAAAUUUGAUUUUAAAUAAAUAGGUUAAUUGAGUCAUAAAUAUAUUAGUCAUAUAAAUUAACACAAGACCUAACUCUACUUAAUUAUUAAAUGGGACAUAUGAGUUACACGAUAUGUUACUUGUUUAGUAAUUAUGUAGUAUUUUAGGUUUACGUUUUUAACCAGAUUAUUAUUCGUGUCGAGUUUGACACAACACAAAUAUGACCCACCAACACAAAUUGUAACCCCUAAGCUUGUUCACUCAAAAAGUAAAUUUAUACUAAUAUUUAAUUACCUAGUUUAAACUAGUAGGAAUAUUUUUAAAUUAUUGCUUAGUUUUUUUAAAAUUGUUAAUAUUGGUAUAUGUAUAUAGUUUCUCUAAAGACAUUCCAUUGAUGUAGAAUUCCAAAUAUAAUUUGUCUAUAUAAAUAUAUCAUAUAUUUUUAAUAAAUAUAUAUAUUGUAAGUUAAAUAUUAUAUUGUAUAAUAUGUUGUACUAUAUGCAUAACUACUAUAUUACUAUUUUACAAAAUAAAAAAUACACUAUAUAAUAGUAAUAUAUUAUAUACAUAAAAAGUUUUUGUGUAAAGUAUCCAACCACAUUUUAAUUAAUAAUUGAUUAUUUUAUUUUUAAAUAAUCUAAUUAUGUAUUUAUUAUUUUUAAUUAUUAAUAACUAUUUUUUCAAAAGUGAUUUGUCAUUAAAAAUAAAAUCAUAAAUUAUGUCAUAAAAGUAGUAAUUGUUGUAGAUGCUAAUUUGUUAAGGAUUAUUAUUAUUAUUUUUACUUGCAUACAUUGUUUAAUAAAAUAUUUAAUUUAAGUUUUAAAUUCCUUACUUUAAAUUUUCAAUUUUAUUUUUAGUCUAAUUUUUAAUCUAUAAGUUCUAAUUUUUAAUUUUUAAUUUUUAAUUCCUAAAUUUUAAAGGGGAAAUCAUGUAACCAUACAUCACCAAAAAAAAUAAAUGAGAUUUUUAGAACUUUGCUUUUACCUUUUUAAUUUUAAUGAAGAUGAGAAAAAAUAUUACCUAUUCAUGUACUUCAAUAGUGCUUUCAGAUUUGUUCCAUAAUUACCCUCAAAAGUAAAUGACAAAAUACACAUCACUUUAAUACCACCUAUUGACAAGUACAUGAAUAAUUUAUUUUUCUUAUUUCUCUCACAUCAACUCCCUCACAUGUCUCACUUACCACUUGCCCCAUUUCCACUUUUUUCUUUUUUCUUUCUUUCUUUUUUUCCCCUCUUUUACCACCAUAAUCCAUAGUCACCUAUUAUAUUUUUCAUUCCUAUUUUUUUUUCCUUUGAUAUUCUUUUUAAUAUGCUCAUAUAUUUUCUCAGCUCAAAAUAUAUGUUAGCUCUGCAACUAAGGUCUUAACACUUAAUUUGGAAAAGGGGGUUCCUUUAUAUAGUAUAAAUCAUAUCAUAUCCUAUUAUAAGGUUGUGCAUCUUGGUUCAUUAAAGAAUUUGGGGAGUAUUCCCUUUAGACCUAGCCAUGAAAGCCUAAGAAUGCUUGACAUUUGCAUCUGGAUGCCUAGUUGGGUGCAUGCAACACAAACCGUGAGUCCAUACACUUAUCACUUGAGUGAUUCUACCCAAACUUAGUCAACUUAUCUAGUAUCCACUACUCCUUAGGCAAAAGAGAAACUAUAAGCAUUGUUGUUAGAAUUUACAUAUCAACCUGAUAAACCAUGAUCAUGCCUUUUAAGGCCAUAAAUCUUAAACAAUAGUAAUCGAUAAACAACUUUUCAAAAUCAUCACUUGCCUUGACUUAAACAUUUAGGGCUUAGUUCCUUUUGCUCUUUCUUACUCGACCUCUUACACUAAUGACUCAAUACGGAAGUCAACUCUUUGUCAGGGGCACAUCUCAACAAUAGUAUAUAUUCCUAACAAUCUAUUGAGCAUUGUCUAACACAAACCUACCCAACUAAUAGUUCCUUCAUGAAGAGAUGGUUGACCUCAACCCUUUUAGUCAACCUACCAUGGAGUAGCAACAUAAACUAUGUCUCUUCCCACACUCUAGUUCAAUUAGCUUUCAACUCUCUCCCAACCUCCAUCUCUCAUCUCAGCCUAUAGGUAAUCCAUGUUUGUCAACCUUCAUUCAGUUAAGAUCUAACUUAAUCUUUGGAGAGGCAUAGCCAAGAUUCACUUUCAAUACCCCUUAGUGCAAGUGCUAGGUGCUAUAGGCAAAUAGAUCAAUCACCACCUCUAAGAAGAAUACUGUUAGAUCACAUCACUCAUGGACCCUAGCUCAAGAGUUUGAGCACCAGUAAUAACUAUGAAAUAACAAGGGUCAAAGUGUAAGAGAUUUAUUUUAAAGAAACAAAAAAUUAAGUAAACAUAAUAAGCUUAGCAUGAUUAAUUAUCAAUUAAUUAUAUAUAUCUAUAUAUAUAUAUAUAUAUAUAUAUAUAUAUAUAUAUAUUUAAUAAAGAAGUUCCAAGUCUGAAACCAUUGUUUAUCUAUAGCCCUUUGGCCUUGUCAAUAUGAAACUAUAUUACAAAUUUAAAUAAUUUCUCAAUGUUUACAUGUGAGACAUUAACAUUGGUUCGAAAAUUACAAAAAAAAAAAAAAAAAAAAAAAAAAAAACAAGGUUAUUUGGACACAUGACUCAAAAUAACUCUCAAAUUAUAAAAAUGGCCCCUCACACUUUAAUUUUGUCGAGAAAUAACUCUUUCUGGAUGCUUUUACCCUUCUUCAUUUUCUUUAUUAUAAAAAUCAUUAUCUUUUAGUAACUGUCUUAUCUUUCAAAUAACACAUUCUUGCUUUCAUUUUAGAUGUUUAUCUAGAUUAAAUAAAUACACAACAGUCAAGUUUGAUUUACAAAAAAAUUUAACUAGAAUUAAAUUCAUUUACAAAUAAUUUAACUAUAGUCAAGUUUUCCAUUUCACCAACAAAGAGCUUGAUUAUAAUGAUAUGAACUUUGUUGUUAUUAAGUUUUAUUUUUAAAAAAAUUUAAUUAGAGUUAAUUUAACAUUUUAUCUACCAAAAAACUUAAUUAUAAUUAAUUUCUUAAUUAAAAUAUUCAUAUGGACUUAAACAUUAAAUGAAAGGAUUAUGUAAUCUCAUCUUCACAUUUUAGAAGUUUAAAUGAAACUACAAAAACACUUAACAAAAAAUAGUAAAAAUUACCACUAAAGGACAACCUCAAAAAAUCCUAACAAAAAUUCCACUAGAAAAAUCCCGACCAAAAAUCCUAGUUGGACAUUGCAAAUAAAUAAAAAUAAAUAAAUAAAUAAAUAAAGACAACCAAAAUCCCAACAAUACAAUUGCGAAAAAUUCUAACAAAAAAUAGCUACAAAAAAAGAAUAAAAAAAAACUAUAAAAUCUCAAUAAAAAAAAUUAUAAAACAACCAUAAAAAAAUACUAACCAAACACACACACACAUAUAAAGGAUAAUGAAGGAUCUUGAAGAAGACCGCAAUAAAACAACAAAAUCUCAACAAAAACCAAAUCCAAAUAAAUAAAAAAAUGCCACUGUUUGAUUAUUGUUCACUAUUUUCAAUUUUUAAAAAUAAGGUGAAAUAAUGAACAACUUUUAGAGAACAAGUAAAAGUUGUUUCCACCAAUUUUUAAAAAUAAUAGAAAAACACACACUCUAUUAUUUAUCUUCUAUAUAGAAUUAUUAUUUCUCAAUUCUUUUUUUGCUAGACAACUUAACUCCAAAUUAAAUAAUUCUUAAAUAAUAAACUCAUUAAUACCAUAAAUUUAUUAAGAUAAUAAAUAUAAUUUUUUCUAACAUAUAAUAAAAUAAUAUAUUUUCUAUUAAAAAUAUAAUUUAUGAUUUUAUUGUCAUAUUACUAUUUAUAUUUUACUAAAAACUAUAUAUUUUUUAAUUUAUUUGUAAUUACAAAAUUAUUUUCAUUUUCAAUAACACUUCACUUAAAUUUAAUUAAAUAAAUGUUAUAUAAAUUGAAUUUAAAAUGUUUUUACAAAAUCAAAACAAAUUUAAAAAAAAAUAAAUAAAAAACAAUUUAUCCAAACAGGUCUUUUUGUUUUUUAUUUUUAAAAUCCUUUUAUAAAAACAACUUGACAAAUAUUCUUAUUUUUAUAAAACAUUUAAAAACUUUUUUUGGUUCUUUGACUUAAAAACAAUUUCUCAAAAAAAAAAAAAAACAUAAGAAAUCAUGAUCAAACAAGAAUUUUAAAAAAAAAUUAAUUGAAGUACUUAUUUAACUUGUAUUAAAAAUGAAUAUUUAUAUCAUUUUUAUCUUAUAGUAAUUUUCACUAUAAUAAUAAAAAAAAUUAUUUAUCUUUAACGUAUACAUAUUUGUAGAUUUAAUUUUUAUUUGUUAAUAAGACUUAACUUAAAUUUGAUUUCAUAUUAUUAUAAAUUAAAUUUAUAAAAUUUUUAUAAAAUAAAAGUAAGACAUUGCUUUUAAAAACAAUACACAUUCUUUCAUCCAAACAAGUUUUUUGUUUUUUGUUUUACAAAAACUAUUUUUAAAACAUCUUAUCAAACACUCUUAUUUAAAAAAAAAAGAAAAAAAUUAAACUGUUUUUUGUUCUCUAUGUGAAAAAAAAAAUUAAUCAAAAUUUUAAAAAAUAUUGCCAAACGGGCCCCUAAGUUAUCCAAAGAUAAUUUUUUUUUUUAAUAAAAUAGAUCCAAUAAAACAUUUCCAUUAAAUAAGAAAAGGGACCCAAAAUUUUCUUUUAAUAAAAAUAAGUUUUAGACAUUUUUUUAGAUAAAAUAGUUCAAAUUUUUUGUUUUAAUAAAAGAAAUAGUUCAGAAUUUUAAAAUAAAUAAAUAAAAGGUUCAAAAAUAUUUUUUUCAAAUAAAAUAAAAUAGUCCAUGCUACUUCAAAAAAAUAUUCUUUUUAAUAAAAGAAAGUUUUCUUAAUAGAAAGUUCAAAUAAAUGUUUUUAGAAGAAUCUAGAAAAAGAAUAAUAAAAAUUCAAAUAAAUAUUUUUAAUAACAAGCUAUCUAGAAAUUCAUUUGUUUAACAAAAGUUUCUAGAAAAAAUUGAUAUUUAAAUAAAAUUGUCCAAAAAGUUAAUUUUAAUAAAAUUGUCCAAAAUUGAUUUUUAAAUAUAAUUCUCUUUCCUUGAUAAGAAUGGGAUUAAAAGUAAUUUUUAUAAAUAGAGGUCCUAAAGAAUUUUUUUAAAUAAGAAUAGUAUGAGUAAACCUUUAAAUCGAACUGAGAGACCUUUUUUUUUAAUAAAUUGGAAAACUAAUCUCCCGCUAGAUGAAAUCCAAAAUUCUUUCUAAAUAUAAUUGGAAUCCUUGGGAACAAAUUUGUGAAAUUCUUUCUCUAAAUAAGUUAGUAAUAAAGAAUCUUUUUCUAGGUAAAAUAAAAUAUAUAUAUAUAUAUAUAUAUAUAUAUAUAUAUUUAAUAAAAUUGGGUUGAAAUUCCUUCUUAUAAAUUUGUAAAUAUCUUUCUUUAAGUUUGUAGAUUUUUUUUUUUCAAAUAAAUAAAGAUUGAAUCAAAACACUUUUUAAAAUAAAUAUGUAAAACUCACCCCUCUUCUUAAUAAGGUAAACAAAAAUCAUUUCUUAUAAAUCAAAUCUUUUGUAAUCAAUUGAAGCCUUGUGAAUAAAUAAAUUAAAAUCACUAAUUUGAAAUUGUUGUUAAAAUAAAUGAAUUCUUUGAAAAUUUCUGGAAAUUGUAUUAUGAUAUUUGAAAUAAUAAAAUCUUUCUAAUAAAUUAUUUUGUGCAUUUCUCAUGUAUCAUUUCCACGUAUCCUUAUAAUUUGCUUUUGCAUUAUUUCAUGUACUUGUACUAUUCUUUAUAUAUAUAUAUUCCUUUUACGUGCUUAUUAGAAACCUUUUUAAGGCUUGAAGGGGUGCUACCCUAUGGUAUCUGCCCAAUAAAUAACCUGACCUCUAGAUUUGGACUCGAUUUUUACCGACACAUCUUUUCUUUAAAAAGGAGUAACAAUAGGGCUUUAUUUCUUUUCUUUUUUCUUUUAAAAAAAAUAAAAAAUGAGUGAUGACUCCAACUUUAAAAAAUAAAAAAUAAAAAAUAGUUUUUUAUAAUAAAAACAAGUCUCACCAUCAAGUGGGAAUGCACAUGAAAAAUGACAGUUCACAAUUGUAUUUCUUAGACUUAAAAUAUAAUACAAUUACUAAAUCAACAAAUGUCGUAAGUUUUUAAAUCUUUGAUGAUACAAGAUUCAAAGUAUAAUGGAACAAAUAGUUUUCAAAAGAAAACAAAUAUUUAAAAUGGAAAAUCUAACAAUAAAGACAAUGAAACAAGGUGAUACAAUAGGAGUUAAAUAGAGAAAUCUUUAUUCCACGAAUUUAUAGUUUAUUUAGUAGAAAAAAGUUCAAAAGAAAUAUUGUAUACAUUAAUGGAUUAAGUAGAUAAAAGGGAUUUAAGUAAUUUGACAUUUAUGCUUUCGUUAGAUAACAUCAAAUAGAUAUUUGAUAUUAUUAGUUUCCAUAUUGACUUUAGAAAUCUAUCAAAUGGAAGUUAAGAUUAUCUUUCUUUGAAUGGUUAUAUAAAUUAAUAGUAUAUAGGGUAACCUAAAGGAUUUAUGACAAGAACACAAAAUUAGGGAUAGAUAUCUACAUUUAGCUAGGUUGGAUUAUAACCAAUCCAAGAAUCAAAUAGAAGUUGAUUGGUUUUAACUAAAGUAUAACAAAUUUAUUUAUUGACUCAAGCUAAUCCAACUUAAUAUUAGUUUGAUUCAAUUUAGUUAACUCAAUUUAGACCAAAAUAUUAAGUCUAUAUGUUUUUUUAUCCACGGAACCAAAAUGAUCAAAUUGUUUUAGAUAAAAAUAAUUUUUUUUUUUACAAAUAAUACAAUUAAAAAAUUUAAAAAUAAUGUGUAGGAGCAAACCAAUGGGUUAUUUUCUUAUUGGGAGUAAGUCAAUGAAUAGUAUUCUUGACAUAUUGGGUGCUUGUGACUUGAAAUUAUAUAUCAUCAUUAUUUAGUCCCACAGUACAAAGAUUUUAAAUUUUAGAUCAUGCUUACGCCAUAAGCCACUUUAAAUUUGUAAUAAAGCCACAGGAGUUAGGCUCUAGGCAUCCAACACCAAACUAUAGCCUAACAAGUUAGCUUUGGAAGAGCAUGAUUUGACUCAUAAAGUCUCAAGAUUCUCCACAACACUCCAAAAUCCAAGAAAUUAUAUUUGUUCCACUCCUCUACUACUUGGGUUUGUUUGCCAAUCCACUUUUAGUAAGUGAUCUAGGUCAAACCUUUCAUAAUCCAAAUACUUAAACUAGUUUGAUCUCUAGUUUCAUUGCACUACCAAAAUAAAGUAAUUCAAGUAGAAAAAACCAAUGGCACAUGCAAGACAAGUUUUGCUGUUGGGGAGGUUUACAAAUAGCUUGUGGAAACCUUUCCUAGAAUAAUUUGAGACAAAUGCAAAUGGGGUUCCUAUGAACUAUUAUGCAAGGCUAGUCAGGCUUAUCUAUCAAACAAUGGAAAUUGAAGAUUUGGGGACCAAAUGAAAGUAAUCAAGUUUGAAGUUGAUGGAAUUGCUUAUUAACUCAAUAUGGAGGCUUAUCUCAAGCACCUUCUCAAUACAAUGCUUCGAGUCAAUUAACUACAUGCAUGCACUAAAGACUUCCACAACAAAGAAAAUUUUGCAAGAAUAAUCUAAAGAGCUACUACAACAGAGAAUGAUCUUCUGAACAUAUGUAAUUGAUUGUGCAUUAAUUAAGAGGGCUUCUCAAGUUGGAUAAGUUGUUUAGAAUUUUUAAGAGGGAAUUUUUAAACUUCACUGAAUUGAUCUAAGAGACAUUUACCAAGUUUUAUCAUGAUAAUAAAGUAUUGAGGAGAAAAUGUACCACCAAAACCAAGUUGUAUUUGCUAAGAAUACUUACUAUAUUCUAUUAAGAAAGAAACUAUCUAGUGGUAAAGGACAAGUUGAUAGUUUUAGUUCAUGAAGUUUUCACUACCCAAGCUAACAUCAAAAUCUAUUACAAGACAAAUCCCAAUAAGGUAAGAUAAAAGGCUGCACAGAAGGGACAUCUUGCUCCUUGUUGAAAAUCUCAUUCAAUUGCAAAUCUACCACAUCAAUAAUGCUCUCUUCUAUAAUUUUCUCAUACCCAAUCCACAAUACUAUUAUUAUACUUAUUCUGCAUGCUUUUUUUUUUCUUGCCUUUCUAAGUUAUUUUUUCUUUGGUUAUAGCAACAACUUCAUUGGUGUGUUAAAUUCUCUUAUAGGUAAUUCCUCAAACAUGUAAUAUCCUCAUUGUUGCUAUUAAGUCUUGCAGUAUGAAACGAAAAAUUAAAAUUCUUGUAUUCAAAAUCAAAUGGAAGCACAUGAAUUAAAAAAAUGCAAACACAAGAGAAACACUGAAAUCCAAUUACAAAGAGUAGUAUCAAAAUUUCCAUAUCUACAAAAUUCGGGUGUUAAGAUUUCUAAAAAUGAAAAAAAAAAAAAAAGAUUCAUUGAGAAAAGACCUACAUCGAAAAAAGAUCAAGGUGUGAGGUUAAGAGAGGAAUUCAACCCAUGCCUAACAUGGAUUCAAACAUAUUGACUAGAUUUGAAGAAUGCAAUUCAUCCAUGGGAACUUGUGUAUCUAAAGAGGGUUGGUUUUUGGAGGUACUAGAAGAUGGUUGGAGUAUGGUGAUAGUUGUUGAAAGGGUUAAUGGUGGUGGGAAUCCAUAACUACUGGUGAAGAGGAAGUUAGGUGUAUUGGAGACUUGAUGAGGAAGAUAAUGUGAGCCUAAUAAAAUUUCCUCCUACUUUUCCCUUCUCUUUCUCUCUUAUAUUCCUCACUAAUUUCUAAGGAAAGUAGAAAGGAAAAUAUUACAAUAUUUUCUUUAGCAUUUUCAUUUAUAUUUUUUUCCAUCAUAUUUCUCAUGUCACCCAAACUAAGGAAAAUAACUUUCCAUAGUAUUUUUUUGGUCCUUUCCCUUGAAUUUUCUGAAAACCAAACACAAUCUUUGUAAAUAAAAAUUAAGAACUACAACAAAUUGUAUAUUCUUCCUCUUUAUUCUUCCAUUUCUACAUCUACUACUCUAUUUGACAUCAUAUUUUUACUCGCUUCUUCAAUAAGCAUUCCUCCCUUUAUACAAAGUUAUCUUCGCACCAAUUCAUAAUAUAAGAAAGAUGAAUGAACCUUGGGGCAAGGUUGGACAACCGGUGGCAACUAGUCAAGGCUUAAAGUCAACUUUUGCUUGACUUUUUUUUGGCAUGGGCAGCGACUUGUGGACCCCUCUUUAGCAUGAAAGUGGCUAGAAUAUGUUAAGCUCUCUUAUUCGAUGGUUAAUGAUGUGUGAACCAUAACAAUCAUAGGUUGGGGAAUAUAUGGUAAUCAUGCAAAUAUCUAUCUAUCUAUGUAUCUAUCUAUCUAUCUAUAUAUAUAUAUAUAUAUAUAUAUAUAUGGUAUCCAAUUAUAUAAAAAGACAUUUUUCAACAUUUGAUAUAAGUAAAAAUUAAGAGGAAAAUAUUAAAAAAAAUUAUUAAACCUAAAAACAGGGACUUAAUAAUAAAAUGAAGCAAAAAGUUAAAAUUAAAACCAAAUAUUAAAUAUGAAUAUAGUUUAAGUAUUAAAAAUAUGAUUAUUUAGGUUUAAUCAUUGGGUUUGCUAGAGUUUAUAUAUAUAUAUAUAUAUAAACUUUGUAAAUUAAAUAUCUCUUUCUAUUAUUUAAAGGAAUCACUGAAAUGAUUGCAUGAAAGAUUUAUUUCAUAGCCUAAAAUAAUGAUAUUGGCAUUAUAUAUAUAUAUAUAUAUAUAUGUUUGUGUGUGUGUGUGUUUACUUUAAUGGUAGGCUGAUUUUUAGCCAUAAUAAUAAUAACUAUAUUAUUGUAUUAUUGAAAUAAAAAGGUUGUUGUCCUCUAAAUUUGAUUUGAAAUACAGGGGUUAUUUCUAACACUAAGAUGAUGUUUAUUUUUUUGUUUGAAUAGAAAAAAUUAAAAUAUUUGAUUUUGUUUAUUUUUUAUUUAACUAAAAGUAACCUGUUGAUAUCAACCAACAUAACUAAAGUGAACUUAUUAUUAAUAGGUUUAGUUUAGUUACGUUGGUUGAUAUCGGUAGGUUAUUUUUAACUAAAUAGAAAAAAUAAAAUAUUUUAGUUUUUUCUGUUCAAUAAAAAAGCAAACACAUCUAAAAUUAGAUAAUAAAAAUACUUUGAGUAGAAAUAAAUUCAUAUGGACCACUAUCAAAUACUAUGCACAAGGAGAAAUUCAGAUCCUCACUUGCUCUUUGAAUUUAAUGCAUUGAAUUUGAUGUUGCCUAAAACAAAAUUAUAUUUCAUGUUGUAUAUUAUGAGUAGACAACCAUUCCUUAUGUUAGAUUUUAGAUAAAGAAUGGAUAUUGGAGAUUGGAGUUGUAACAAAUUAGGAGAUCUUAAUUUUAAAUAUGUAACAAAGUUCUAUAAUUACUUCAAUCCAUGUUUUAAAAAUUGUAUUUCUUUCUAAUAUUGGAGCAAACUUUUUCUUUCUUUCUUAUAAAUUUCAUUUGGGAAUGAUUUUAAAAUAAAUAAAUAAAAGCCCUUCUAAAUAUUAAAAAGUAAACCUUUCUUAUAAAAAUUAAUUAGGUAGAUGGUAAGGUCAAAUUCAGGAUAGCUUCAUAUUUUUUGCUUUAACUGAAAAUUAAAAUCAAAAUUAAAGUAAUAAUUUUUAAGGGGUAAUAUUGAUAUUGUAAAAGUUCUAUUAAACAUGAAAGAACUUCUUAUAUAAAAAAAAAAUAGAAUUAUAAAAUUCUUAUAAAAAAUUACAUUUUGAUGACUUCUACAUGAAACCUUUUUUAAAAGUUAUAAGUUUUUUUUUUUAAAAAAAUAAUUAAAUAGGUAAAAAAUCUUUUAUUUAACUCUUAAGAGUCAAUCAUAAGGAAAUUUAAAUAUAUAUGAAAAUCACUUUUAAAAAUCCAAAAAAUCCCUUCAAAAUAAUUUCUAAACAUUUUUUUAACUUACAUUUAAAAAAUAAAAAGUAAAAAAUGAUUUGUUUUUACUAGUUAUUUAAUUUUAAGGAAGCAGUAAAGGGUUUACUUUGAUGUAAAAUAAAAGAUAAAUAAAUAAAUAAAAUGAGGGUUGAAAAGUAAGUAAAUCACUAAAAAAUAGACUUGGAGUUCCUUCGGUGUGGGGUUAGAUUCAAUUUGUCCCAUGCAAUGGAAAUGGACGAUUUUUUAUUUUAUUUCCUUUUCCUUUAUCUUGGUGUAGUCUUGUGAUAUUGUUACUAAAAUAGGAGGUAAAAAUAUAAAUUAUAUAUCAAUUAUUUUAAAUUUAGAAAAAAAAAAGUGCUUAUUUUAAUUUGAAAUAAAUAAAUAGAAAAAAACUGAUUUUAUCUCAAUUGAAUAAGACUUCAUAAAAAAAUUCUUAUUUGCAAAAUAUUUUGAGUUGUAACAGUAAAAAUUAAACAAAACAUUUCAUGACCUUUUUCACAAGUAUCCAUUUAGAUCACAAUCUAAUUUUUAAAUAUUUGAAUAAUUCAAUUACUCUAAACUAUAUCAUUUAUAAUUUUUUUUAUUAUUAAUAUGAUACCUAAGCUUCUAUAGAAUUGGAAUAAAAUAUGGAUAAGUAAAAAAUGUCAAAUGAAAGAUAAUUUCAAACUUUUCUAAUACAACAUGAUAUUUUAUCAUGUUCAAUAAAAUUGGAAUGGGCAAAAGUUGUCAAAUCAAGACUUCCAUGGCAAAUUCCAUUGCAUAUCUCAAAGAUUAUUCUACAACAUUAUCUUCGUAGACUUUUAACAAUCCAAGAAAUUGAAAAAUUAUAUAAUAAUCCCAAACACAAUAUUCUACAACUUUACAAUAUUCUACAAUUUUGUUGAACAAAAAAUAAAUAAUGAAAUCUGAAUAAUGCAAACAUUCAAUGAAAUCUUUGGCAUGUUAAUUCUUUGCAGCUUCAACAUGGUGGCAUGUCGGAUGGCGGAGGCAGCAUUUGAGCUUCUGGGUGUUUACCAUUUUUCACUAUGAACGCAGUUUCCAUGCCCCAAGUCACAUGGCGUUCUACAUGGCAGUGCAUGAACCACACUCCUGCAAUAGAGAAAAUAUACCAACAUUACACCUAACUUAUUGCAAUAUUAAGAAAAAUUAUUUCAAGGGUUUUUUUUUUAAUAGAGGAUGUGAGUGCUUGCAACAUACCAGGGUUGGAUGCCUCGAAUCUGAUUGCAACCCAACCAUUCGUAGGAACGGAGAUGGUACUCUGAAGGGGAGGAUCCACCAGAUUAUAGCGCAAAGGGUCCCUAUUUUUAUCAAAAUUCCCAAAUCCCCAUCCAACAAGGUAGAAACUGUAUCCAUGGAGAUGCAUGGGGUGGUGUGUCCCUGCAACCAAGUUUGUCCCUUGAAAAACAAUCUCCACUGUGGAGUUAUACUCGAGCACCCUUACUUCUGUUCCGAUUUCUGGCGUCUGAUACUCUAAUGGAAGAUAAUCAGCUGUAAAAUCGAACACUAGUGGUGGAACGCUAGGAAAUUUAUCUCCAUAUACACCACUGAUGUUAUAAUAGUAAGCUUGUAGUAUGUCAAUUGUAGGGGAUUGGAAGCUUAUGUUGUUUAUACUUGCGGAGAAUCGCGUCCCAUUGGGCCCUGCACAUGAAUUAUUGGGGCAUAGGAACGAGUUUACAGAAACAGUGUAAAUCAGUUUAGUGCUCGGGCUCAAUGGGACAUUGGAAGGAUGUUCCGCAUCUGCUAAGCUUCGGAGGCCAGCCAUGACCUGAACCGAUGCAUUUGUGUCAUUAUAUGCAGGAAAAUGAGGCAAGGAGAGAGGUGAAGAUGGAGUGUAGUAUCCUCUGUACUGUACAAUAGCUGUGGUGGUUGUGUUAUCAUAAAAAUUUUGAGCUACCGGGGCAAUGGAAUAAGUUUUAGCCGCCAUGUAAUAGUGAUCUGGGAGUUGGUUAGCUUCUAGUAAGACGUCGAAGGUUUGGCCAGGAUAUAUUGUGAUAUAAUCUCGUGUCAAUGGUUUCGUGUAGCUACCAUCUGUUCCAACCACUGUCAUUUUAUGCUUGGCAAUGGAGAAGAAGAGAGCCUCAUGCAAGGCAGCAUUGAUUAUGCGAAGUAGAUAGG
rnacentral:lncRNA from 1 species